UCCACACCCCAUGUCGACCAUUUCCGGAAUGACCCAAAAUUGUAUUCUUCUCAGCUCACACAGUUUUUAGAUGAUUGUGUGCUGACUUGCUGCAGAAAUUCUUGAAUAGAUUACUAACCAGUCUAACUCAUUCUUUUCUUUGAUUUCCUUAUUCUUUUGUUUUUGUCUCCAAUUUUUCCAUACGCACAUGACUUGCUCAUUGAUGUAGAGAUUCAAUUAUUGCUCUUUUUUUUAACCUUUCUCCCUUUUGACCUCAAUUAUUAUCUGUACUCAACUUGGAAAGAGACAGUUAUUCAAUUGUAGAAAUUUUCGAUGUAUUUAAACUACUUGACAUUGCCAUCUUCAUAUUACUGCUUCCAUCAAAUUUCCUUGCACUUUCGAAGUUCUCUAUUUUGGCAUCUUAUAGUCCCUGUCCACACAAUUGUACCUGUUAAUUGAUUAUGCUCGUCACAUAGGCUUGUCACAUGGAAAGUGGAAAAAACAGCCAUUCCUGCUAAUCCCCUUGCCCUGAGGUUAGACAUAGCAAUUUGGCAGGUUGGUAAAGGAUUUAAGGAUUUUCAUUUAAAUGGAUUUGGGAAAAACUUGCAUAUACCUGGUCCACCAGCAAGUUUUUUACUUGAAGCCAAAAAGCCUUAAAAGUUCUAAAUUAUCUUUGCUGCUGCUUCAUUCUGGAGAGAGGGAGAAAAAGAAAAGACCCCCUGGGGAAGAGGGGGAAAAUAUGAGACUUUUUGAGGGAGUUGAAGUAGGUAAAACAAUACUAAUUAUGAAAUUGACUAACAAUAUUGCCAAAGCCCAAGGGGGCGUUUUUGUAUUUGGCUCUAGUUUGCAGUCAGAUGAAUGAACCACCAAACUAUAGAUUAAAUUGUUAUGGUUGGAUCAUAUUGGAUUAACUCAGAUUUAUGAGGCAAAUAUGAUCCCAACAUAUUAUUUCAUAAAUAAUACUCUAUCGCACGCAUUUACACACACAAAAUGAUUUUUUACUACACAUAAACAUAUAUUCACCUACUAAAAUACUUCCACACAUAUAAACAUACUCAUUUCUUAAGUUUCUUAGAUGGAAAAACAUCAUUUUCAUAGACACAUACACAUAAAAACACACAUUAACAUACUUUCACACAUACAAACACUAAUUUUUAAACUGCUUGAAUAUACACAACUCCUUGACAAACACACACUAACAUUCACACAUACAAACACUAAUUUUUAAAUUGCAUGGGUAGACAUACCUCCUUGGCAAGAUGCACUGCUUUUUUUUUUUUUUCCACACAUACAAACACUAAUUUUUAAACUACUUGGAUAGACACAACUCCUUGGCAAACACACACUAACAUAAUUUCACACAUAUAACCACUAAUUUUUAAACUUCUUGGAUAGACACAACUCCUUGGCAAGGUGUACUACUUUUUUUUAAAAUUACCAUAAAGUUAAAAGCAUGUUUAUAAUUCACUUGUUAAAAGAUAUUUAAAGCUUCUUUUUUAUAGGUAUGUCCUUUUUAUAUAGCAAAUUUAUUUCAAAGAUGAAACAAAAACAUUUUUUCCGUAAUUGGUGAAUGGAUAUAAAUACAAAGAAAGUCAUUUUAAGUAUAACGAGUUGCUCAAUUUAUAAACUAAACAGGGGCCGGUGGAAAGGAACAGAUUUCCUUUUCCAUGUUAUUUCUUUGAAGAAAAGUGUAAGAACCUUUAUAAAAACUGGUCACUAUAAACAUCAGAUAACAUGUCUUUUAAGGCUAGAAGCGCAACAGAUUUGAGAUAGUAUGAAGCAUAAAUUAAUUACAAGGCAUGUUCACCCUAUUAAGUAAGCAUACCUAGUCUAAGAAUCUAAUCAUCAACAAACCAGUGGACGCUCGCAAAGUUGAAACGGUUUGAACUGUUCUAAUAAACCUUUAAGCAAAAAACUUUGUAGUAAGUUCACAAGAAAAACUGCCUAACAUCACCUGGCAAGGAAGCCAAAGGGAUACAUAUGCAUGGUCUUCCGCCUAGAGGCUCGCAAUUCAGCUGCAAGAUCAGUACUCAAGGUGUGUCACAGUGGUCCAAAUUUUAAUAGCCAUUCAAGUUGCUAACUCAAAGGUCAGUGGCAAGCUAAGCCAAAAAGUGCGGGACUAUCAUAAUUUCCCUUGAUUCAAGGUGGAUAAGUGCAACUCUUUUUUCAGCCUCACUGUCACUCUCAUGGUUGACAAAUCUGAUUAAACUUCUUGUUCAAGCCCACUAUAAAUUUCUACUAUCUUGAACGCUAGGAAAGCUGCAUAAGUAGUACCUGCAGACAAACAUUAUUAAUCUGGACAGCCUUUUUGAACCUACAAAUGCAAGAGAUUGGCACACCCACGCUUGAGAAAAGAAAGAAAACUCUGGUAUUAACCUAAUAACGUUAGUUCCAUAUGUUGUAUGUUAUGGAUCAAUUGAGGUCCCUUCAGAAAACUAAUCAUUUUUUACAAAAUAUUUAAAUUCACAGCUUUGUUUUACGGAUUCCAUAAACUUCCAAAUCCCAAAAAAUAACAAAGGAAAAACAAACAUCAAUAAAUGGACCGAAAGAGCCAUGCAGGAGAAAGGGAGGUAGGAAAGUGAAAAAAAGGAAAAAGCAAUGGCCAGCUUUUCAUGAUACAUCUCAUGAUUAGGGAUGAUGCUGAACCAUAUAACUCGACUUGAGAUUGUGAGUUACUUGAUCAAUAGGUCGACUCGAGCUUGCUUUGAUUGAACUCAAUCUUGAGUUUGAGCAACUUGUUUGAGGUUACGGGUCGAACUCGAGUUCCAAAUUCUUGUACUCGAAGUUUCGACAAGUCUAAUCGAGCUUUUUAUCAUACACACAACACACACACACAUAUAUAUAUAUAUAUAUAUAUAUAUAUGUAUAUUAAUUUUUUAUAUCUAUUAUUGUGAAAUGUCAAGUAUAUCCUUUAUUUAAAUUAUAUGUAAAAUAUUAAUUUUUAAUAGGUGAGCUCAAAUAGACUCGAUUGAGUUUGAUUGACUCGAUUAGAUUUAAUUAAACUCGAACUCGAGUUUAAGUUUGAGUAAGGUAAACUAACAUCGAGCUCGAGCUCGACUUUUAAAAUAUCGAUGAAUUCGAGCUCAAUUAUUUUACCUUGAGUUAGUUUGAGUAGUGCACUACUCGAAUUUAACUCAACCUGAAUGUGAUCAACCAUUGCUAAUCCAGUAGGCUAUUCCUCAUUACGAGCAUGACUGGCCAAAUGGUACAGUAAAUUGGACGUGCAACUCACAUUAUUUGCUAAGUAUUUCUUACCACAUGUUUGGCACACGGCUUUCUAUCUACCAUUCUCUUUAGGCUUUAACCUAUGAAAAUGAUGCCAAAGUGCCAAAAAGGAUCUCUUAUGUGUCUCCAUAUUACUCCCAUGACUGCAAUGAUAGAAAUCAUCGUCAAUAUUGCAAGCAACCGAUGCAUUAAGCCAUAGAAAAUACGACAAACAAAUUAUUAUGAUGAAUCAUAUAAUAAAAAAAAAUCAUCUUUAUUGAACAUCCAUAUGAUUUUAAAACACAUUUCUAUAAUUCACGCAAAGAAUGAUAGAUUUUUAGCUAUUUUUCAUAACUAAAACAUAUAUUCCAGUCAUAUGAUUAUGGCAUUCAGAUUUGAUUGUCCCAAGCUGUAGGGAUUAUGGCAUGCAGAUUUGCUUGCCCGGAGUUGUUUCCAAGGAAACAAGUAGUAGAGAAUUAUUGACAUGAACUCCAUCUUUUGUGGCCUAAAGAUGCCGAGACAGAUCUUAGAACAUUGCAUUGUAAAUACAGGAUCUUUUUAAUCAACUUUCUUGGCUGAUUCUUGAUAUUAUUUUUGUCGCUGUUCCUCAAUAAUUACGUGUAUUGAAAAGCAAUAACACUCAAAUUUAAAAUUAAUUAUCCUUAAGCUUGACAAUCAAAUUUUAUCUUUGUCUUCCCAUGACCUAUUUGGCAUUUCAUCGUAUUGACUCGCUUAAAUGUCAUAAUUAAACUGCAAGUUGAUUUGCCAACUUAUAUUACGCCAUAAUCAUAGUCUUUGGUUUGACUACAUUGUAACAUGCAUAGGGUGACUAAACUAAACUGAUCAUAGGUCAAAACUUUUUUGUAUACCUAUAAAAAUGUCAUUUAUCUCCAAGUUUUUACAGGCAAGACCACAAGUAUAAUUACGCUAAAGAAGAUGUGACGACCCCACCUUCCCCUAAGGUGUACCCAAGAGUUUGGCGGUCUGUAACGACCCCACCUCCCCCUAGGGCGUACCCCAGGGUUUAGCGGACCCCCUGCCCAGCUCUCGCCAGGACUCACUCACUUAUCUCAAAUAAAAUAAGUUAUAAUCCCAAGAGUAAAUGAAAUAACAGUUCCAAGUUUAGAACGUACAUUUACAUUCAUUUCUAUCCAAACAUUCAUACAAUCCAAAAAUAACAAAAGAUAUGAGUUCCAGAUGCAUUCAACUCUAAUCGAGCACUAGCGCAAGUGAAAUCGUAAAAUUUCAAAAACUAGAUUAUGCUAGCCUGUACCAAUCUCACGCCCUCGCUCAUACCCCUUGUAAGAAAAACAAAUCUAAUAGGGUGAGUUAAAGUUUAGUGAGGUUUCAAGUAGUAAGUUGACCAUUAUUUAAAAGUGAAAGUAUCAAAGUAGCAAAGUAGCGAACAUAACAAGUCAAGAAAAUGAGCAAUAACACUUCGUAUGCCCAAUCAUUAAGUAUUCAACAUUUCAAGUAAAAGGAUAUAGUUGCUUUUGCAAACUAACUCCACUAUAGCUUGAUCAAGUAGUAGCUGACACUCCGUCAACUUUCAAGUAAGAUAACUAGUCCAGUAGUACACCACUUAACUCCAAUCUCCAUCCACCAAUCAAACCCCUUACUAGAUCUGAACUCCCUAAUAAACACUGGUGGUAAUACUCGAGUAUACCGAUUAGUCGAGAAGAUAACACUCUACUCGACAAAACUAGAGACCCAGGGUUCGUUACCUAAUCGACCAAGCCCUUGCCGGCUCGACUUGAGUAACUAGCCACAGGGUUUCUGGAAUUCCAGACAGUAUUCAAGUUAUAUGCAUGUAUAUCAGGUCAAUUGUAACCAAUGAACAAGAAUGUAUCACUUUAGGGUAAGUGCGAUAAAGUACACUCUUGCCCGUCCAAACCAAUCAAAUAACAUCCGACCACGUUGGUAAAGCAUUUAAAUCAAGUAUCAAGUUCAAUAAUGUAUUUGGAAACACUCACCAAAGAUUUAGUGCUUCUUAGGAUCACGCUCAGGUGCAACUCUUUGUUUGGAGUCCAAAUCUGAGAUAAAAUAUCAUUUAAGAGUUUGAAAUCAAUUAGGGUUUGAAACUUAGGAGUUUCGCUUAGAGAAAAUCAAGUAAAUGAAACUCGUUUAGUAGUUUUCAUGUUAAUUAUCCUCUAGAAAAUUCAUGCUCGCUCGUUUAGUUUUGGUAAGGAAGCGAGUAAAACUUUUAAGUCGCAAAGUGGUCUAAAAGAUGAGGAAAACAUAUUUCGAAUGGUCGUUACUUUCGCCUUUUAAAGGGUACGAGUUUUGGCCACAAUUCAGCUCAUAUACCUCUACUAAUGGUAAAUUCACUACCAUAGACAAUCCAAAUUCACUUCGACCUCAAAUCGUCACUCAAGUUUCAAGUUUACUCGCUUAUCCUUUGAGCAAAAAGUUGGGCAGCAUGCCCUUGUAUUUAUCCAUUUUCCCAUCCAAGUACAACUUGGAUUCACAAGCCAACAAAUCUCCACUCUAACCACAAGUGAUAACCAACAACAUAUAUCUAUUCAAGGCCUCUAAACGAACUAAACAAACCAAAUAAUAACUUAUCACCAUGGAUAUCAAAGCUGGAAACCAGUGCCUAACUUUCUUUAUCUUUACUUAAAAGUCCAAAUUUGACCAAGUUGUCUUCACUCCUUCAUCUCUCUUGGCCGAAUCUCCCUUGGAAGCAAAGGGAAGAAACCUUCAACCUUUCAUCUUCAAAUCUUGCUUCAAUCUUGAAAAUCAACCGAUUAUUUCUUGAAUUAGUUCACAAAAUCAACUUGCUAAGGGUGUUUGAAGAACUUGGUGGUGUUAUUUUGGAAGAAAACCUCAUAAGCUUCAACCUUUCUUGAAGAACUAAGGUAUCUUGCUUGGAACUCAUCUAUUGUUUCUAAUUUUGGCCAAUUGGUGCCUUAUAGUAGCUAUUUAUGCGAUUUUACGGUAGAUUUGGUGGAUUGGAGUGAAGUUUUCUAAUUUUCUGAUUUUUCUUGGAAUUUUUCUGUUUUCCUAUGAUGGAUAUGAUUGAGCUUGAAUUGGUGGUUCUAAAUGGUGUUUUAUAGCUCUCUUGUGCAUUAAUUACGGGUAAUUACGGGAAAUUUCCGCUUGUGCGGAAAAUUUCAGAUUUAGGAUUUCAAAUUGGGGGUUUUUCUAUGGUUGAUUGUUGAGCUUCUAAUUGGCUAUAAUUGAGGGCUAUUGUGACCCUAAUGAAGUAUAUUGAAUGGCCUAUGAAUUGUUUGGGUACUUGUGGUUGUUUUGGAUACAAUUUAAUGGUUAUCUUGUAGGUUGGGAAGCUGAAAUUUUAGGGAAAAUGCUGUCCAAAUGACUAGAGUGUUGGAUUCUUGUGAGUUGGGUUGAGAUUGGAUCGAAUUGAUCGGUUUUAGGGAUUGCUUCUACUUUUAACCCUAAAUGUUAUGUAUUUUCCAUUUCCAAGCUAGAUUUGGGUUUUGCCUUAAUAGUUCCAAGUAUAAGGUAUUCGACUCGGGUUUGAGUCUUAAUUGUACUUUCUUGAUUAUUAUAGGGCGUGCCGGUGAUCCGAGGCUCACGUCGGGCGAAAACUUGUGAAAUUUCUUUAUUUGACUUGGUGAGUGUACUACUCACAUAUUUGUUAUUCCGUGGUUUUAUUGUACUUGAAUUCUGUGAUUUGGACUAGUUGUGAUGAUUGUUUGAACUAGGUGAGGCGGGGGUGUACUUUAUCACUCUCGUACUCUCUGGCCUCCUUGACUGGUUAUUAUAUUAGAUCUACUUGUUUGUUUGUUAUAUCACUUGAAUACUCUUGACUGGACUUGAUUUGGUGUCGAUUGGAUACCAACCGUUACUGUAACUCUGAACCUUUACUGUUUACUCUGAGCUCUACCUCAUUGGAAGUCAAUGGACUCGAGCCAGUAAGGACUUGGUCGGGGACAUUUGACAAACCAUGGGGACUGUAUUUGGGAAUCUUUGGGUAUGAGACCCUUGAUUCCGGUAUACUCGAGUAAUACCAAUUCUGUACUGUUUGGUGUUCAGGCCCGGUAAGGGGAAAGUGAGGUGGACGGAUAAUUGGAGUAAAGAGGAGUCUACGAUCAUGAUUACCUAGUAUACAUUGACGGAGGGUCAAUGAGAUGAGAUCAAGUAUGGCAAAAGAGGAUAAGGGCUCUUGAGAGCCAUCCGUAUCCUUUUACUCCGUAUGCUUGGGUGUUAUUGCUUUUGGUUACUUGAUGUACAUAUUUGGAUUAAAUAUUCUUGUGUUUAUGUGCUCUUGGUGUAUUUACGUGAUAGUACCUCAUUGGGCGAAAGCUCAUUCCGUUAAUUUUGUUUUCCUUACAGGGAAUUAUCUUUUGGACUUUUGACUGUGAAGAGUGAGUUGAGUAGAGCUAGUUGAGAGAUUUUGUAUAGCUCCUCAAUAGUUGGAACCUUUGUUUGUACUUGGAUCUAAAUGCUUUCGUUUGGCUUGUAACCAUACAAAUGUGGUUUGUAACAGGGUGUAUUCCUAUCCAAUGGAUUGUACUUGGCCUGUAUAUACUCUUUUCAGUGAUUGUUGGAAAUUUCUUGUAAUCAAUGGGCUCUCGGCGGAUUGUGACGUGGCAGUCACCAUUCGCUUUACGUUUUGACUUUUGUUUUUCUGUUUCUCAUUUAUUGGGUUGAUUAAGCGCGCUAAUAUUUUUCCCGAACGACUUGAGUUAGUGUUUGACCGUUUUAGAAGUCCUGGCGAGAGCUGGACAGGUAGUCCGCUAACUCCUUUGGUACGACUUAGGGGAAGGUGGGACUGUCACAGGUGGUAUCAGAGCCUAGGGUAGAAAUAACCUGGGCGAACCUGAAACCGGAUUCUUAGAACUUUUGGGGAUUGUGUUUAGACGCCAUUAAGUGUGAAUAUAUUGUCUAAGAUAAAAACCUUUGCUAUCUUUGUAGGCUAUGGCAGGAACUAGUGGAGCGAGCGGAGACGAGCCACCUCGGAGGUGCCCACGGGUUAUCGACUACCCGGAGAGGCCGGGAGGUCCGAUCCGGCUGUGGUAUACCGCUAACCGGACCCGCCGCUGUAGGCGUUGCCAAUUUUACUCCUACGCGGACCACGUGGUUGAGGCGGUACUUGCCGAGCGAUGGAGGCUGAGAUGUGACGCCGCCAGGGAGCGCACUGAGACCCUUAGGCUUGGGGGCAUCAUGCGGAUGCAAGCCGAUAGGAUUGGAGAGCUCCAGGGGGACGUGGCCAUGGAGCAGGAGAGGAUGGACGCUCUGCGAGAGCAGUUGCAGGUGGUUAACGACCGCCUUACUCGCGUAGUCCGGGAAGUGAGAGACCGGUCCGGCGCUAUUAUCGAUGAGUGUGGGGCACUCAUCCAGGGAGUGAUUGGCGCCAAUGCGCCAGGGGGAGUUCCAGGUGGUGGAGCACCAUGUCAGGGAGGCGUCCCUAGCUCUAGCUCUGGGGAGGAGUCGGUGGGCUCCGUGGAGGACUAGAUUAGGGUUCCUUGAGCCUUGUUUUGAUCCCGUGUGAGGAAUACCUAGGAGAGGCUUUUGGUUAGUUGUUUGGUACUUUUGGGCCUAGGUUGUACAGUGUAUUUUGGCAGACCCUCUUUUGGCUUCACGGGAGUACCUUUGUAUAUAUUUGCUUGACUGCUCAUGUAUGACUGUUUGACACAGUUAUGUGUUCCAUGUAUAAAUGCUCUAUGUGUAUACAUGCCUUAUGUGGUGUUUACUUUUGGUUCUUUGUUCAUGCUUCUAUGACUAUAUUUAUAUGUAUUUUUAAUAUUAACUUUGUGCCUCGACUUUAGAUUGACUUAGAGAAUGGAAGGCACUCGUAGUGGGCAAGGCCGCGGGCGCGGGGUUAGGCAACCCACAACUGACGAGGGUACUAGGGAUACCACGACUGAACCAAAUCCUGAACCUAGGGUUGACCCUAGUGCCCAGAUAGCUGCUGCUAUGCAGUAAAUGACUGACCUGUUGGCCCACGUAGUCCAACAGCAGGGCCAACCUCCUAUCCAGCAACCUGGGAACCCUGGCCAUGUAAUAGAGAGUGAAGAUCGGGCCCUAGAGAGAUUUCAGAAGUUCUCUCCACCAAAAUUUCUAGGCGGGCCAGAUCCGGACGUGGCCGAAAAGUGGUUAGAGAAAAUGAUAGAUAUCUUUGCCGCCCUACACUAUUCAGAGGAGAGGUAGGUUACUUUCGCUGUCUUUCAAUUGGAGGGGGCCGUGCGUUCUUGGUGGAACGUGAUACGAAUGAAGUGGGACCGGGAGCAAACACCAAGAACAUGGGUAAACUUUGUGCGAGAAUUCAAUGCGAAAUACUUUCCCCCUCUAGUCCAGGAAAAGAAGGAGGACGAGUUUAUUAGGCUCCACCAGGGGACUCAAUCGGUGGCUGAGUACGAGAGCCAGUUUACUCGUUUAUCCAAGUUUGCCCCUGAACUCAUUCUAACGGAGCAAAGAAGAGUUCGGCGUUUUACUUAGGGGCUCAAUGUGGAAAUUCAAAGGAUCUGGCGGUAGCCCAGAUCAGUACCUUUAGUGACGCCGUGGAGAAAGCUUUACGAGUUGAAAAUGCAAGGCUUCAAGUAAGGAACUUUCAGGUGAAAAAACGGGGGUUCUCUGCGAGUAGUUCGACCCAAGGAGAUAAAGGGACCCCUCCCAAGUUUGGACGAGGAGCCGGUGGAGGAAGGCAACCGGGGAUGGCGCAAGGGACUCCACCGAGGGGUGGUCACAAUGGACGGGGCCCGCAGAAAAGCACCUCACAGGGAAGUUCGGCCUCAGUUGCACGCGGACCCUGUGGAUUUUGUGGAAAACCAAACCACACUGAGGACAACUGUUGGAGGAAGGAGAGAAGAUGCUUGCGCUGCGGGAGUGCAGAGUAUCAAAUAGCUAACUGCCCAGUGUUACCUCGGGAGGCGAGAGCAACCACCCAAUCGUCAAAGGCCAACUUGGGACAGUCCAAGGUAGAAGGGACAAAGCCAAAGGUGCCAGCUCGGGUUUACUCCCUUGAGCAACAACAAGUCCCUGAUCCCUCUGGGGUUGUAGAAGGUACGAUCCCUGUUUUCCAUCGUCUAGCUAGGAUUUUGAUAGACCCUGGUGCUACCCAUUCCUUUGUUAACCCCAAUUUUAUGUGCGGCAUUGAUAUAACCCCUGUUAGCUUGCCUUAUGACUUAGAGGUUAGUACUCCUACGGGGAACCAACGUUUAAUUACUGGUUCGAUGUAUGCGAAUUGCGAAAUUUGGGUAGGAGAGAGGAAGCUUUUGGGGAAUCUUAUAAGUUUAGCUAUAAAGGGGUACGACGUUAUACUGGGUAUGGACUGGCUAGCAAGGUACGAUGCACAACUUGAUUGUAAGAGGAAAAUAGUGGAACUUCGUAUACCGGGGGAAGCAACCGUAAGGCUAGAUGUAAGAGGUAGUUUAGCCUCAUCUGCAUUGAUCUCAGGUAUUAGGGCUAGGAAAUUUCUGUAUAGAGGGACCCAAGGGUUUCUAGCUUUUCUGAUAAAUACUCCCACUGAUAAGUUGAGGGUGGAAGAUGUGCCUAUUGUAAGUGAAUAUCCGGAUGUGUUUCCUGAUGAAUUAGUAACUUUACCUCCGGAGAGAGAGAUAGAGUUUAAGAUUGACCUAUUGCCAGGAGCGUCACCUAUCUCUAAGACCCCCUAUCGAAUGGCACCUGCUGAACUCAAGGAGCUGAAGUUGCAGUUGCAAGACCUGUUGGAGCGUGGGUUUAUUCAUGAGAGUGGAUCUCCUUGGGGGGCUCCGGUAUUAUUUGUUAAGAAGAAGGAUGGAACUUUAAGAUUGUGUAUCGACUAUCGGGGAUUAAACAAUAUGACCAUUAAGAACAAAUACCCACUUCCCCAUAUCGAUGAAUUGUUUGACCAGUUGCAAGGCGCAGUGGUCUUUUCAAAGUUAGAUCUCCGACAGGGUUACUAUCAGUUGCUAAUCAAGAAAGAAGAUGUACCCAAAACUGCUUUCAAUUCUAGAUAUGGGCAUUUUGAGUUUGCGGUCAUGCCCUUUGGGUUGACCAAUGCCCCUGCCGCCUUUAUGGAUUUGAUGCAUCGGGUUUUCAAACCCUACCUGGACCGAUUUGUUGUCGUGUUUAUUGACGACAUUUUGGUCUAUUCUAAAACCCGUGAGGAACAUGAGCAGCAUUUGAAGUUAGUGUUACAAACCCUGAGAGAUCAUCAGCUAUACGCCAAAUUUAGUAAGUGUGAAUUUUGGCUGGAGAAAAUCUCUUUCUUAGGACAUGUGAUUUCCAAAGAAGGUAUCACGGUAGACCCCGCGAAAGUAGAGGCGAUAGCUGAAUGGAAGAGGCCAGAAAAUCCCACCGAGAUCCGCAGUUUUUUAGGGUUGGCUGGGUACUAUAGACGCUUUAUUAAAGACUUUUCCAAAUUGGCCGGUCCUUUAACCGACCUGACGAAGAAAAACGGUCGUUUUGUGUGGGAUAGUAGGUGUGAAACCAGUUUUCAGGAGUUGAAGCGAAGGUUAACCAGAGCUCCUGUUUUGGCCUUGCCUAGUGGGAAGGAUAGUUUCACUGUUUAUACCGAUGCUUCGAAGGAAGGUUUGGGGUGUGUGUUAAUGCAAAAUAAGAACGUGAUUGCCUUUGCCUCUAGGAAACUAAAAACCCAUCAACAAAACUACCCUACCCAUGACUUGGAGUUAGCUGCUGUGGUCUUUGCUCUGAAAAAGUGGAGACACUAUCUCUACGGGGUUACCUUUGAGGUUUAUUCAGACCAUAAGAGUCUCAAGUACCUAUUCUCCUAAAAAGAGUUGAAUAUGAGGCAACGCCGGUGGAUGGAACUCUUAGAAGAUUAUGACUGCACGAUCAACUACCAUCCCAGUAAGGCUAACAUAGUAGCGGACGCCCUAAGUCGGAAGGCUCAAGUAGCAGGGUUGAUGGUCAAGGAGUGGGAGAUGUUAGGAGCAGCUAGUGAGUGGAACCCUAGAUUGGGAGAUAAGAAAAUAACUUUUGGAAAUAUUCGGGUAACAUCUGCUAUUCUUGAUCGAAUUAAAGAAGCCCAAGAAAAGGAUCCGGUGGUACAAAAAUGGAAGGAAAAAGUAGAAAAGGAAGCAUUACCUGAUUUCAAUUUGGGUCCUGAAGGAAUUCUAAGGUAUAGGAACGGGUAGUGGUGGCCAAUGAUGAAAACCUGAAAAGGGAAAUUUUAGAGGAAGCCCAUCGAUCGACAUACACGAUCCAUCCUGGUAGUAAUAAGAUGUACCAAGACUUGCGACGGUUGUACUGGUGGGAUAAGAUGAAGAGAGAGAUUGCUCAAUAUGUCCAAACCUGUCUGAUUUGCCAGCAAGUCAAGGCUGAACACCAAAAACCCUCCGGACUGUUACAACCUCUUGAGAUACCCGAAUGGAAGUGGGAAAAUAUCACGAUGGAUUUUGUUUCUGGACUGCCAAGAACGCAAAAAGGACAUGAUGCCGUUUGGGUGAUCGUUGAUCGGUUGACCAAAUCAGCUCAUUUCUUACCUGUGAAUGUGAAGGAUUCCAUGGAUAAACUAGCUCGGUUGUACCUGAAUGAAAUUGUGAGGUUACAUGGGGUUCCAGUGAGUAUAGUUUCAGACCGAGAUCCUCGUUUUGUAUAGAGGUUUUGGCAAAAAUUUCAGGAGCACUUAGGGACCAAACUUAACCUUAGUACCACUUAUCACCCCCAGACGGAUGGCCAGUCGGAGGGAACGAUUCAAACCCUCGAGGAUAUGUUACGAACUUGUAUUCUGGAUUUUGGGGGUAAUUGGGGCCAACACAUGACUUUGGUAGAGUUCGCCUACAAUAAUAGUUUCCACUCGUCCAUUCAAAUGGCACCAUAUGAAGCUCUCUACGGACGGAAGUGUCGUUCACCCAUUUACUGGGAUGAAGUAGGGGAAAAGAAAGUUCUAGAUCCAACAACCAUUCCCUGGAUGGAGGAUGCGCAAGAAAAGGUUAAAUUGAUUCGUCAAAGACUCCAAACAGCUCAAAGCCGACAAAAGAGCUACGCAGAUAACCGAAGGAAAGAUUUGGAGUUCGAAGUUGGAGACCGUGUCUUCCUUAAAAUCACGCCACUACGAAGCGUCACUGCGGGUAGAGGAAAGAAACUUCAACCACGGUUUGUGGGGCCAUACAAAAUUCUCCAACGAGUUGGGAAAGUAGCGUACCGACUCGAGUUGCCGCCAAGUUUAUCUCGUAUUCAUGACGUCUUCCAUGUGUCGAUGCUGAAAAAGUACUAUCCUGACCCAACCCACAUUGUGCGACCAGAGGAGAUUGAGUUAGAUAAGGCACUCACUUACGAAGAGAGACCUGUACAAGUACUCGAUCGAAGGAUUAAGGAACUGCGGAAUAAACAAAUUCCAUUAGUGAAGGUUUUAUGGAGGAAUCAUGGAAUAGAAGAGGCAACCUGGGAGAUGGAGGAAGAGAUGCAAAAGAAAUACCCUGAGCUGUUUAGUAACUCAGGUGAGCAAUUUCGAGGGCGAAAUUUCUUAAGGGGGAGAGGAUGUGAGAACCCAGAACGGGGAAAAAAAAAAGAUUUAGGGUUUUAUUCCUGUGGACCCGUUUUCUUUUAUUUUCUUUAUUAUAUUACUUUUAUCAACAUUUUAUCAGUAAAUAUAAUUUUUAAAUCAUUUUUCUAGUAUAAGGUAGUUCGUGAGAAAUUUGGAACGUAUUUUGGACGUGGGACCCGCUAGUGCAUUUAGUGAGAGAAAUUCGGCCGAUUCGGUUAAAUAUUGCAUAAAGGGAUUUAAUUACUAGGUGUUAGAAGAUAAUUGGAGGUUACGUGGAUGGAUUAACCAUGAGGGACAAGAGGAUAACUCUAAGCAAAAAUAAAGGGACAAGUGUCCAAAUUUUAUUGGAUUAAACCUACCUAACUUUUGGCCUAACUUUUCUUACUUCACUUAAAGUCUAAUUUUGACCAAGUUGUCUUCAUUCUUCAUCUCCUCAUAGCCGAACCUCUCUAGCCAACAAAGGAAAGAAACCUUCAACCUUCUAUCUUCAAAUCCUUGCCAAAUCUUGAAAAUUAACCGAUUGUUUCUUGAAUUAGUCCAUAAAAUCAUCUUGCUAAGGGUGUUUGAAGAACUUGGUGGUUUUGUUUUGGAAGAAAACCUCCUAAGCUACAACCUUUCUUGAAGAACUAAGGUAUUUUGCUUGGAAUUCAUCUUUUGUUUCUACUUUUGGCCAAUUGGUGCCUUAUAGUAGCUAUAUAUGUGAUUUUUCGGAAGAUUUGGUGGAUUGGAGUGAAGCUAGCAAAUUUUCUGAUUUUUGUGGAUUUAUUUCUGUUUUCCUAUGAUGGAUAUGUUUGGGCUUGAAUUGAUGGUUCUAAAUGGUGUUAAAUAGCUCUCUUGUACGUUAAUUGUGGUUAAUUGCGGAAAAUUUCCGCUUGUGGCGAAAAUUUCAGAUUUAGAGUUUCAAAUUGGGGGUUUUCUAUGUAUGAUUGUUGAGCUUCUAAUUGGCUAUAAUUGAGGGGUAUUGUGACCCUAAUGAAGUAUAUUGAAUGGCUUAUGAAUUGUUUGGGUGCUUGUGGUUGUGUUGGAUGGCUUUUAAUGGUUGUUUUGUAGGUUGGAAAAGCUGAAAUUUUAGGGGAAAUGCUGUCCAAGUGUCUAGGGUAUUGGGUUCUUAUGAGUUAGGUUGUGAUUGGAUAGAAAUGAGCAGUUUUAGGGAUUGUUUCCACUUUUAACCCUAAAUGUUAUGUAUUUUUCAUUUCCAAGCUAUAUUUGGGUCUUGCCCUAAGGGUCCCUAUUAAAAAGGUAUUCAACUCGUGUUUGAGUCUUAAUUGUACUUUCUUGAUUAUUAUAGGGCGUGCCGGUGAUCCAAGGCUCACGUCGGGCGAAAACUUGUGAAAUUUCUUUGUCGAACUUGGUGAGUGUACUACUCACAUAUUUGUUAUUCCGUGGCUUUCUUGUACUUGAAUUUUGGUGAUUUGGACUAGUUGUGAUGAUUGUUUGGACUAGGUGAGGCGGGGGUGUACUUUACCACUCUCGUACUCUCUGGCCUCCUUGACUGGUUAUUAUAUUAGACCUACUUGUUUGUUUAUUAUAUCACUUGAAUACUCUUGACUGGACUUGAUUUGGUGUCGAUUGGAUACCAACCUUUACUGUAACUCUGAACCUUUACUGUUUACUCUGAGCUCUCCCUCAUUAGAAGUCAAUGGACUCGAGCCAGUAAGGACUUGGUCGGGGACAUUUGACAAACCAUGGGGACUGUAUUUGGGAAUCUUUGGAUAUAAGACCCUUGAUUUCGGUAUACUCGAGUAAUACCAAUUCUGUACUGUUUGGUGUUCGGGCCCGGUAAGGGGAAAGUGAGGUGGACGGAUAAUUGGAGUAAAGAGGAGUCUACGGUCAUGAUUACCUAGUAUACAUUGACAGAGGGUCAAUGAGAUGUGAUCAAGUAUGGUAAAAGAGGAAAAUGGCUCUUGAGAGCCAUCCGUAUCCUUUUACCCCGUAUGCUUGGGUGUUAUUGCUUUUGCUUACUUGAUGUACGUAUUUGGAUUGAUUAUUCUCGUGUUUAUGUGCUUUUGGUAUAUUUACGUGAUAGUACCUCAUUGGGCGAAAGCUCACUCCGUUAAUUUUGUUUUCCUUACAGGGAAUUAUCUUUUGGACUUUUGAUUUGGAAGAAUGAGUUGAGUAGAGCUAGUUGAGAAAUUUUGUAUAGCUCCUCAAUAGUUGGAACCCUAAUUGUAUUUGGAUCUAAAUGCUUUCUUUUGGCUUGUAAACAUACGAACGUGGUUUGUAAUAGGGUGUGUACUCCUGUCCGAUGUAUUAUAUUUGGCUUGUAUAUAUUCUUUUCAGUGAUUGUUGGCUCACUUGUAUUCAAUGAGGUCUUGGCGGAUGGUGACGUGGCAGUCCCUAUUCGCUUUAUGUUUUGACUUUUGUUUUCCGUUUCACGACUUUUGGUUUGGUUAAGUGCGCUAAUGGUUUCCCGAAUGACUUGAGUUAUGGUUUGACCAUUUUAGUAGUCCUGGCGAGAGCUGGGCAGGCAGCCCGCUAACUCCUUUGGUACGCCUUAGGGGGAGGUGGGGCUGUCACAUUAAAUCAUUUUUCUAGUAUAAGAUAGUUCAUAUUAAAUUUGAAGUGUAUUAUGGGUGUGGGACCCGCUAGUGCACUAAGUGCGAUAAAGUUUUGACGAUUAGUGGAUGAUUUGUAUAAAGAGAUAUUAUUUUACAAGGUGCUAGGAGACAAUUAGAGGUUAGCUAGAUAAAUUACAAUUAGUAGACAAAAGGAUAAGAUUGAAACCCUAAAGGACCAUUUGUCAUAAAACCAUUGGAAGUUGGACUUUUGACCAAGGUUAUUAACUUUACUAAAAUCAGAUUUUUGACCAAAAUUGCUUCACUUUCUUGUCUCCUUUGGCCGAAAAUAUUGAGAGAAAAACCACGAGAGUUCUUCAUCUUCCACUUCAAUUUCUUGUCCAAAUCUUGAGUUCCAACUGAUUAAAUCGCAAACUACUCCAUAAAAGUGCUAGUUAAGGUAGUUUUCAAGGUGUUUGUGGAGCUAUUUUGGGAGAAAAGACACUAAGCUGCUACCUUCUUGAGGUGUCAAGGUAUUUUUCUUGGAAACUCACUCUUUGUUCCUAAUAAUGGUAAAUUAGUGACUUGUAGUGGCUAAAUAGAUUGUUCUAUGGAAGAUUUCAUGGAUUAAAGUGGAGUUAGAUAAAUUUCUGAUUUUUUUGGGGAUUUUUCUGUUUUCAUAUGAUGGUUAUGGUUGGCCUUGGAUUGAUAGCUCUGAAUUGUGUUAAAUGGAGCCUUUGUGCAUUAAUUGCAGUUGUUUGCAGAAAAUUUCAGAAUUUGUGCGGAAAUUUCAGUUUUAGGGUUUCAAUUCUACCAUGUUCUGACUAGUGUCAUUCGGCCAUGAUGGAGGCCAAAUUGGGCUUAGUUCAAAACAUGAAAGUUGUAGGAAAUAAUAUUUUAUAGCUGUCUGUAAAAUUUCAGCGCAUUCAGAGUACUGUAGCUUGUGAAAUGACUGAAAUACCCUUGACUGUCCACAAGCCUUGUUUCACGGACAGUUUUCUGUCCUCUCUGUGAUUUCGAUAUUUGACCAUGAAAAUGCAUGAUUUGGCUUUGGAGGCUUGGCUUCGAAACACCAUAAGAUUCGUUUCAAUACGAUAAGUGUAGCUUCAGUUGUGGUUAUUAUGCCGAAAGGUGUGUUUUAUAGUCUAUGAUUUGUAUGUGGUUAAUUUAAAAUGAAUUGGUGUUGAUUGUAGGAUGGAAAAGUAAGGAAAUGUAGGGGAUAUGCUGUCCAAAUUUUGGGAAUAUUGGAUUUAUUUGAGUUUGGUUUGGUUUGGAAUACUUAAGAAGGGCUUUUGGGGGUUGUUCGAGUCCUAGAUCUUCAUGUUACUUUUUCGUCCCAAAAUCAUGUUUUGUGCCCUUGCAUGAGUAAUUAUUUGGCGAGGUCUACGACUUGUAGUCGAGCCUCAUUUGUGCAUUUUAUUUACUGGAUUUGUGGUUGUGGGAACCAUAAUUGUUUACCUUAGUUAUUCUAGGAUUUCUUGGUGAUUAGAGCCCUACUUUGGUUGAAACUUUUGAAGUAUCUUUACAUGAACUGGUGAGUGUACCACUCCCCUGAAUUAUUGCUAAACUGGUUAUCUGUACUUGCAAAUUGCUAUUUGAAUGUCUUUACUGACUGUUUAGUUUGUACGAGAUGAGUGUGUACCUUAUCGCACUCGUUCUCUGACCUGUGUGACUUGUUUCCUGUAUAUACUUGAAUUUGUUACUUGUGCCUGAUAUGAUGUCGUUUGGAAGUGUAUCCAACGACCUUCCUGUUACAUCUGAGAUCAAUCUCAUAGGGAGUCAAUUGAAUCAAGCCAGCAAGGGCUUGGUUGAGGAAAAUUGACAAUCCAUAGGUGCCUGUUCUUGGGAAAUCUUUGGGUAUUGGAGACUCUAGAUUUCUGGUAUACUCGAGUAUUACCAUUCCUGUUCUUGUUUGGCAUUCGGGCCCGAUAAGGGGUAUGUUUGGUGAUCGGGAUUUUGGUGUAAGCGAGGUCUACGGACAUAUGUGUUUCAUUAAAAGUUGACGGAGGGUCAACGAGACUGGAUCAAGUAUUGCAACGGGGAUUUGGCUCCUGAGAGCCACCUGUAUCCUUUAAAUUGUGGUGUUCGUUCAUUUCUCUUAUUUGAUGUGUAUAUGUGCCCUAAAAGUGAUUUCUCAUGAUUUCUACUGUUUAUACUUUUGGGUACCUCAUUGAGCCCCGUUCCGUUAUCUUUGUUUUCCUUACAGGGAACAAUCUUUUGGAACUUCGAUGUUUUGAAGAAUGAGUUGAGUUAGUUAGAAAUUCUUUUAUUUUUUUGGUAUAGCUCCUCGACAAUUUGGAAACCCUAAAUGUAUCUUAAUACACUGUUUCCUUUUGGAUUUGUAAACUUACUAAUAUGUAUAUUUUAAAGUGUUUCCUCAUGUUUAUGUGACCUAUGUAUUUGGGAAUGUACAUUCUCUCAUGGUAGGCAAAGUUUACUUGUACUUGAUUGGAUUGUGACGUGGCAGUCACUGUUCAUCCGCGGCUUGUUUUCAUUCUUCGUUUCAUUUUUUUUAUCGGUCGUUGUAGCGCUCGAGCACUGUAUUAUCUUUCAGAACAAGUAUUUUAGGGUGUGAUUAGCUUAUUGUAUCUUUUAUUUCGGUUCAAUUGGGUUAUGAAUGUUAUCUUCUUGAAGUUCUUUUGAGCGUUUGGUAAGGUUUCUGUUUGUUCCGGAUCCGUAGUCCCGACAAGAGCUGGGCAGGCGGUCCGCUGAACCCUCUGGUUCGCCUUAGGGUGAGAUAGGGCUGUCACACGGCCUCCAUCAUGGCCGAAUGAAACUGGUCAGAACAGGGUAGUACAAAAACUUAAAGCUGGAAUUAAUGCAUUCAAGCGAUAAUCUUCUUAUUCAUGUAUAAAACCACUACUACCACUCCCCUAUCUAAGCUUAUUCACAUCAUAUUCUAGAUAAAUAACACUAAUAAAAAUAGAAAUUAGAAACCCUAGCUGAAAAUUAUAAGUUAAUAAGCCAAACCAUGAAAUCUUCCAUACAAUCCACCACAAUCAAACCAUGCUUUGCUUAAAUUGCAAAAUAAGAAAGAAACAAGGGAGGUUUCUAGUAUAAUACCUCAAAAUCUUCAAAAUAACUUGUGAUACAAGAACUUUCUUCCUCCCAAAAGUUCCACCAAACUCACCUCCAAGCUUUCCCAACAAUUGAUCGGAGUAGAAUCAAGUUUUACGGUAAUUUUCUCAAGAAUCAAGCAAGCUCUCAAGUUGGAAAAAUGGAAAAUUUUCUCUCUUCUCUUUUUCCUCUGCUAAGUCACGACCAAGCAUGAAGAAAAUGAGGUGUUUUUGGUUCUAUUUUACAAGAUGAAGACUAAGGAUAGUCUUGGUCAAAGGUCUUGGUCAAGACCUUGGUUGGAUUUUUGACAAAUGGCUUAAUCACAAAUAUUUCCACUUAAAUAUCUCUCUUUUUCUUAGUCAAUAAUGGUGGCUGACUUAAGGGUUAAUUAAGAGCUAAUUAGCUCAACUAAAACAAGGAGAUUAAGGUAAUAAAGCAAUAUUCAAGAGAUGCACUCAAUCGGUAACGAACGGUACACAUCGGUUCAACCCGUUUUUUCUUAUUUCGCACGUACUAGGGUUUUCACUUGCAAUUCAGUAACUUAUUAUUAUUACUUCUAAUCAUACACUUAAUAUCAUCUAAAACUCACUCUAAAUCACUAAAUUUGAUACACACUCCGUACCGAAUAAUUACACUACGAAAAGAUGAAAAAACCCUAGUUUACCUUAACGAUGAAAAUAAAGGAAAAACCCUUGGUUCUAUGAUUAAUUGUAACUAUUGAGGAAGUGAAUGAGUAGUAAAGCUAUUGUAAAAUAAUAGAUUCCAAAUAAAAGGGAAUUUUUAAGAAAAUAUGAAGGAUUUUACAAGUCUUCACAAUCACACUACCAAAAUGCACACAAAAACACACACCAAAACCCUAGUAUGCACAAAAACCCUAAUUUAUGCCCUUCCUAUAGAAAAAAUUAUAACUUGUGCUAUAAAUAUAAAAAAUUUAUAUAACUUGGCUUGUUAAAAAAACUAGCUUUCAAAUAAUAAGAAUCUUUAGAAGACACCUUAAAGAGAUUUAGUUCAUAAGUUGGUCCAAAUUGAGCCAUAAGCUGCUACAACAUUCCUACGUUUACUUGUGCAGGGCAGAAUUUUCAGUCAACUUUGCCAAUUUCCUAGAAUUUAUAGACAUUGAAUCAAACACUAAAUUUUACACCCUAGGAAGCCCUCUGAGUCUAGUUUCAAAUGCAACAAACGGAAAUCAAUUCCGACUUUCCUAUACGAAGUUAUAGUCAAUUUCCCAAAGCUGCGCAGAGCCUCCUGUGAAAAUUUCUAGAUUUUCUAACAACUUGAGAUUAUGAAACUUUUCUUAACGAAAUUCACUCCCUUGGCUCAAAUUCAACCAUUAAAGAAACCAAGAAUCAAAGGCAAGUGAGUUCACAUAAGGGUUAUAAAGACAAGUGAAUUUUUGUGGUCUAACACUUUAACGGCUAGUUGACUCUUCACUUACUUUCUAUCCGUUGGAAGCAUUAAUGAAGCACUUUCUUGAUCCAAUAUAAAUAGUGCUUGGUCAGAAACUUCAACCAACUUUUGCACAUUGAAGAUACAAAAGAUCUAAAGUAGUUUUAGUGAGAAAACACUCUCCAAAGAAGAUUUGUAGUUGUGGUGGUGUGAAGUUCAUUGUAAACUUUUCAUUUGUGAGUGAAUACUUCAAUAGUGUAGCUCUAUGAGAGUUGUCUUGAGGGAUAGUAAAACUUCCUUGCUUGAUCGAGUGGAGCUUGGGGUUAGGAGGAAGUGAACCUUUCUUUGUACACAAGUUUGAUUGUACUUCAUCAACUUCUAGAAGCUUGUUCUAUAAAUUGAUCUACAAGCUCAAGAGGAGUUUGGUAGUCAAUUGGUUUGCAAUUCUUCCCUUCUUAUUUACUCAUUGUUAAAUUGUGAUCUUUUAAUUGCUUAUCUCUUCUACUCCCAAGCAAUCAUGCUUUCUUACUAAUUGCUACAUUGUGUAGUCACUUAGAAAAGAGGAUAAAUUUCAUUUUGAGCAAAAGAGUGCCCAUAACUUGGCCAGUUUUUAAUCAACCUAAUUCACCCCCCUCUUAGGUUGUCUUCAAUCCUUACAAACUAGACCACCGAUCUUUAAGAAUUCCUGCAAAAUGAGCAAGAAACACAGAUAAGAUCUCAAAAUGAGAUUCUUUAGUUAAGUUUUGAACAAUCAUCCAAGCAUGAAAUUCUUGGAAUUUUGCUUCCCAUUGCUCAAAAGGAAUAUUAUCAAUUGUAAAAAUUUGUACUCCCUUUGCUUUAGGAAAAUUUGUUCGUUGUGUCCUCGAUGCACCAGAAGUUUCUCCCUCUUCUUCUUCCUCUGUAUCAUCUGGAUGUACAACUUCAGCUUCAGUUGCUAUAUUGAUCAUAGGGAUUUGUUCAUCAGAAGAAGUUUGAGAAGAUUUUCCUGUAUCUUCUUCAGAUGUUUCUUCUUCUUCGGCUGUUUGACUUUCCACUGAUAAGUCUUCCUGAUCAGCCACUUGAGAGUUUGAUAAGUUUGUCUGGUCUGAUUCAGGGGAAUCAGAUACUUGAGAAUAUGUUGAUAUAUAUGGAACUGAAUCAUCUUGAAGAUCUUUUAGCAUAGAUGAAAAGGGAUUGUCAUAGAUCUUUGUAACUUCAUUUGCUUUAUUUUCUUGUUCAAGAGAGAAUGUAGGAUUCGUAUGUACAGUAUACAUUAAUGAAGAAUCAGGUUCUUGUACAACUUCCUUUGCCUUUCUUUUUCUUUCUUCUUCAACUCUUUUUUGUUCUUUUUUAGCUUUCUUUUUUCGUGUUCUUCUUCCUUUUUCUUUUGUUUGUUUUUGCUAUAUUCUCGCAAAACCUGUGCAAUAUCAAAAGGUUUAGAAGAUUGCUGCGGCUGGUGAGGGAAAAAUACUGAAGGAUUAGGAGUAGUAACUCCCCCAAAAUAAAAAGGUGUUGGCCAGUUUCUGAUGGGUGUAGCACCAAAUCCUGGACUUACCUUUGUGACUAGUUUGCUUGGUCAAUAUCAAAUUUAGGAACUUCUCCUGUAGUUCUUAAAGUAGCAAUUUGGUUUUGAAUAAAUUGAGUUUCCUUUUCUUUAUUCAAAACAAAAUUAGCUAAGGAAGAUGAAUUAGAAGGUAAUUCAUACUUAAAUCCUUCAAGUCUUUGUUCAAGAACCAACUGGCUCUACUCUUUUGGGUUUACAGGUCCCUGAUGAAGUUUUUGCUGCAACUCCACUACAAAUUGAUAAGAAAACUUAUCCUCAAGCUCUUGUUCAUAUUCUUUUGGAUAAGUAUUCUCAACCCAUUCCUCUUAUUGCAUUUUUUGAUACUGGUGCUGCACUUUCUAUAAUGAAAAAAGAUGUUUUACUAGAUGAGUAUUGGACUCCAUAUGUUCAUAAGUUUAGAGGAGCUAAUGGGAAACCUUUUUAUGCUGAGUUUAUUACCAAAAUUCCUAUUUCCCUCAAACUCCUUCCAGAUUGUUAUGUGAGUUCACAAUUUCUUGGUGCCACCUUUGUUAAGGAUCUUUUGUUAGGAUUUGAUGUUUAUCGAGAAGAUAAAUAUCUUGUUAAAGGAAAAGGGAUUAAAUAAAAAAAAUAUGUUAAACCCUUUAUUGAUAUCCCAAAGUUAUACCUGUUUCAAGAAGAACAAGUUUUGUUGAUAGAAGCUCAACUCAAAGAUUUUCAAGCAAAAAUCAUUCAGGAAUCUUGUGCUUCAAAUCAUCAAGAGUUCUUACAAAAAGGCAACCAUCCUCUAUGGGAAAAUUCUGAUUUUUAUAUCCAACUUCCUUUCAAAAAAGAGUGAGGAUAUAAAUCCCACAAAAGCCAGUCAUUCAGGAAUGAAUCCUAAAGAUACUAAACUUGCAGAACAAGAAUGUGAAGAACUUUUGAAAUUUGGUCUCAUUGAACUAUCUGAUUCUCAAUGGGCAUGUCAAGCAUUCUAUGUCAACAAGAGAUCUAAACAAGUAAGAGGUAAGAUGAGAUUGGUAAUUAAUUACCAGCCUCUUAAUAUUUUUCUUCUUGAUGGCAAAUUUUCCAUUCCCAACAGAUUUACACUUUUUGCCCAGAUUUCCAAAGCAAAAUGGUUUUCAAAAUUUGAUUUAAAAUCUGGAUUCUGGCGAUUGGGAAUACAUCCAGAAGAUAGGCACAAAACUGGCUUUUGCAUUCCAAAUCAUCAUUUUCAAUGGAAGGUUAUGCCUUUUGGUCUCAAAACGGCACAUUCACUUUUCCAAAAAGCCAUGAUAAAAAUUUUUCAACCUAUUCUACAUUCAGCCUUGGUUUACAUUGAUGACAUUCUUCUUUUCAGUAAUACAUGGGAAGAACAUUUUCAAUGGCCAGGACCUUAUGGCUCGUGGAAUUUCCAAAAUAGCCAUCCAUACUGGAUAAAAGUCCAAAGAGCCAAAAAACAACGGACAGACAUGAUGAAUUCCCUGUUAUGCAAGAUUCUCAAGAUCCAUAUGAAAUAGAAAACUCACAACAAAAGUCAAAAGCCGGACCAUCCUUAUCUUCUUAUAAGAUAUGUCCUAAAUGGAAAAGACAAGCUAAUAAAAAGAAAAACAAAAAGGACCAUGAAGAUUGGAAUGAACAAAUGAAUAUCACAGAUCCAGAUUCUACUCCAUCAGAUACUCCAGAAGAAGAUCACAUGAUGAGCUUUAUUGAUAAGGACCCAUGAUAAAGUUGUUGGCCAUUUGUCGGCCAUUUUACUAAUUUUGCUUGUAUAAAAGUUGCUGGCCAUAAAAUAAAAGUUGUCGGCCAUAUUUACUACUUUUAUCCCAACAGUCAAGUAACCCUUCAGGAAAGUUAUUCCCAAAGGUCAUAUUUGUGAGGACCCAAAAAUUUUUCUAUUUUAUUUUAUUUUACUGGUUUAAUUAAUUAUUUAGUUCGACUAUUUAAAAUCCAUUUAUUUGGAAAAAACGCCUCUUUUAUGUUUUAAAAUGUUUUGUUAGAAAAAAUUACUUUUCGAAAACUCGUUUAGUUCGGAACAACAAGUACAUGUUUUUCGAGACUAUAUUUGAAUUGAGAGUGUAUUAAUUUUAGAAAAUAAGAAUGACCAAUAGUAGAUUAAGAAAAGUCGUGAGGACUCGUAAAAAUGUAAUUAUUUUAAACUCCUGUUACGAGUUUAUUUAAAUAUUUAAUUACCUGUUUGCCCCGAAUAUUAUUUUCUAACCUUUUUAGACCCAAUUGCAUGGAACUAUGACUUACAUGUAUUUUUAAAAUGACUUGUUGCAAAAAUUAAUUUUUGAAAGCUCGUUAAGUGAGAAUAGCGAAUACACGUUCGGAGACUAUAGCCGAUUUGAGAGUACAAUAAGUUUGGAAAAUUGGAGACUUGUAUAUUAGCUUUGAAAUAGGUAUUUUUAUAUUUAAAUGCUCAAGCGAUAGUUAGUUAUACUAUUGUUAUAAUAAUUUCUUAGAAAUUUCGCUUCAUCGCGCACAAAUUGGAAGUACGCGUUUUUACGUGCGUGAUUAAUUGAAAGACCUUAGACUUUUAUUUUGGGACUGCUAAGAGUGAAUAAUAAUAGUAUGAAUACAAGUGCAUUAGAGGUAUAGUGCACUAGUGAAACAAAUUCAAGAGAAAUCGAGCACGAAACACGCGCGUACGCGCACUAUCCUUAGUUGACUUUUGGAGCAAUUUUGGCCACACAUUCUUAAGCUUCUCAUGGAAGCAUCACACCAGAUCAAAACCCUUCUUUUCUUACCUCAAGUGCACGGCUGAAACUCUCAUCUUCUCACCUCAAGAGCCGGCCAAAACAAGAAAGAAAAGAAAGGAAAGAAAGCUCUUCAUUUUCUUGCUCAUUCCUUGUCCAAAUCACCUCAAAUUUUACGUACAACUUGCUAAAUACUUGGUGAACAACAUUAGCUAGGAAAGGAGCUGCCUCUCAUAAUUUUUCUUCAGCUCAAAGUGACCGAAAAUUUCUGUCUUGAACAUCUAGGAAGGUAAUGAACGAUCAACCUUGAAAAUCUUGAUUUAUGGAAUUUCUAUUGCACUUAUAAGCUUGUAUUUCCAUGUGGGUAGCUUUAUUUAUGUUGGAUUUUGGUGUGUGGGCUCUAUGAACUCCUACAAUGACUUGAGGACUGAUUUCAUGAGUUUUGAUGUUAUUAAUGUUGGUUUAGUGCUUAAAUUAGUGGAAAUAAGUUGUAUUGGUGAAAGGAAACUCAAAGGAGAUGAUGAGCAAAAAUAUUCCGAAACUGCCCCUGUCAUUUUCGUGUGCUUUUGAGCACUUUUCAGUAGUUCAAUUGAUUUUUUUAUGAUGUAUACAUGUUAUAUAGAUAGUGCAGAAAGGUUCUUUGAAAAAUAACAUGAUUUGGUUGGUCAAAUGUGUUGAUUUCCAAAGUAUGGCAGAACUGGAAAAUUUUCGUGGAUUGCCCAGGCAGUCCUGUUGUUUCGGAUAUAACUUUUACUCUGAUGUCGAAAUCGAGUGCCGUUUGUGGCACUGGAAACUAGACAUUCCCAGCUUUCUAUUGGUAUAAAAUGGACAUCCUGGUUCCAUUUGUGUGAACCAAACCAUUCGUUUGAAGUUUGCUGUCCUGUUUCGUUGGUUCAUUACAAGGCAGAACAUGAACUACAAAUUGAUGCUCAAAUGUGAGCUAGUUGUGGAUGGAUUUUGAAAAUGGUUUCUUCUGAGAAAUUGUAGCUUUAUGAAUGUGUUUUUCAACACUGCCAACCAUGCUCAAUUCCAAGUUGAAUUAAGUGUGUUGUGGCUAUAUUUUGAAACUGAUGCAGUGAGUAAAAACCCUCUUUUGACUAGUAAUGCCUAAAUCCUGAUUGGGACUUGUUGUUUUGGAAUUCUUGGUGUUAAUCACCUACCAAAUAUAUUUUGGAUGUUUCUUAGACUUUGUCUACACAAAUGAACCACAUUUGAGAUGUUUUCAUUGGCCAAAUGUUUUAGAAAAGGAAAAUUGAAGUACAAGGCAGAUUUGCCUUGGAAUCCUUGAAAUUUUAGUGAUUUGGUUAACCAACUUCCAGUACGUAUUUUUCUAUGAACAUUAGCAUAGGAAUAUCUCUUAUAUGGUAGUGUGAUCAUACCAAAUUUGGUGCCAUUCCAAGUCCGUUUAGAUGUUCAAUCAAAGUCCCAAAGUUUGUGAAUUAAACCUGGAAAUUUCUUAAUGGUUUCACAUUUUCACCAAUUUUGAGCUACUAUAUUUUGGUGCUCAAAACUCCGAUUCUUGUUCUGCUUUUUGUGUUUUAAACUUUGAUUGAAACUCUAAAUGAUUUUCAAAUUUGAGAGACUAGUUCAAAUUCUGUGAAUUUUGCCGAAUUUGCAAAUUUGGCCAAAAAUCAACCCCAAAACUGUCUUAAGGGUACAAAACAGCAAUUUUGAGACAAAUUUUAAAUACCUUCCGUUUGGAAUCAUGGAAAAGUGUCUUCUGAAAACUUUUAGUACUUUAGAAGUAGUUUCCAAUGGUACCAAGUUUUCCAAUUUUGGACUCAUAGAGAGUGAGAUCUGAUUUUUCAAAAUUUGCUUGCCGAAUCUAAAAUUUCCGAACUUAAAGGAAAUUGAAGGGUUUCAAACUCUCCAUUUUCCUCUGCUAUUGCUCGACAGUUUCACACUUGAUUUCAAAGGUGAAAAUCAGAUUUCUCUUGUAUUUUUAAAACCCACUUUCGAGCCUCGAUUAUAAAUAAUUAAGGUUCAAUUCAUGAAUUCUCCUUAGAAUGAACACUAGUACAACCUUCUCGACAAGUAAAGAAUUUUAAGCGAUGGUGUGUAAUAGACAACUAUUGUUUGCUCAGGUGCUCAAGGAGACCUUCAAGAGGAUCUCGAGGGGAACACUUAAAGGAUUGUAUACGCACUUACUCUUUUGUUGCAAUAGGUGAGUGUUCCAUAUAGGAGUACGUAAUUUGAAUAAGUCUAUGACAUGCUUAUUUCAUGAUCGUCAAGUAUUAAGUGCUACAUGUUAAGUAUUUACUACACUCAUACAUAUUUAAGUAGGGUAUACUUGAAUUACUCGACAUGAAAUGCUUGAAGAGCAUAGUUACAUGACUACUUGAAUUAUUCGACAUGAAAUGCUUGAAGAGCAUAUUUACAUGACUACUUGAAUUACUCGACAUGAAAUACUUGAAUUGUAUACUCAUGUAAUGUGUUUAAAUGAUUAAUUAUGCUAUGGCUGCAUAAGUCGGCUGGAGUGAACCUCCUCGACUCUUAAAUGAUAAAAGUGAGAAAACGGCCAAUGGCGGCCUAUUAAAAUGACUAAUGUCUACCAAUUAACUGUGAUUACAACCGUUAACCGUCAACUGUCAACCGUUAACCGUUAAAUCAUUAACCGUUAACCGUUUACCGUAAUUACUUACCGUUUUCCUAUCUACUUGAUUACUUGGUACUUGAUUACUUGAUUACCGUAAAUUACAUGUUCACAUGAAAUUAUCAAAUAUUGCUUACGUGUUUAUGUGUUAAUUGUUACUAGUAAUUGCUCAUAUGAAAUUGUCCACCAUUUUAAGGCGAGUGUGUACUUUAUCUCACUCGACCUACCAAAAGAAUAAAUUUUUACCGUUCGCCAAGUUAUUUGAUUACUUGUGCAUGUUGUAAGCUCUAAGCUGAACUUGGGCCCUGCCCUUGGUUACUGACCUACUCGAGUUAGGACUGGGCUCGAUCGGGUAGGUUGGAACCCUGGGCCAUCGUUUCGAUAUACUUGAGUAUUACCACUGGAGGGAUAAGGCGAUGGCUAGACAGUACCGUGGGGACCGGAAGUUAUAAUGUGCAGUUGACCAAAAUAGUUCCACUGGAACACCGUAUCCUUCAAUGUGUGUUUAUUUUGCUCAAUGAUAACUGUUUCAUGCAAAUGUGCCAUACUUGUGAUAUGCUCAAAUUACUCGUACAAUGAUUAUUGUCUCAUGUUAAUAUGCCAAUGCGUAAUCUUGAACCAUACAUAUGAUAUGCUCAACUUACGUGAUUUAUUAGAACUGCUAGAGUGUCUUGGAACCUCAUUGGCCUGUGUAGCUCGUCCCACGUUUUGGGUUUCUUUAAUAGGGUUCGAGACCAAGAGUGCUCGUAAAUAAUACUAGAUAACUUUCUUUUGAAAAUUUAAAGUUGUAUUACAGCAGAUGGCUGUAGUAAAUAUUCUUUUGGGUUGUAUUAAGCUUGAGAGCUGAUUAAUUGUAAGUGUGAGAUAUUUUGGAGUACUUUUAUUAUGUAUUGAAGUUAUUUGAAGUAUUAUUGAAAUAUUCCGAGCUUUUGAAUUGUGAAUUGUAGUGAGUCCUGGCGAGAGUUGGGCAGGUGUCCCGCGGAUACCCUUUGAUUCGCCUCAGAGAGAAGUGGGGGCGUCACAAUAUUACUGUAUAGGUGUCGGUUGGUUUGUGCUAUAAAUAGAUGAGUCAUUCCAUUUGGAAGAUCAUCUUGAAUGAAAUCUUGAAUAAAAGUGAGUGUUUGCAAAUAUGUCAGCCUAAGUUUUCUUUUAUUUCCUUCAAACAAGGCAAUGAUACAUGGCUAGAGGGGUAUCCAAAGUCGCUUCAUAAAAGUCCCUUGAUCGUUGAAAUCCUAAGGAAUGGGGAUGAUAUUUAAUUAAAGACUUUAUUUGUCUUAAAGGAGGGAGAGAUUGUUUGCCAAAAGCAGUAUAAGAAUUAAUAACAGGUAAAGAGGUAGGAUUAACCACGUCUAGUUCAACAGAAACUUCAUACAAAUAAUCUAACUUAUUACUAUUAACUUUAUUUAACACAAGACCACUAGAAGUAGUAAUACUGAAGAAGUAGAUGAAGACAUAUUAUACAAAUAGAUCACUUUUUUAAGGCUUCUUUUGAGAGGUUUUCAAAAGCAAUCAUAGAAAUUCGGACAUACAGAAGAUCCAUUGCAACUUGCCUACUAACUAUGGCAUAAGACAUAGGAUGCAAAUAUUCUAAAUAUUGCUUCUUUUCAUCUUCAUACAUAUCCAAUUUUAAUAUGUCUUUAGCAGAUCCUCACCUACUUGAUGCUUUGAAAGUACAGGUUCAAAUUAUUGGUACAGAUCAAGUUACUGAUGCUAUUGCAGCAACUUUACACUAUCAAAUGGUGUAUCGAGUCCAAAAUCAUGCCCUUGAUCUUACCAUACCUGGUGGAGAAGAUGCUCUUCUUAUCCGAGUGGAUGAAAAGACUACAACCUCCUACACUCAUGUUCCAAGACAGAUUUCAAAGCCAUGACUCAUGCAACUGAUCACCAAUGAUAUUUUCAAAAGUGUGAACCACAGAUUACUCACGGAAAAAGAAGGCCCGAGAUGUAUUAAUAAGUUAUAUGUUUUAUCAUGUGCAUGUCACUUGCUACUGUAUAUUAAAUCUUGUUGAUUACAAUAACUUGUUUCCUCUCAAAAGUUCUAUCAAUAACUUGUUUCCUCUACUGCGUAAUUAGCAAGAAAAUCCAACACUAAAACACGAACCAAGAACAAUAAAGAUCAAUAUCUGCUACAUUGAUUUGAAUUUACAAAAGUAGAAAUAUGUUUAUUACAGCGAACCAUCAAACCAAUAUCAUUAGCUUAUGGGUACAGGAACAAAAGGCUUAUAAUUCGGUGGCUUAUCACUUAUUUGGCAAGGUUAUCAUAGCAAAUUAAUCACCAUAGCCCAAGCCUAGUUCAACGUUUAAACCAUAAAGAUAUAAAAUUUAUCUCACUUAAGUUAAAAAAAAAAGUUGAAGGAAGUGAGACAAAUUAUAUACUUAUGCAAGAAUUAUUUUGUAUUUUAGGGACUAAAGUAAGCCUAGUUUUAUAUUUUCGAGUCUAAAAUUAUAUAUGAAUUUAACUUUAUGGAUUAAUUUGAGAUGAAUUUUAUACAUUAAGAACUAAAUGUCCCACUUUAUUACAAGUAAUUUCCUAUUAUUUUGUAAUAUUAGUCGUAUUUAGAUCGUGGUAAUAAAGUUGAAGGGGUCAAAUUGAAUUUUAUUAUUUGACAUUUUAACAUUUAGUAGAAGAAAAUUUCUAGACAAAAAUAGUUGCCUUACUCACCAACAUAAUUAAAGAAAUUUUUAAUGAGUAAUAAUCCACAAUAAUGAAGAGCGAAGACAAUCACAAAUUAUUAUCAGAAUACUCAAUUAAACUACAAAAUACUCAGUUAACUGAGUAUUAUUAUUAUAAUACUCAGUUAAACUACAAAAUUAUCAAUGUUGUCGUUGGCCUCUGUUGUGGUGAAAUGUCAAACUAGUAACAUUUUUUCAUGAUAACUUUGAAUAUCAUCUUCUAGCUUUUCUUUAUCAAAAUCAAAAAUCAACAAUGACUAAAACAAAAUAGUCAAAAAUCACAAAAAAAUAUGCUACUUACACCACCUAAUUAAUCCACAAACUUUAAAAACUAUGUGACAAUUUCUUCUCCAUCUUAUAAAGAAUCUAUGUACCUAAUAAAGUACUAUUUAAAGUAACCUAUAAUGGUAAUAGAUUUACUACUAUAGGUGAUUAUCAAACAACAAAUAUGAGCGUGAAAAACGUGACAUCCAUGCCUAGUAAAUCAAUCUACGACUAUAAAUUAAACGUCAUAAGAUAAGGGCUUUUGAGUGUAUUCAUUAAAUUUUUUUUCCUAUUUAAGGUUUGGUUACUAAAAGUGCCAAAUUCGGAGAAGUCAGCAUAAUUUUUAAAAGCUCAACAGAGCAAAGUGAAAUUGUCAAAAACCUCAAUGGAGGUUUCUAAAAUUAUUCCAUAAUAAUUUGCAUACUCCAUGCUGACAUUAGAUUCUUAUUUUUUUUAAAUUAACUUUAGAUUUUGUUUAUUUUUUCCAAGUGGGGACUGGACGGGUGGGAUUUAAGAAACGGGCAGGGCAGGAGAUUAAAAUCUAAGACCUCUAAUUCCUGACUUUAGAUCAGUAUUAUUCCAUCCUUGACAUAUCAUCACCAUUAAUUUUAAGCAAUCCUUAUCCAAUAUAUAAAAAAUAUAUGAACCAGGAUGAAUUUAUGCUCAAACAUAAGAUGAAAAAAUGACUUUUCUUUAUUUACAUAACUUGGAGCCACAAUUAUGCUAAAGAAAUAGAAUUAGUAUCAUUCCAUGCUUGACAUAUCAUCACCAGUAAUUUUAAGCAAUCCUUAUCUAAUAUAUAAAAAGGUGCCAACCAGGAAGAAUUUAAGUUCAAACAUAAAAUGAAAAAGCAUGACUUUUCUUUAGUUACAUAACUUGGAGGUAUAUUCACGCUUAAAACCUAGGUAUGGUCACGCUUAAAACCCUACAAGACAAUAGGAAAGUAUCCUAAAUUCUCCUUAAUGUACUCUUCCUCCGAAAACAUUCUUCCCAAUGUUUCAUCCCUACAAAAACAUUCCAAUUCCCUCCACAAUUUGGCAAACAAAUUGAAAUGGAUUCUCCCGCUCAAAGAUUAAGAGCAUAUUUAUAUCCAUCCACAUUCCACACCUUUUAUCUCCAAACUUCCUCUUUCCCCACUUUUCAAAGGUAAGAAUUUAUUACUCAUAUAAAUUAAGCCUUCCCUUCUUUUAGGUAUUCUCUUCCUAUUAUACUUUUGAGAUUAUAGUUUAUGUGUUCAAUAUCUGGUCGUGCAGGAUUUGUUUUGGGCUUUGUCAUUAUUAUUGUCAAAAGGUAACCAAUGGAACUCCCAAUCCUUUUUGUAUUGUGCCUUGUGAACUUUUGAUGUAGAGUCACAUGAUUAUAGACAACCUACUACUCAUGUACUUAUAUAGGCUUUGUUAAAUGCUCAAACUAAGAAAAGGUAUACUAAAAUUUCAUGUAUUGGUAUAUGGUUUAUUCACCUAUUCAAUGGAGAAAAAAAAUGAGAUUAUUAUAUAAAGCAAGAGUUUUUGACUUGUAAUUGGGUUCCUAAUCUUCUUGUGUAAACAUGUUAAAUUCCUUGUUUGAGAUUUAUUAACAUGUUAAAUUCCUUGUUGGAGCUGCUAUUGUUUGACUUUUGCUCAUCUCUCCCCUAAAAAAAAAAAAGAAUUUUGCUCAUCCAAAUGGUUGUGUUGUAGUCCGCAUUACCACUUCUUUCCUGCUAUUCCAUCUUACUGAGAUUGUUGCUUUGUUUGGUUGGAUUGCCUGACUUUAAGUGUAAGGACCCGAAAAUUUGUUUCCUAUAUUUUUGUUAGUUUAACUUACUUGCCUUGAAUUUAUGAUUGAUUUGAUGGUUGAGUCAUAAUUUUUAUCCUAUUGCCUUAUUUAACCCGGUGCAUGUUGAGUUUCAUAGUGCAUUAUGCAAUAAAUUGGGUGGACAACAGGGAGUUUUGUGCAAAAGGAUUAUUGUACUACAAGGUGUCAAGAUAUAAUUAGAUAUGUGCUAGAUAUUUUAGUGAUUUAAAGAAAACUAGAUAAGGAUUAGAUCUUGUGUUGCCACAUGUCAAGCAUCCAAGGGAACUUUGACCAAGACUAGUUUGAUCCUUAUCCAAUUUAAGCUUCUCUUUCUUCACUUUUCUUUCUUAACUAUUUCUUCAUUAUUUCUCUUGUCUUGGCCGAAUUCUUGAGGAGAAAAAAGGGGGGAAAACAACUCAAUUUCAAACCUUGAUUCUUGUCUACUUGGUCAGAGAAAACAAGAAAGAAACUCUAAUCUACUCUACCAAACCUUGAAUCAAAAUUGGAAGAAAGGUCUUGAAGAAGUAUUUGGAGGAGGAAAGUCUUACAACCAUCUUGAUUUGCUUUCCAUGCUAGGUUUUGGAGGUAAAGAGAUAAAAUUUGUUAGGAAAUUUAGCUUUCUUCCUCCCUUAUCUUUGAUUUUAUUUGAGGUAUGAUGUUAUAGAAGCUAAAGGAAGGAUCUUUAUGCAAGAUUUCAUGUUUUUGUCAAGUUAUGUUGCAAUUUCCAACUUUGGUGCAUAAUCUAUUUAGUUUAGUUUAGAGCUUUAUAUAUGUGCAAUUUUGCUGAAAAUGGAGGAUUUCAUGUUUUUCAACUUAUGCUCUAAAUUUCCAAUUUUGGUGCAUAAGGUAUGUAGUUUAGUUUAGAGUUUCUAUAAGUGAACUUUUGAUGGGUUUCUUUGCUAAGAACAUGAUCCAAAUGCCUCUUGACAUAUUAGCUAUGAUGUAUUGUAUUUUUGCCAUGAAGAUAAGGUUAAAAUUUUGAAAUUAGAGAAAGGAAUUUAAGGACAAGUUGCUGAAAAUUCUUAUUUUAUUGGUCGAAUGAGAGAGAGAGAGAGAGAGAGAGAGUUUGAGUUGGAAGUUUAGGAUGGUUUUGACAUAUUUCACUCAAGAUACUUGCUAAUAUUUUGAUCUUCACAUGUAUGUUGAUUUUGAGCUUUUCACAAAGAGUUUUGGUGAAGCGAAUCUUGUUCUUUAGUUUGUUUAGAUGCUGGAUUUUUGCCAUAAAUCUAAGUAAGAAAAAUUAGGAUUUUGGAGAAAAGUUGUCAAGUCCUUGCUGGAAAUUUUGAUAGGGUUAGCCGAGAGGGCGAGAGAGAAUUUCAGCUUUAUUGCUAGAGUUUAUAUGGUGAUUUUGACAUAUCUUGACUCAAGGCACUUGAAAAAACUUUGAACUUCACAUAUAUGUUGCAUUUGAGCUAAAACAAAGAAGUUUAUGAGGAAGAAAAUGAUUUGCUCCAAAAUGUUUUAUUGCUCAAAAUUUUCAGUUUUGAACCUCAAGAGUUUUGUCUCGUUUUCUUCAAAAUUCGUGACUAGAAUCGACCUGUUUUUACUCCAUAUUUUUCUUGAGACAUUGAUCUAUCAUGCAUGUGAUUUUUCUGCUUGAUUUGAACAAGAAAACUUUGCACUUUUGGAAGUUAUGUUAGGGGUACAACCUAGCAAAUUGAUGUGUCUUCUAAGAGAAGCUUUGAAGCUCCAAUUUUCGCAUUUCUAUUGGCUUCAAGUUGAUAGAUUCUUGAUGUACUAUAUGAUCACAGGAUUUGAGAGUGUCCAAGAGGAAGAACCGGGGUUUGAAAUGGAAAGAUUGUGAUCAAUUGGUGAGUGUUUUAAGUGUAUGUUAGGACUACAUAUUUGCUUGAAUGAUACUUGAUGUGCCUAGUUGAUUGAUACUGUUAUAUAUCUUGAACUGCAAAUGAGCAGGCGAGUGCGUACUUUGUCGCACCCAACCUAACUUUGCUUGAAUGAUGUUUAAUGUACUUAAUUGAUUGAUAUUGUUAUAUAUCUUUAACUGCAAAUGAGCAGGCGAGUGUGUACUUUAUCACAUUCGACCUAAUUUGACUAAGAUCUUGUUAUCCUGUUUAUAAGUAAACUGAUAUACAUGUGCGUGGUUUAAAAAUCGGUUGAAGAUGUUAUCUCAUCUGUGAGGACCCAAAUAUUUUCACAUUUUCUCAGCAUUAUUUUAUUUCUUUGAUUAUAUAUUAUACUUUCCUUGGAAAUAUUGAAUUUUCUAUGUAUUUUUACAAGUAAGUACCAUUUUAAAAUCAUCUUCCUAGUAUGGGUUAGUGUACGUUGAGUUUGAAGUGUAUUAGGGACGUGAGACCCGCUAGUGCGGUAAAUGCGAUAUAUUUUUGACAACUUCUUGGAGUUUUGUAUUAAGUGAUAUUAUUUUACAAGGUGCUAAGAGAUAAUUAGAAGUUACCUAUAUGGAUUAGUAUUAGAGAGACAAAGAGAUAAGCUUUAAGCAAAAGGUGACAAGUGUCACCAUUCAAUUCACCCUUGGACUUUUGACCAAGAUAUUUUUACCUUCUUAAAGCUAAUUUUGAUCGAAACAUUUCUUCAUUUUUAGCUCCUUUGGCCGGCCCUCUCAACAAGAAAAGAAAAGAAAACUCUCAACUUGUUUCCUCCAUUUCUUGCCUUGAGCUCACAAACCAACCAUUAAAACUUGGAUUUGCUCCAUAAAAACCUUUUUCUUGGUAGGAUUAAGGUGAUUGGUGAAGUGGUUUGAGAAGGAAAUGUGCUAAGUUACUUCUUUUCUUGAGUUUAAAAGGUAAGUGACCAAGAGAUUCUUCCUUUGUUCAUGUUAGUGUUAAAUUGACGACUUGUGAGGGCUAAAGAGAUGUUUUAGUGGAAGAUUUUAUGAUUUUGGUGGAGAUUGAUGAAUUUUUUUAUUUUAUGCUUGAUUUUUCUGAUUUCAUAUGUUUGGUGUUGGUUAGUCAUGGAUUGUUGGUUAGUUAUAGUGUAAAAUGAAGUUGAUAUAUGUUGGAUGUGAUUGAUUGUGCAAAAAUUCUGGUUUGGGGCGAAAUUUCCAGGUUAGGGUUUCACUAAGGCCUGUUCUGUCCGAAUUUAUUUGAGCAGGCUAAAGGCCGAAUUAGCCUAAGGUUAAAACAUGAAAGUUGUUGAUAAUUGAGUUAGCUAGCUACCUGUAAAAUUUCAGCUCAAUCGGAGCAACGUAGCCUAUAAUAAGACCGAAAUACCCCUGCUGCCCUGUUUCUGUCCGAAACUGAUAAUCAGCUUAUGUAAGUGGUUAGUUUGACCAGGAAUAUUAUCGAAUUGGUUGUUGAUGUCUUAUUAAGAAUUAUAGCCUUGUAUCUUAGCUUUCAAAUGGCUUUGGAAUUACUUGAAUUGGAGUUGUGUGUGCUGAGAUAUGAGUGAAUGAAUCAGGACUGCUAGUUGAAUUUCACAGUGAGCUUCGAACUAGAAAAUCUGGAGUUGUUUUGGUAAAUUUGAUCUAGUUAGGGUGAGAACUGGAUUGAGUGGUCUUCAUCAAAGUUGUAGGCCUUUAUUUUAGCUUCGAAAUGGUAUAAAUUUCAUCCCAAUCUGAUAAGCAAUGCCACAGUUGUGUCCUUUACGGAAAAUCACGUCAAAUCUGUCCUUUUGCUAAACUUCAUUUCCGCACAUGUCGUUAGCUUGAUUUUGUACUUAUAUGACUUUGAGCCUAUGGAAUGGCUAUUGAAAUGAGAUGAUAUUGUGUGUGACUUUGGGAUUGAUUAAGGAAAACAAUGAAGCCAUAAAUGGCUGGAAAAAUAGGUAAAUAGAAAGGGCGUGUUGCCCAAAUUUUCGCUCGAGGGCUAAGUUUCUACUUGAACUUGUAUAUUUUCAUUUGGAAAAUACUAUGACCGUUUUUCCAUCUUAAAACAUGAUCCUUCUUCAAUUGGAAGCUCCAAAUGUUUACUUACUCUUACCCAAAUAAAAAGGAGUGGUUUAGGGUUUUUUUUUGGGUAUUUUGUUAAAUGUUUUCAAUGAUUGCUUAAAAUGAGUUUGUUAGGCGAGUGCGUACUUUAUCACACUCGACCCAAAUGAAAUGUGAAAUUUUCAAUGUUUAAGUGAUUAAAUGCUAGUUGUGCAUGAAUGUAAACCUCUUGGCUGAACUUGGCCUUGCCCUUCGUUACUGAUCGACUCGAGCCAGAAGCGGACUCGGUCGGGCGAUUUAGUGACCCUGGGUGAACGUUUUGUAUACUCGAGUAUUACCUUGUAGGUUGGUGGAGCCUGGCCAAUAUCCAGGAGGGGGUGAAUGAAAUGAACAAACGAACGAACGAGGGGUUUUACUUACAAAAUUUCAUUUUCAAAUGAUUGGAGGAAUAAGGGGAACGACAGGAGAACGAACAAAUGAAUAAAUGGCUCCCUGUGAGCCCGUAUCCUUUUAAUGAAUGUGAUUAUUGCUUUAUAUUAUCAUGUUUCUUGCAUUACUUGUUAUUUAUGGUUAAUACAUUAGCUUUAUUGUUUGAUUAUGUGUUCGGAACCUCACUGAGCUUUUAGCUCACCCCUUUAGUUUGUUUUCCUUAAUAGGGGAAGGCGAGCAAGGACGAGAGCUCGGUUUAGACUAGCCUAGACUGGUUUCUGAUUUUGUAAUGGUUCUCGCCCUAGUGCUUGGCAUGGGCUGGAUGUGUGGUGAACUGAGAACCUUUGUAUAUUCGAUGUUUGUACUCCCUUUUGGGAUAGUAAUGUACAUAAAUUUUCCGUUAAGUUUUGGAUUAUCGUUAUAUUUAUUCCUGUGAUUUAUUUCGAUUUUAAUUGAGGUCUGAAGUGAACGACUGAGUCCCGGCGAGAGUUGGGCGGGCGGUCCGCCGAACCCUCUGGUUCGCCUUAGGGGGAGGUGGGGCUGUCACAUCAUCGACUGUACUGAGUGCUUGGGAUCCCAAACCUUAUCGCCUAGUUAGUCGAAUCGAGCCAGCAAUGGUUUGGUCAAGGAGAUUGACGAAUCAUGGAUAGUGUUUAUUGUUUAUUCCAUUGGAUUCGGUCCUCUGGAAUCGGUAUACCCAAGUAUUACCUCUACUUAUCUUUGGAGUUUGGGCUCAGUAAGGGGGUUGAUUGAUGGACGGAAAUUGACAUUAAGCAGUGAUCUACGGACAUUGUUUAUUGCUACAUUUCAAACGUUGACGGAGUAUCAAUGGAUUUGGAAAAUGUUUGUGAGGAUCCGAAAAUUUUCUUAUUUUUGUCAAAUAUUACUGGUUUAUUUAAAUAGUUAUUCACUCAUUUUCUUCGAAUUAUUUAAUUCGACUACUUAAAAUCCAUUUAUAUUGAAAAAUGCCUCUCUUAUGUUUUUAAAGCAUUUUGUUAGAAAAUUUACUUUUCGAAAACUCGUUUAGUUCGGAACGAGUACAUGUUUUUCGAGACUAUAUUUGAAUCGAGAGUGUAUUAAUUUUGAAGUAGUAAGAAUAAUCAAUAAUAGAUUAAGAAAAAUUAAUUGGAGAUUUGAGAAAUUAAAACUCGACUUAUGUGAGGACUCACAAAAUUUCCUAUUUUAAGCCCCUAUUACUAGUUUAUUUCAAUAUUUAAUUGCCUGUUUGCCUCGAAUAUUUCAUUUCAACCUCUUUAUACUCAAUUACAUGGAACUAUGAUUUACUUAUAUUUUUAAAAUGACUCGUUUCAAAAUUUAAUUUUUAAAAGCUCGUAAAGUGAGAAUAGUGAAUACGCGAUUGGAAAUAAUAAUCGAUUCGAGGAUACAAUAAGCUUGAAAAAUUGGAGACUUGUACAUUAGUCUUGAAAUAGGUAAUUUUAUGUUUAAGUAUUCAAUUAAUAGUUAGUGAUACUAUCGUUAUAAAAAAUUCUUGAAAAUUCCACUUUAUCGCACACAAAUCGGAAGUACGCGUUUUUACGCGCGCAAUUAAAUGAGGGACUUAAGACCAUUAUUUUUAGACCAUUAAGAGUGAAUAAUAAUAGUAUAAAUACAAGUGCAUUAGAGGUUUAGAACAUAAGUGAAACAAAUUUGAGAAGAAUCGAGCACGAAACGCGCGCGUACGCGCACUAUCCUUAGUUGACUUUUGGAGCAAUUUUGGCUACACAUUCAUAAGCUUCUCAUGGAAGCAUCACACCAGAUCAAAACCCUUCUUUUCUCACCUCAAGCGCACGGCUGAAACUCUCAUUUUCUCACCUCAAGAGCCGGCCAAAACAAGAAAGAAAAGAAAGGAAAGAAAACUCUUUAUUUGUACCUCAAAUCCUCACCCAAAUCACCCUAAAUUUUAGCUACAACUUGUAAAUCACUUGGAGAUCACCUCAAGCUAGGAAGAGAGCUUGCCUUCCACGGUUUUGUUAAGCUUCAAGAGGCCGAAAAUUUCUAUCUAAGUUAUCAACUAAGGUGAUCAAUGAUCAACCUUAAAAAUCUUGAUCUAUGAAAGUAGUAGUGCACUUAUGAGUUCAUGCAUGCAUGUGGGUAGCUUUAUUUAUGUUGAAUUUUGUGUGUGGGCUCUAUGAAUUCCCACUAUGGUUGGAUGGACUGAUUGGAUGAAUUAUGGUGUUAUUAAUGUUGGUUUAGUGCUUGUUAUACUAGAAAUGAGUGAUGUUAAGGAUGAAAACCCAAAAGAGGUCAAAGGGAGAAUUUUUUCGAUUCUGCCCUUGUAGAUUUCGUGCACUUUAGUGCAAAUUUUUGAGGUUCUAAUGAAUUUGUUUUGAUGUAUAUGAGUAAUAUAGGUUGUGUAUAAAGUUUCAUAAAAAAAUUUCAUGAUUUGGUUGGCCAAAUGAUGUAUUUUCGGAAAUCCGCAAAACUGGAAAUUUUUUCCGUGACUGCUCUGGCAGUGUUUUUGUUUUGGCUACAACGUUUUGCCCCGAUGUCGAAAUCGAGUGCCGUUUAUGGCACUGGAAAUUAGACAUUUCCAGAUUCCCAACGGUAUAAAAUUCACAUUUUGAUUCCACCUGAAUAGUCCAUACCAAUCAUUUAAACAUGACUAUCCUGUUUCGCGUCUACACUGGGAGAUCUAUUUUGAGCAGCGAAUUGAUGCUCAAAUGUGAGCUAGUUGUGGAUAGAUUUUAAAAAUGAUUUCUGCUAUGAAAUUGUAGCUUUAUGAAUCUAGUUUUCAAAGCCACCAACCACACUCAAUUCUGAGUUGAAUUGAGUGAUUUAUGACCAGAUUUCGAAACUGACUUUUUGGGAGAAAAACCCUCAUUGUGAACAGAUUUGUAAUCAAACUUGACUUGGGACUUGUUACUCGAAAUUCUUGAUGUAAACCACCUACCAAAUGUAUCUUGGAUCCUUAUUAGACCUAGUUAUCAUAAAUGAGACAUGUUUUAGGCAUUUUAUUGGCCAAAGGUUUGAGAAAAAGAGAACUAGUGGUGCAAGGCAGUUUUGCCUUGGAGAUUUGGAAACUUUGAUAGUUUUGUUAACCAACUUUCCGAAUGAAUUUUCCUAUGAAAUUUGGUAGAGGAAUAGCCCUUAUAUGGUAGGAUAAUACUACCAAAUUUGGUACCAUUCUGAGUUCAUUUCGAUGCACAAACAAAGUCCCAAAGUUUGUAAUUUGAACCUGGAAAUUUGCCUAUCCGUCUCAAUUUUUCAGCAAAUUUGAGCUACUACAUCUUCGUGCUCAAAACUCCAAUUCUAGUUCCACUUAUUUUGUUUUAAACUUUGAUUGUAAUUCUAAUUGAGUUUCAAAUUUGAAAGGCUAGUUUAAAUUCUGUGAAUUUUGCCGAAUUUCCAAAAUUAGCCAAAAACCAACUCCGAAACUGCCUUGAUAGCCUAAAACAGUAAAUUUGAGCCAAAUUUUGAAUGCCUUCCGUUUGGAAUCAUGAAAAAGUGUCUUCUAGGAACUUUUAGUACUUUGGAAGACGUUUCCAACGGUACCAAGUUUUCCAAUUUUGGACUUGUAAAUAGUAAAAUACGAUUUUUCAAAGAUCUUGAUGAGGAGGUUGAGGGUGAUAUUCAAGUGGAGCAAGUGAAGGUACCAUUGGGGCCUAUGACCCGUGCUCGUCCGAAGAGGUUAAGUGAAGCACUACAAACAUUGAUUCGCGCGGCCCGAGAGUCUAGUGGAGAGCCUAAGGCCAUUGAAGGCCUUAACGAAGCUAGAGAGGUCAUUUUCCUCGAGGCCAUUCCUGAGAAUUAGUGUGAGAUUCGAUUAAGGGGCCAUGGCCCAUUAGAAGUCUUAGUAAAAUAUCUUAAAGAGGUUCCAACUAGCUUGUAGUUUGAACCCUAGUCGUUGUUUAGUUCGUGGGCCAAUGUUCUGGGCCAUGUGAGCCUCAUUAGCAAGUAACUUGGCCCAUUAGUCUUUUUAUUUGUCUAUUUAAGUUUGCAUUUAGGGUUGUAAGAGACAGUUUUGAUGAUUAAUAAAAUACACUGUUGAGAGUUCUCUCAAAGCUUCAUUGAAGCACCAUUGAAUAUCUUAGAAUCGUUCUUAGGUAUUCAAUCGACUUAUUAAUCUAGGACCGCGCUAGAUUGUGGCGUCCUCUACCAAAUACCGAGGUUCGUUGGCCACGUGAUCAAUGGGUUUAGGUUAUCCGCUGCGUUCGUCUUCUUCAACGUGAGCAUCUACCUUCUAGAUCCAAAAUCUUUCUGUACGGGUUGCAUCACAUGGUCGGGUGUGGUUGCAUCACACGAUUCUGGCCGCACUUGAUUGUUGUUGUGGGGAACAAGGUUCACGGCCUUGGGGUAUUAAUAGCCUAGGGCAGCCGUGAACUUUGAUUGGGGUUGCCAACACCAAAUUGGGUUCCAAAACUUGAGGUCUCCUAAUCAUGUCCGCUUCCUAACAUCCAGACUCUAAAAUUUCUCCUAUAUUUUCUGCCCUUCCUACACUUUAGCCGCUCUUUUACUAGAUUUUAGGGAGUGCCUUAACCUUUUCUUGCCCAUUCCUUUCGACCACUAUCCCUACAUUGUAGGUAGCUAGCCGCCACCAUCCCAGCCUUUUAGAAAAUCCAUCCAGACCUACUAAACAAGCCAGGCAGCCUGCGGUUUUUCAAAAAAAAAAAAAAAGAAGUGAAAAAGUAGUAUUUUUUUGUCUUUCCUUCUUUUCUUUUAGGUUGUGUCUCCGUCGUCCGUGUUCCCUUCAUUUGAGUCGUGUCUUAUAAUUAUUCCUCGAGUCACUCUUUCUAUUCCAUUGAGGAUUGCCACAUUUACGUGCUCCAAGCAUUGGGAGUUGAAUUGUUUACCUGGGAGGAUUUCUGAUUUCUUCAAGGUAAGCUAUCAAGAGCUUUUGAGAGCUUUGGUGAGCCUAGUCGAGUGCUGUUUGAGGCCAUACACGAGGGUUGAGUGCAUACACGUGAGGGAGUGAGUGAGACAUCUAUUUCUAUAUUUGCUUUGCUCCUAACUUUUUGCAAGUCUAAUACAUCAUGUUCGAUGGGAGUGAGACCUCCAGGUUUGACCCCAAGUCAAACAACCAGGCAUUGCUAAGUGAGGUCCAACGCAUGCUUCGGGAGUCCAUGGAAUCCCUACACCAAAGAAUGGACCGCUUAGAGCUCUCGCAAGCUCGGACCAAUGCCAGCCGUCGGGAUGUGCCACCUCGCGAGGAGCUAGCUUCUAAUAGCGAGAAGAAGACUUCAUCCGUUGACCCAAGCAGGACUACCGGAGGACGGAUGACGGACUAAAGGGGGUCAAAAUCAAGAUUCCUUCCUUCCAAGGCAAGUCUAGUCCAGAGGUUUACCUGGAAUGGGAACAGCGAAUCGAGAUGGUAUUCGAGUGCCAGGACUACACUGAUUAACAAAAGGUCAAAUUGGCAACACUCGAAUUCACCGAUUACGCUAUUGUCUGGUGGGAGCAGGAGCGCACUAGCAGACGCCGCAAUAGAGAACGACAAAUUAGCACGUGGGAGGAGUUACGAACCACUAUGAGGAAACGGUUUGUACCCAACCAUUACUAUCGUGAUCUAUAUUAGCGGCUCCAGACAUUAGUCCAAGGAAGCCGUACUGUGGAGGACUACUACAAGGAGAUGGAGAUCACCAUGCUCCGAGCAGACAUUGUGGAGGAUAGAGAGGCUACCAUGGCGAGGUUCCUUAACGGCUUGAGGCCUGAAAUCGCCGAAUUGGUGGAGUUGCAAAACUACGUGGAUAUGCCUGAGUUGAUUGACAAGGCAUCCAAGAUCGAGAGGAGACUUAAGAGGAGGGGUAACCCUCGUAACCCUAACUUCUCGGCCACGCCUGUGUGGAGGGGCAAUCCGACCUUCGAGCGGGAACGGCCUAGUCCAAGGGUGUCCAAAUUUACUCCUAAGACCGAGCCACCCAAGCUAGCCCCAAAGGCAACUCCAAGGCCUCCAUUCGACUCUUCCAAACCACGAAGCCGCGACAAGUGCUUCAAAUGCCAAGGAUUUGGGCACAUUGCUUCCCAGUGUCCCAAUAGGCGUACCAUGAUUGUCCUACCAAGCGGAGAUGUUGUAUCUGACGACGAGGACGAGUUCGCUGAGAUGCCUCCAUUGAUUGAAGAAGGUGAAGAUUCCGAGGAGGAAGUUGAGGCCACUACGGAGCAAGUGGGUGUUGCUCUAGUAGCUCGUCGGGCUCUUGCAACCCAAGUCAAGAAGGUGGAUGAGGCCCAACGUGAUAACAUCUUCUACAGACGAUGUCACGUCAAGGGAAGAGUAUGUAGCCUCAUCAUUGACGCGGGUAGUUGUACCAACGUGGCAAGUACUCUCAUGGUGGACCAUCUUUCUUUGCCUACAUUGAGACACCCAAACCCAUACCGCUUGCAAUGGCUCAACGAGAGUGGUGAUAUCAAAGUCACCAAGCAAGUGGUGGUGCCUUUCCGGAUCGGGUAAUAUGAGGACGAGGUUCUUUGCGACGUCGUUCCCAUGCAAGCUUCUCAUAUUUUGUUGGGACGGCCAUGGCAAUAUGACAAGAAGACUACGCAUGAUGGCUUCACCAACAAGUAUUCCCUCUUGCACCACAACAAGAAAAUGACACUGGUGCCUCUCACGCCCCAGCAGGUGCAUGAAGACCAACUGCGGUUGCAACAGGAGCAUGAGCGAGAGUUGGCCAAGAAAUCCAAUGACUCUAAAGCAAUCAUUAAAGUACCAGCCAUGAAGACAUCCACACCUAGUACUUCUAAGCAACUGGACAAGCGUCCAAGCUUGCUUGCAAAGAACAGGGAAGUUCGCAAGUUACUUUUAUCCAAGCAAGUUGUUUAUGUCUUAUACUGCAAGGAAGUGAUUCUACUCUCCCAUGAGGCACUGACUGAAUUACCUCCUGAAAUUUCUUCUCUGUUGCAGGAAUUUGAGGACAUUUUCCCAGACGAGAUCCCAAGUGGACUAUCCCCACUUAGAGGGAUCGAGCACCAGAUAGACUUCGUCCCUGGAGCAGCCUUGCCGAAUAGACCGGCCUACAAGAUGGGUCCUGAAGAGACUAAGGAGAUCCAGAGGCAAGUGGAUGAGCUCUUAGAGAAAGGUUGGGCUCAAGAGAGCAUGAGCCCAUGUGCAGUUCCCGUCAUCCUCGUUCCAAAGAAAGAGGGCACUUGGAGGAUGUGUAUGGACUGUCGCGCCGUCAACGCUAUCACAGUUAAGUAUCGUCACCCUAUACCUCGAUUAGAUGAUUUGUUUGACGAAUUGUAUGGUGCAGUCAUAUUCACCAAGAUCGAUCUUAAGAGUGGCUACCAUCAAAUUCGAAUGAAGGAAGGGGACGAGUGGAAGACGGCCUUCAAGACUAAGUAUGGUCUGUAUGAGUGGUUAGUUAUGCCGUUUGGUUUGACUAACGCUCCUAGUACAUUUAUGCGUCUUAUGAAUCAUGUGCUCCGUCCUUUCUUAGGUAAAUUUGUUGUUGUUUAUUUUGACGACAUUCUGAUCUACAGCAAGAGUCCUGAGGAACAUGUAGCACAUGUACGAGCUAUCCUUGCGGUUUUGCGUCGGGAGAGGUUAUUUGCCAACCUAGGCAAAUGUACUUUCUGCACUAAUGAGUUUGUUUUCCUUGGUUAUAAGGUUAGUGCACAAGGCAUUAGAGUGGACGAGAGCAAGGUCCAAGCCAUCAAUGAGUGGCCCGUACCCAAGACCAUGAGUGAAGUUCGGAGUUUCCACGGCCUUGCGAGUUUCUAUCACCGGUUCGUGAAGGAUUUCAGCACUAUAGCUGCCCCUCUUACCGCCGUUAUCAAGAAGGAUGUGAAGUUUGAAUGGGGGGAAGCUCAGGAGAGGGCGUUCCAACUCCUUAAACACAAGCUCACACACGCACCCGUGUUGUCCUUACCUAGUUUUGAUAAAGCUUUUGAGGUUGAGUGUGAUGCUUCUGGUGUAGGAAUUGGAGCUGUGCUGAUCCAAGAGGGAAGGCCGAUCGCGUACUUCAGUGAGAAGUUAAAUGGUGCCGCCUUGAACUACUCCACCUAUGACAAGGAGCUCUAUGCUUUGAUUCGUGCACUGGAGACAUGGCAGCACUACCUGAGGCCUAAGAAAUUUGUCAUCCAUACUGACCACGAGGCAUUAAAGCACAUCAAGUCUCAACAAAAGUUGAAUAAGAGACACGUCCGGUGGGUCAAUUUUGUGGAGUCCUUCCCCUAUGUGAUCAAAUACAAAGCUGGCAAGACCAAUGUCGUUGCCGAUGCACUGUCCAGGAGGUAUGCCUUGACUGCUUUACUUGAUGCUAAACUCCUUGGAUUUGACCUCAUCAAAGAACUCUAUGAUACCGACUCUGAUUUUUCUGCUAUCUAUAAGUCUUGUGCUAAGUCGGGUCAGGGUAAGUUCUUCAUACAUGAUGGAUUUCUAUAUUAUAAUGAUAAAUUAUGCAUUCCGUCAUGCUCUAUUCAUGAGUUACUAACCCGUGAGGCUCACGGCGGUGGUUUAAUGGGACACUUUGGUGUCACCAGAACUUUGAGUGCUUUACAGGAGCAUUUCUAUUGGCCACGUAUGAGGCGGGACGUGGAGCGAGUGGUGUCACGUUGCAUCACCUGUCACCGUGCCAAGUCCAAGCUCCAACCCUUUGGUUUGUAUACACCUCUACCUAUUCCUUCCGAACCAUGGGUUGACAUUUCGAUGGACUUUGUACUUGGUUUGCCUAGGAGUAAAAGAGGCCAUCAUAGCGUCUUUGUCAUAGUGGACCGAUUUUCCAAAAUGGCCCAUUUCAUUCCUUGUCAUAAGACGGACGAUGCUACUCACAUAGCUGAUCUCUUCUUUAAGGAAAUUGUCCGUUUGCAUGGUGUACCUAGGACUAUUGUAUCUGAUAGAGAUGUUAAGUUUCUCUCUUACUUCUGGAAGACUUUGUGGGGGAAGUUGGGGACUAAGUUGCUAUUUUCUACAUCCAGUCACCCCCAGACCGAUGGCCAAACUGAAGUCGUUAACCGCACAUUGUCUACAUUACUUAGGGCCAUCAUCAAAAAGAAUCUCAAAACUUGGGAGGAGUGUUUACCCCAUGUUGAGUUCGCUCAUAAUCGUACAGUCCAUAGUGCUACACAGUUUUCUCCAUUUGAGAUUGUUUAUGCUUUUAACCCACUGACCCCUUUGGAUUUGAUGUCUUUGCCUUUGUCUGAGCGUGCUAACCUUGAUGGUAAGAAGAAGGCCGAGUUUGUCCAGACAUUACACCAGCAGGUGAGGACCAACAUUGAAGCCCGCACCCAGCAGUACCUCAAGCAUGCCAACAAGGGUCGGCGUCGCGUGGUGUUUGAACCAGGUGAUUGGGUCUGGUUACACUUACGCAAAGAGCGAUUCCCUGUCCAGCGCCGCAACAAGCUGCUACCCUGAGGAGAUGGACCAUUCCAAGUUGUGGCGCGUAUUAAUGACAACGCCUACAAGCUCGAUCUACCAGGUGAGUAUAAUGUCUCAACUACAUUUAAUGUUGCUGACCUAAGUCCUUAUCUUGCAGAUGGUGAGGUCGAUUUGAGGACAAAUCUUUCGCAAGAGGAGGGGAAUGAUGAGGAGGUCGAGGGUGAUAUUCAAGUGGAGCAAGUGAAGGUACCAUUGGGGCCUAUGACCCGUGCUCGUGCGAAGAGGUUAAGUGAAGCACUACAAACAUUGAUUCGCGCGGCCCGAGAGUCUAGUGGAGAGCCUAAGGCCAUUGAAGGCCUUAACGAAGCUAGAGAGGUCAUUUUCCUCGAGGCCAUUCCUGAGAAUUAGUGUGAGAUUCGAUUAAGGGGCCAUGGCCCAUUAGAAGUCUUAGUAAAAUAUCUUAAAGAGGUUCCAACUAGCUUGUAGUUUGAACCCUAGUCGUUGUUUAUGAUGUGAGACGGAUCUAGACGAACACCAAGUUGGGAUGAUUUGCGGAACUUUGACCCUUCUAGAAUCACGAGCCACGAACUAAGGAGAUUCCUUAACCCACGACUAGCCACUUUAGUGAACCAAAAGUAUAGAUAGAAGAACGCCACAAUCAAGGAGACUACUUGAUUGAUAAGUUCGUUGAACAACUUGAGAUUGAUUCUCAAGUAUUCAAAGGAAAUUCUCUUGAAGCAAGAGAGAGUGAAUAAACUCACGAAUAUGUUAUAAAAUCUGAAUUGUCCUCAAUGAAUGAAAACCUAGGCUAUAUAUAGCCUUACAUGACUCAAACCCUAGAAUGCCCAAUGGACGACUUUGCCCUUCAUUAAGGGUAAAAUAUCUAACAACUAAUUGGCUAAAUUAAGACUCUAAAAUUCGGCCAGAGUGAAGUGGAAAUUGACCGAAAUUAUUAAUGCUAACAAACAACUAGUAAUGGUAACGAAAACCCUAAUUAGCAACCUAGAACUCUGUGGACUAGUCUUCACUUGAAUCUUCCAUUUGAAGGAAAGUGUAUAGAGUAGUUUCUCCAUUAUGUAACCCUUCAAUGGACCUCAAGUCAUCACCAACUCGUUCUUGAAUCGUGCAAACAAGAGCUUGAAGUGAUUCUUGAAUUCUCCUAGCACGCGCUCUUGUAAUUGGACCACUGGGUAUUUGCAUGACUUGAGCACUAGAAGUUUGAGCAGCCUUGAGCCCCUCCUCAUUAGUUUAGUUCGUGGGCCAAUGUUCUGGGCCAUGUGAGCCUCAUUAGCAAGUAACUUGGCCCAUUAGUCUUUUUAUUUGUCUAUUUAAGUUUGCAUUUAGGGUUGUAAGAGACAGUUUUGAUGAUUAAUAAAAUACACUGUUGAGAGUUCUCUCAAAGCUUCAUUGAAGCACUAUUGAAUAUCUUAGAAUCGUUCUUAGGUAUUCAAUCGACUUAUCAAUCUAGAACCGCGCUAGAUUGUGGCGUCCUCUACCAAAUACCGAGGUUUGUUGGCCACGUGAUCAAUGGGUUUAGGUUAUCCGCUGCGUUCGUCGUCUUCAACAUGAGCAUCUACCUUCUAGAUCCAAAACCUUUCUGUACGGGUUGCAUCACAUGGUUGGUGUCGUUCGUAUCAGAUCUCGUAUCAAAACUGAAAUUUUCGAAACUUAAGGAAAUUGAAUUUUUUGAAUUCUCCUUUUUCCUUCGAUAUCCAUGAUCGUUUUACACAUGAAUUUAGAGAUGUAAACCAGAUUUCUCUUGUGCUUUAAAACCCCGCCUUUGAGGCUCGAUUUAUGAGUAAAUGGGGCUCAUUUUCAUGAGAUUUUCUUAUAUUGUACAAGUGUGCAAUCUUCCUCGAUAAUUAGGGGUUUUAAGCGAUAGUGUGUAAUAGAUAAUUUCUAUUUGCUCAGGUGCUCAAGGAGACUUUCAAGAGGAUCUCGAGGGGAACACCUAAAGGCUUGUUUACGCACUUACUCCCUUGUUUCGAUUGGUGAGUGUCAAGUGCAUGAAUUUGUUGCUAUGUGGUUAACUGUUUCUUAUCCGUUAUGUGAAUUUGAAAUUUUGAGACGAGUGUGUACUUUAUCGCACUCGUUCUCUUUCGAAUGAAAUAAUAUUCGUAUUUUGCUAUGUGAAUUCAUAUUCGACUUGUACAUAGUAAUAUGGAUGUGAUUCAUAUUUGUGAUUUGUAUAUGUGAUUCCUAUUUGGAAUCGUCGAUUUGAGCGUUGUUCAUCGACUUAUAUUCCUAUUCGUAUUCGUAUUCGGGGGACGCCCAAACUCGUUGGUUAACUUUGCGAUUCGAGCCAGCAUGGGAUUGGUCGAUAAGCUUAGCAAACCAUGAGAUAUUCGUAGAGCAUGAUCUAUUGGAGAGAUCUUGCUCGGCAUUACUUGCGCAGUAUUGCCAUGAUAUACUCGAGUAUUAUCAAAACUUUGAUGAGCGGGCUCAGUAAGGGGGUGUAACGGUGACGGGAUUCGAAGAAAAGUGGUGUAUCUACGGAUUUGAUACUUAUGUGGUUGACGGAGUGUCAACAUGAGAUGUGAUCAAAACUUUGACUCGACUACGUGGAAUUUAGCUCUUGAGAGCUACAGUAUCCUUGAAUUGUUUCUGUUUAUUUUUCCUAUUCAAAGUGUGAAUUAUUCGAACUUGAUAGCUUUACCUACAAUGUAAUUGUUGUUGCUACUUGGAUUAUGUGUUUACAUGUGUGUUUCUUGGCCUCACUGAAUAUUGGCUCAUCCCAUUAGUUUAUUUUCCUUAACAGGAACCCGAUCGGAAGGAGUUAAGCAAAUGCCGACUUGAGGCAUUUUUGUAUUAGUGUUUUGAUUGUGAUCGACUAGACACUUUUGGAUGUUGUAUAUUUUUGGGAAAGUGAUUGUAAAUUUGAAAUGGUGAUGUAAGACUGGAUAUUUAUGUAUGGAAAUGACUCCGUACCUUUAUUUCGACUUUCAUUGUUAGUAUUAGAUUAGGUUUGAAUUGGAAUUUGUUUCGAGUCCUGGUAAGAGUUGGGCAGGCGUCCCACGAACACCCUUGGGUUCGCCGUUGGGAGAAGUGGGGUGUCACAAUGUUGCUAAGGAACUAGCUUGCAAGAGCCAACUAUAUCCUUUUAGUUGCAAGUGAAAUACUGAACAAGACUAAGUGCUAUGCCUGGAAUCUGGCAAGAGUUACCGUAUCAGUUGCACCUACACUGGAAUCCUGAACAGGACUAAGUACUCUGCCUAGAAUUUGGCGGGAGCCACCCUAUCAGUACCCAUAUCCUUUUCUUACUAUAUUAAAUUUUUUAUUUGAAUAUGUAAACUGUUAAUAACUUGACUUGUAGUUAUUUGCUUUCUUUGCUUUAAGAUUUUGAUAUAUGUGAUUGUUAUCUUGCCAAUUUGAUUGCAUUUUUUUGGAAGCUCACCGGAUUUUUAACUCAUUUUAUUAUAUGUUUUCCUUAACAGGAUGCGGGGAUGAAAGAGACAAGAAUAGUAAUAGUCUGUGAUAAGAAAUCUUGAACUUGUAUUUGGCCGGUACUACAUUAUGGUACUAGUCAUUUAAAUUCUUUUCUUUUAGCUUGUACUUUGGUUUAAAUAUUUGGACGAUUUGUAGCAUGAAAAUGUUAUAUUGAAGGAUAUUAGUUUGUUUUCCUUAAUAGGAAUUAAUUGGAAUCGUGGAUCUAAAAAUUAGUGAGUUCGAGAGUUGCAGUCUUAACUUUAAGGGUUAAAUACCAAAAACUCCCAUGUGGUUUGAUUAAUAUUCACUUUACCUCCCUAUGGUUUGAAAACCUACAAUUUGACUCCCUGUCGUUUCAACUAAAGUAAAAGUCUGACGAAAAACAUCUAAACUGAUGUCUGAAAGGAAAAUGUCAAAAUUGCCCCUCUAUAAGUCAAAUCCUUGGAAGAAUGUUUCAUGCAUUUGAGAAUGGGUAAAAUACCAAAAAUCCCCCUGUGGUUUGCCAAAUGUACACUUUACCUCCCUAUGGUUUGGAAACCUACAAUUUAACUCCCUGUCGUUUCACCUAAAGUGAAAGUCUGACAGAAACACCAUUAUUGUAGAUGUUUUCUGUUAGACUUUCACUUUUGUUAAAACGACAGGGAGUUAAAUUGUAGGUUUCCAAACCAUAGGGAGGUAAAGUGAACAUUAGUCAAACCACAGGGGGAUUUUUGGUAUUUAACCGUAACUUUAAGUAAUUGCCAUUGUAUGUGUACUUAGUGAAUUGAUUGACCAAUUUGUAUGUCAAUCCAUUUAGUUGUGCAUAUAAGUAUGGAUGUUUUGGAAAGUUGGAUUGUUUUUAAUGCCUGAUUGAGGAGUUUCAUGCUUACUUUGGAGUUAAUAUUAUCUCUCAAGUUAAUGUUGGUGAAAGAGUUCUGACGAGAGUCAGGCAGGCAGUGUAACGCCCCGAGGCAGAAGAAAAAGGAAAAAUUUCUGGUGAUAUAAGGUUAGUGAAUGGGAAGUAAAAACCCUAGUACGUGAGUUUUUAAGAAAAACGGCGCGAACCGGCGGGUCCCGUGCACUACCGAUUGAACGCACCGCUUGACCACCAUUUUUCCUUACCAAACAAAUUUAUUGAACUUGAGCAAAAUAUCUUCUCUCUUGGCAGCAAGCUUGACCGAAUUUGAGGCUAGAAAAUAACAAGAAAGAAAGAGAAAAAAAGAAAGGUGGUGGUGGCGACACUUGUUGCCACCUCAAGGCUUAUUGACCAAGACAAAAUACUAUCUAUUUAACACCAAAAAAUUCAGCAAACUUUCCUCUUCAUUGCAGCUGCUUGGCCGAGAGGAAGGAGAAGAAAAAAAUACCAAGGGAAAACACUUCAUCUCUUCUUCAAUCCAACAACUAAGUGAGGAAUCAAACAAAAGAAACCGAUUAAACUUGUUCUUGAGUGAUUAGUUAAUGAUUUGUGGUGAGACUUUGGAAGGAGAAAGCUUGGGCUACCCUUAGUGAACUCUAGUCAAGGUAAGAAAGCUUAUCUCUCUAAGUUUUACUUUCAAUUUUGUUAAAUUAAGCUUAGCAACUUGAUUUUGUAGUGGAAUCAUGGAUAUUAUCAUGUUUUAGAAAUUUUUCCCUUUUUAUUUGAUGAACUAAGGUUUGGGGAAAUUCUGCCCAAUUUGUUGUAUGGUGCUUAUAUGUUGAAAUUAAGGUUAUAAGAGAGGCUUUGGUAGUGAUUAGACCAAGAAAUUAAGGAAAGUUCCACUAAAAACUAGAAAUUCCAGAAUCUGGAAAUUUUUCCCAACAUUCUGUCCGAAUUUGUAACUGUAUGUUAGAGGCCGAAUUGGCCUUAGAUCAAAGAAGUAAAUUUGUAUAUAAUGGUAUUUUAUAGGUGCCUACAAAAUUUCAGCUCAAUCAGAGCAAUGUAGGUCAUGAAAAGUCCAAAAUACCCUUACUGUUUUAAGUUUUUCCCCAGCAGUCUGUGUGAUCAGUUUGUCCAGUUUAUCACGUUUUUGACUAGGAUCCGUACUGAUUUAACUUUUUGCUAAAACAUGAAAGUUGUAGUAUUCAGACUUAGCUUUCAAAUGUCUCUAAGAACACCUGAAUCGGACUUUUGUACUCUGAGAUAUGAUCAUUACAGUGUAAUGCAGUUAAAUAGCCGACAAAUUGGAUUUUAGUUCUGUAAUUUGAGGAUUUGACUAAGUUACAUUAGGAACUGGACUAAGUGACCUUCAUGAACAUUGUAGCCCUGUGUCUUAGCUUCAAAACGGCAUAGGUUACGCCUCAAUCCGAUAAGCAUAGCCUCGGAUAUGUUAUUUCCGCAUCCAUACGUUGAAUCUGUCUUUUGCUAAAUUGAAUUUCUGCACUUGUUAUGAUUGUGAUUCUUGUUCUUAUGUUAUUGUGAGCCUAUGGAAUGGCUUUUGACUUGAAUUGCUGAUAUGUGUGAUGUUGGGUUUUGGUUGAGGAAAAAUAAUGAAGCCUAAAUGGCUGGAAAAUUUGGUAAACACAAAGGGCAUGCUGCCCGAAUUUACGCUCGAGGACUAGAAAACUAUACUUGUAACUUGUGUAAAGGUUAAGUGAUUAUCACUUAAACUAGCGAGCACCUUUACUACCUUGUUAUCGAGGGUUAUACAUUAAAAACCUAAACGAACUUGUACCCUUGAGGAAAAGAUAUAAUGGCCAAUGUAAACUUGUAUUUCUUUGUACUUUCAACUCAAGUGUUGUUUUCCAAGUAUUUAUACUACAAAAACCUUACAAUUUGAAAAGCGAACAAGUGCUUCACGAAUGUCUUUCAAAUGAAUUUCAAUUGGUUGAUUCUUAAUGAACGGAACGUUUAAGUUUCGAAUCUUACUCGUGUUUCAAAGUUCUCAAAUUGGAUUUCUAUCGCAGAUCUGGACUUCAAACAUGGAGUAUAGUUGAACGUGAGUACUUGAAGCACUAUAAUUGGAGUGAGUGAUCCCUCGACUGUUCCCAAAGUUACUUUUGAACUAAUUCUUGCAUUUAUUACUCCAUUGCAUAUCAUUUGGGUUCGGGUGUGUGCCAUGACAUCAUUUGGCUCCAAUGAGUUCCUGGAAAGUCUUGUGCUUAGAACCAAUGUCUCCACUAUUGUUUACAUAUUCUUUGGAGCCCGAUGGCUCCUUGCUUCUGUUUCACGGUUAUCUGAUCUAAACGAGCAUUGGAUAUUUAAGUACAAGAAUUCCACUGGCUCACAUGAGCAAUAAAUGAACAUCUGAUUACUGCAUCAUGACAUCAUACCAAUGCUUUAUUGUGAAAAAUACUUGGCUGUUGAUUUUACUGGUCACUCGCUGAGUUUCUAGCUCACCCCCUACUAUCUUCUUCUCCCCACGGGGAUCGAAGUAAAGGAAGAACUUGUUUUUGGAUCUUUGUGUGGCUGGAUGGCGUACAUCUUGUAUAGUUUAGUUUUGGUUUUGGUUUAUGUACUUUUGGGCUUGUAUAAAUAUUUGGAAUUGAACCGGAUGUAAAUCUACAUUUUACGCUUAGAACUAGUUUCCGCUUCGCUUAUGAUAUGUAAUUUUGGAGAAUUGGAUAUAUUAUUUGAUUUGUACCUUGUAAUUUACUUGAGGAAUGUAGUAAGUGAGUGAGUCCCGGCGAGAGCUGGGCAGGCGGUCCGCUAAACCCUUUGGUUCGCCUUAGGGGGAGGUGGGGUCGUUACAGGUAGUCCGCUAACCUUUGGGGUACACCCUAAGAGGAGGGGGGUUAUCACAUUAGGUGCAUCAUAUAAAUACAUAAUAGACUUUGAGAGACAUAGAUCAUGAAAUUAUUGAAGUUUAGGUUCAUUGUAGAGUCUCUGUAAAGUUAGAAAAUGAGUUUGCUAAUAAGCCGUUGUGUGAGAACUUGUAAAUUCCUUAUAUAUUUCUUGAAAAUUCCCUUUUAUUUGGAAAUUAUUAGGCAAUUAUUAUUCUAUAUUAUCCUACGACUCAAUCACCCUAGAAAAGUGCCAAUGAUCAUAGGAAAUUAGGGUUUUCCUUUCCGAUUUCAAUUCGAAGUGAAAUAGGAUUUUUCGUGUACCCGUAGUGUAAUUAUCCGGUAUAGAGUAAGGAUCAAAUUUGAUGCUUAAGAGUGACUUUUGGGUGAGAAAUAAUAUGUGAUUAGAGGUAAGGAUAAAAAGUUAGUGAAUAGGAAGUAAAAACCCUAGUACGUGUGAUUUAAGGAAAAACAGUGCGAACCGACGUGUACCGUGCACUGCCGAUUGAACACACCACUUGAUCACCACUUUCUUAUCAUAUAAGCUCAUUAAUAUUUAAGAAAAUAUCACCUCAUUUCCAGCUGGCUUUGGCCGAAAAUCUUGACCAAAUUGGCAAGGAAAAGAAACAAAAAAAUGAGUGGAAAUUGGUGGUGACACUUGUUGGCUAUCUAUGGCCUUGACCAAGACCAAAUUUUCUUGCCUUCUUAUCCCCAUUUUGCUUCCAUUCUUCAUCAUUUCUGCUUGCUUUGGCCGAGAGAGAGGGAGAGAAAAACCAAGGGAGAGCUUCACCAUUUCAUCUUGAAUUUGAGCCAUCCAAGUGAGGAAACAAGAAACUAAACCGAUUAAAACCUUCUUUGAGUGUUUAGCUAGUGGUGUGUUGGUGAAAGUUUGGAAGGAAAAGCUAGGGCUGCUCUUGGUAGUAACUUUAUUAAGGUAAUAAGGAUGAUUUACCAUUUCUUACUCUUGAUCUUGUUUAAUUUAGCAUAGCACUUUAAAUUUGUGGUGGAUGAUACCUAUUAUAAUGAUUUGGAUGGAUAUAGUGUAUGUUCUUGAGUUACAUGAGUUAGGGUUUGAUGAUUUUCUGCCUAUUCUUGCUGUAUGGAUAGUAUAUGUUGUAGCUAAGCUUAUUAUAUAAGAGGUUGUGGUGGUGAUUGAGGCAAGAAAUGAUGAAAGUUUCCUUUGAAACCGUAAAUUUCAGAUUUCUGGAAAAUUGUAGUUCAGUUCUGUCCGGUUCCAUUUCGUGAUGUUAGAGGCCGAAUUAGGCUUAACAUAAAACAUAAAAGUUGUAGAGAAUGAUAUUUUAUAGUUUCCUACAAAUUUCACCCCAAUCGCAGUAACGUAUCCUGUGAAAAGACCAAAAUACCCUCACUGCCCUAGGAUGCAUCCAGUGAUCCAUUUUAGACAGUUCAUCCAGUUGACCGUGUCUAUUCACUAUGAUCCGUGCUGAUUUAUCCAUUUUCCAAAACAUGAAAGUUUUAGUACUCUGUCUUAGCUUUUCAACUCCUCUAAGAACGCCUUAUACGGACUUUGGUAGCCUGAGAUAUGGCCAUUUAAAUGUAGUACGGUUAACUAGCCGGUUAGUUGGAAGUUGGUUUUGUGAAUUGGGAAUUUGACUGGGUUACACUGGAAAUUUGACUAAGUGAUCUUCAUGAAAGUUGUAGGCCUUCAUCUUAGCUUCGAAAAGGUAUAAGUUUCACCCCAAUCCGAUAAGCGUAGCCUCGGAUGUGUCCAUUUCGUAAAAAUCCGUCAAAUCUGUCUUUUGUUAACCCUCAUUUCCGCACUUGUUGUUAGCUUGAUUUUUGUCCUUGUAUAGUCUUGAUCCUAUUGAACAGCUAUUGUGAUGAAUUUAUAUUGUGUAUGACUUUGGGUUUGAAUGAGGAAAAUAAUGAAGCCAAAUGGCUGGAAAAUUAGGUAAAUACAAAGGGCAUGCUGCCCAAAUUUAAGCUCGAGGACUAGAGAAAUACACUUGCGACUUGGGUAAAGUUGAUAAAUGAAUAUCACUUGAACCAUCUAGGACUUUUGCUACUUUGGUUAUCGAGGGUUAUACGUUAGAACCCAGUCGAACUUAUACCCUUAGAAAAAGUGGUAAUAAUCACUAUAAAUCCGUUUUCCUUGCACUUUCGACUCAAAAGUUAAUUCCAAGUAUACAUCUUACAAAAUUUUUCAGUUUGAAAAGCGAGCAACCGUUUCACGACUAUUCUCCAAGUGAAUUUCAAUUUCUUAAUUCUUAUUGACGAAACGUCUAAGUUUCGAACCUUAGUUGAUUUUCAAAGUUCUUAAAUCAAGUUUUAUCGCAGAUUUGGACUCCAACCCCGAAGUACCACCCAGACGUGAACAUUAGAGGCACUACUUUUGGUGAGUGCUUCCAAAUAUCUAAUUGAACUUGAUAUUUAUGAUUUAUCUUUGACCAAGUGAUUACAUGAUAUAUAAGUGAUUUGAUCGGGCAAGGGUGUACUUUAUCGUACUUGCCCCAACGAGAAUUGUUCUUGUUUAUCGAUUUCACUUGACUUGCUCUAUAUGCAUAUGAAUUGUAUCUUGUCUGGAAUUCCAGAAACCCUGUGGCUAGUUAAUCGAGUCGAGCCAGCAAGGGCCUGGUCGAUUAGAUAAUGAACCCUGGGUAACUAGUAAUGUCGAGUGGAGUGUUAUCUCCUCGGUUAAUCGGUAUACUCGAGUAUUACCACCCAUGUUUCGUGUGGCAUGCGUGCCCGGAUAAGGGGUUGGUCGGUGGACGGAGACUGGCGUGAAGUGGGGUUUUCUUUUUGGACUAGUUAUUACUUAAAAGUUGACGGAGGGUCAACUACCAAUCGAUCAAGCUGGGAUGGAGUCGAGACAUGAGCCACUAUAUCCUUACAUGUGAAUAUGAUCCAUAUAUUCUUGACUACCGGAAGUAUUAUCUCUUUGAUUGGACUUGUUUGGUUGCUAUUUCAUUAUUACACUGUUAUUACUUCGUUUGAUGGCCAAUUUGAUAUUUGGAACUUCACUGAGUUUUGGCUCACUCCGUUAGUUUUGUUUUCCUUAUAGAGGUACGAGCGAGGCGUGAGACGUGUAAAGGCUAGUGUAGUCUAGUUGUUUUGACUUUUGACUUGUACUCGCGCUAUUACUCGAAUAGAAUGUUUUGUAUCUGGAUUGUAUACACUUUGAACCAGUUUUGGUAUAUUGAGGCUUUGUAUCUUGAUUGUGCAUCAAUGCAAAUUAUAAGCUUGAAUUGCGAUGUUAUUUAUGGUGCACGGAUGUAUGCACGUGAUACGAGUGAGUGAGUCCUAGCGAGAGAUGGGCAGGCGGUCCGCCGAACCUUUUGGUACGCCUUAGGGGAAGGUGGGGUCGUCACACGUUGUCUAUUGUUUACCUUUUAUAUACAUGAUUUUUUUUUAAAUCUUUGUAACUUCUCUUGUUAUCUUGAAAGGCAUGGAUUAUUUCCAACUAAAAUGCUAUUUGCUCGUAUUUUACUUAUAUUAAGGUACUUUGGGUAUUAUGGCUGGAGUGGGACAUCAGUGAGGGGCGAAGGAACCAACAAACACAUCACUAUCUACAUCAAUUGUUCCACUUCAUAAUGCCAAUGAUUCUAAUAAUGGAGUAGCGACCAAUGCAUCCGAGGCAUCUGAAAACAUUUCAAUUGAACUUGAUUCUAGUUCUACAGAACUAGAGACCCAUACUUCUGCUUCUAGUACAUUUUUUUCUUUAGUAUCCAAUUUCCUAAUUUAUUAUUUGUUUUUUCCUAGUAGUGUUGGUCUUCUCAUUAGUCUAGUCAUUGAAAAAUCAUAUGAAUUGUGAAUUGCUAGGUAGUAACUACAUAAUAUUUUUAUUGAUAUGAAUACCAAAAUAAAGAUUUUGCUUGUAAUUUAGCUAUUCCUUUAUUAAUGUUCUUUUUUCAUCCCUCCUAUUUUUUUUAUACAUAGGGAUCACAUUAAAGAAGAGAGGUAGAGGUCCAAAUAGAGGGAUAGAGUUGUCAAGAGAAGUUGAGAAAAAGGGAAAGUAAGACAUAUGAAUUCCUGAAGGUAUAAACAGACCACUUGGAGAGAACCAUACUACGUUGCCAAGAGAAAUUAGAUUUCUUGUUAGGCAUAUUGCAACAAUGCGAGUUGUAAAUUGGUCUGAAGUUGAAGUUGAUCAGAAGAAGAAGAUAAUUCAGACUCUGCUGGUAAUAUUUAUUUGUUACAAUAUUUAUUCUUUUUCAUGAAAAUCAUUCUUAUUUUUGUUUUCAAUUUUAUUGUUUAUAUCUUGUUUAUUAUUUCACAAAAGGCUAAAUCUAGUUGUAUGCUAGUUGCUCUUAUGUUCUUUUAAUUAAAAAGUUAAUUUUACAGAGCUACAUAGAAGAUGAUAUGAAGAAGGCAAGGCAAGAUUGUCGUUCUAAGGCUCAUUUGCAAUACAAUGCUUUCUAGGGUGGAGAAAAUGGUAGACAACAUCCAUAUAAAACAUUUCUAAACCGACCAAUUGAUUGGCAACGGUUGUGUGAUUAUUUUGAUUCUAAAGCAUUUGAGGUAACUAUUAUUGGACCUUUAUUUUCAAAUAUUUUUUAAAGAUUUUAUUUGACAUCCAUUGAUUUUAAAUGAGAUUGUUAUUUACAUUCUUUGCAAAAAGUUUCUAUAAGGAAUUCACAAAAUAGGGCUUGUCUAACUACUCUUCCAAAAAUUGGUUCAGUUGCACUUGUGGCAUCCUAACAUGAGGAGGUAACAACUCUAGUGUAUUCAUAUAUAUAUAUAUAUAUAUAUAUAUACACACACACAUUGUGAGAAUUCGAAAAUUCGUUUGUAUUUUCUUAUAAUUCUUUUUUAUUUUGAAUAAGUUAAUUUAUAAUUUCUUUAAUACUAAUUUACCUUCCUUAAUAGUUCUAAUAAAUAAUAGAGUCGAGAGUUUUACUUUUACCUUUAUAGUUAGUGUAUGUUAGGUUUUAGGGUGCAUUGUGGUAGUGUGAUCAAUUCGUGAGGUGUGUGUACUAAAUUUAGUGGAUAAGAGCGGGUAUUAAGAAAUAGGAAGUAUGUGAUUAAAAGUGUUAAGAGUAAGUUAGUGAAUCAUAAGUUAAAAGUACAAGAGAGACAAGGAAAUAGGCGUGAACCGACUUGCGUCGUUUGUUACCGGUCAAGAACACCACUUGACCAAUACUUUCUUUCCCUAAUCUUCUUAUUUUUAUUUCUCUAAUUUUUUCCUAGGGUUGGCCAAAAUUAUUGACUAAGAAAGAGAGGAAAAGAAAAAAAAGAGGAAAAAUGAUUGAUUGCCAAGUGUUGGCAAUCAAGGCCUUCUUUGACCGGAAGUUUUCCUCCAUCUUUAUCUUUCCUACCAUCAAAAUCUCCUUCAUAUUUCUUCCUUGUUAUCCGACUCUUGGAGAGGAAAAAAGAGAGAAGAAAACUUCACUUUUCAUCUUGAUUUUUCCUUGAUUGAGUGAGGAAUCAACCAAAACCACUAAUCUAAACCGAACAAAGUAGCAACAAGGUGAUAAGGAGGCUUGUAGUGGAGUGAUUUGGAGAGAAAUGCCUUGGUUUUUCACUUUCUCCUAGAGGGUUGAAGCUAAUAAGUUGGCAAACUCUCCUUCUCUUUCUUAUCUUGCAAUUUAUUGGGUAGAUGAUUUGAAAUUGGAAGUUUUAUGGAAGAUAUCAUGGAUUUGUGAAGAUUGGUGAAAUUUCCAGCCUAGGGUUUAAUUUUCCAACUUUGUAUUAUAUUUCUAAGCCAUGAUAUGAUGGUAUCUAGCCUUAUUAUGGACUUGUAUGAAGAUUUCUAGUUUUACUAUGACUUUUUAGCUUCCAAAUAAGAAAUUUCAGCUUUAGUUCCAAAUUUUUCAGUUUUGGUAGAGAAUUUUCCAGUUUAGAUAUAUGAUGUUUAUAUACUAGAGAUAAGUUUAAAUUAGUUGGUUUUGUAACCUAGUAUAAGAACCCCUUUUACCUUAUAACUUGUGGAGUUGAUUUUGGGAUGUUUUGCCAUGAAGCUUAGUUUGAAAAAUUGGAGCAAAAGUUAAGGAAAAAUAGGAGAGGUGCUGCCCGUUUUUCUUCUUGUGGGGUAAGUGAGUGAAAGUGGAAGUAAAUGUGCGAUAUGUAAUCGAUUGGGAGUUCACUUACUUAGGAAUGUUUGAAUUAACCCUGGUAGUAAUAUGUAAGAUGAAAUUUUGCCAAAAUUGAUAUAUUUUGCAAGGAGAAAGUAACGGUCACUUUAAACGAGAUUUUCUAGUUGCAUAUGACAAGUUAUAAACUUAAAGGUUUCAAUCAUUUUUUACCAAAACCAAAAGAGCGGGCAUAUAUUUUUUAGAGUUUAUUAAGUAUUAUGAUUACUAUUUAAAUGAGUUUUACUUAAUUGGCUUUUCCUUUGAUAUUAAUAAGCGAAAGACAUAUAUUUUGAAACCCUAUUUGAUUACAAGUUGUUAGCCGAUAUUUUAUCGCGAAUUUUGACUCUAACCAAGGGGCUGGACCUGGGUUUGAUUUGGAUACGCAGUAAAUCAUUGGUGAGUGUCUCCAAUUGCAUGACCGAACUUAAAACUUGAAUGCAACACUUUCUUGAUGUGACUUAUUACUGUGCAUUGGUUACAAAUGGUUUGAUGUAUAUGUGUAUGACUUAAAUACUGCCUGGAAUCCCUACCCUAUGGGUUAGUUGGUCGAAUCGAACUAGUAAGGGUUUGGUCGAGGAGACUGGCGAACCAUAGGUACUAGUUAUUGUUUAUUGUAUAAUCCAAUGAAUAUGGUCCACUGGAUUCGGUAUAUUCGAGUAUUACCACUAGUGUUAAUGUUGGAGUUUGGGCCCGGUAGGCGUUUUGAUUGGUGAAUAGAGAUUAGAGUUAAGUGGUGCUCUACUAGACUUGCUACACUGCUUUGAAAGUUGACAGAGUGUCAACUAUUUCUUGGCAAGCUGCGGCCAAGUUAGCUCGCAAGAGUGACUUGUAUCCUUAUACCUGGAAAUGUUGAAUCCCUAAUUAAUUGGUUGCUUGAAGUAUUGCUGCUUACUUCAUGAACUUUUGUGCUCGCCACUUUGAGAUUUCAAGUUUUAUAUAAUGACCAUCUUGCUACUUGCUUUUGCAUGAUGUUUUGGAACUUCACUAAUAUUUGACUCACCCUAUUAGUUUUGCUUUCCUUGCAAAGGGUGCGAGUAUAGGCAUGAGGCAGGAACAGGUUGGUUUUGUCUCGACCUUUUGACUUUUGUAUUUGUACUAACACUAGUGCUCGAGUAAGGUUAGAAGUUCAACUUUGAAUCUUUUGUUACAGUUGGGUAUGUAUGAACAUUUGAGAUAGACAUGUGUAUAGAUGUACAUUCUAAGCUUGGGAGUAUUUACUAUUUCUUUACUUUUGAAGUUAUAAUUUAUCUUUGAAAUUGUGUGAGUGAGUCCUAGUGAGAGUUGGGCAGGCGGUCCACUAAACCCUAGGAUACGCCCUAGGGAGAGGUGGGGUCGUCACAGGUGGUAUUAGAGCCUAAGUUUGAAUUGGCCUGGAUGAAUUGAGUGACCUUGUGACGCCCCCACUUCUCCCAAGGGCGAACUCGAGGGUAUCGGAGGGACGCCUGUCUAGUUCGCGCCAGGACUCAAUACUUAAAAUGAGAAAAUAGACUGCACGCUAAAAGAAAGUUCUAGUUACUCCAUUACAGCUGCAAAAGUUGCAUAAACUAAUACAUCAAGUCAUACAUACCACGAGUACUAGAAAGUAAACCCUAGAAAAGCUGAUAACUAUAACCACCACGACAACUAUAUACAUCUUACUAGUCAACUUAUAACAAGUACAAAUUCAACUCUUCUAUAAUUAGAAGACUAAACACCUUCCCGAGUGAUCCCCGCGUUGGCCCCCUGCUAAGGAAAACAAAUAGAAUGGGGUAAGGUAUAUGCUUAGUGAGUAAUCAUGGGUAAAAAUGUAAACUCAUAUCCAAAUAACAAGUAAUCAGGAUAUUUCACAUCAAUAACAGAAAGGUAACAACACAAUGGUAGGAUACGGGUGGCUUCAAAGCCAGUUCAAUUCCCCGAGCUUGAACGCCUGUUGACACUCUGUCAACCAAAGAACUCAUAGUCCGUAGACUCCACUUAACUUUCCGCGUUCACCUUAUCAACCCCCGCUGGCCAGCCAAUAGCACACAGCAGCUCGAGCGAAACAAAAUAACUUAGCUUUCGUCAAAGAUUUAACAAAGAACUAAAUCCCAAGAUUAGCAUGGAACUAUUUUCGACCAAGCCCCGGCUGGUUCGAAUAGUUCGUCUACUUUUGGAACCAGGUUGGAACCAAGCCCUGAGAUAUCCAAUCCCUCAAUAGAUGGUAUCCCUCAACAAAGUACACAACAAAGUACUUAUCCCAACAGCACACAGCAAAAGGGGUUUAACUCAAGUCAUGUAAUCACCCCCAUCAGCACACAGCAGAUGGGUGAUACUCAACAUAAGGCAGGUAUUCUCACAUAUGAAAUCAAAACAAAAGAUGGGCUUAGGUCGAGUGAGAUAAAGUACACUCUCGCUUAAGUACCCAUGUAACAUAUACAAAACACUUUAACAAUUUCACAUCAAUAAAUAACCCAAUUACUUACUUGAUAAAGCUUGACACGAAAAACGAUACAAUUCACCGACCAUCACCGUCAAAAGCCUCACAAUCUGUAUCGACAGAUUAUAUACACACAAAAGUGAAAUGGCAAUACAAUAGCGGUUUAUAACUUAAACGAUUGAGGAUGGUCGAAAACGGUCAAAAAUAAUCAAAAACGGUAAAAACAACGUUAAGGCUAAAAGAAUGUCGAAAUUAGCCGAAACGGCCGGAAUGGUAACAAAAUAACAAAAGUAGACCUAAACGGUCCAAAACGGCAAAAAUGGUUGAGAAAUGCACGUGUGCGUGCAUGAUAAUGAAAAUGGUACAAAACGGGUUACAACUUCCAUGAAGACACCUCAACCCAGUUUUCAUUGUAUCCAAAUCAAAUUUGCAAAAUACAGAACUAGAACUCCAAAGGCUAGUUUAUAUCUCUAACGACAUUUUGGCGGCAUGCCCCUUGUGUUUACCUAUUUUCCAGCCAUUCUUGGCUUAAAUAUUUCCCUCAAACAGUCCCAAAGUCACUUACAAAGUAAUCUUAUUUCAAUAGCUGUUCAAUAGGCUCAAAGUCAUACAACUACAAAAUUAAACUAGGUACAUGUCCGGAAAUGAAAUCUAAGACAUAAAUCAAAGGACAGAUUUGCUGUCACUUAGCGUAACGAGCAUAACCGAAGCUAAGUUUAUCGGAUUAGGGUACAAUUUAUACUGUUUCGAAGCUAAGACAAAGGCCUACAACUUUGAUGAAGACCACUCAGUCUAGUUUGUAGUUUAUCUAAGUCAAAAUAUCCAAUGAGAGAACCAGAAUCUCACAUUCAGGCUUGUUAACUACCUUAUACAUAAAUGACAAUAACUCAGGUUACCAAAGUCUGAUUAGGGCGUUUUCAGUGGCGUUGGAAAGCUAAAACAUAGAGCUAAAAGUUUCAUGUUUUGGACAAAGACUGGUUUGGUACAGAUCAGGUUGAAAAACGCAGCCAACAUGAGGAAAUGUCAAAACUGUCUGCUGGACUUUACCUAGGGCAGUCAUAGGGGUAUUUUUGUCUUUUCAUGAAAUACAGUGUUCAGAUUGGGUUGAAAUUCUACAGGUAGCUAUACAAUAUCAUUCUAUACAACUUUCAUGUUUUAGACUAAGCCUAAUUUGGCCUCUAACAUGGUGAACUAGAACCAGGCAGAACAGGGUGCAUAUUAACUUCAAUUCUGGAAAUUUGCUACAAUCAAGAUAUAAUUCCCAUUUCUAGUUUAAAACCAUCACUACCACCUCAUAUACAAGCUUGUAUAUAUCAUAUACCAUCCAUACAACAAGUAUGAGAAGGAAAUCAUUCGAACCCUAACUCAAAUUCAUCACCCCAACCAUCCAAAAUCACUUGAUAUAAGCAUUACAACCACAAAUACAAGCUACUAAGCAACUCCUAUGAGGACUUGUAAAUUCCUUAUAUAUUUCUUGAAAAUUCCCUUUUAUUUGGAAAUUAUUAGGCAAUUAUUAUUCUAUAUUAUCCUACGACUCAAUCACCCUAGAAAAGUGCCAAUGAUCAUAGGAAAUUAGGGUUUUCCUUUUCGAUUUCAAUUCGAAGUGAAAUAGGAUUUUUCGUGUAUCCGUAGUGUAAUUAUCCGGUAUGGAGUAAGGAUCAAAUUUGAUGCUUAAGAGUGACUUUUGGGUGAGAAAUAAUAUGUGAUUAGAGGUAAGGAUAAAAAGUUAGUGAAUAGGAAGUAAAAACCCUAGUACGUGUGAUUUAAGGAAAAACAGUGCGAACCGACGUGUACCGUGCACUGCCGAUUGAACACACCACUUGAUCACCACUUUCUUAUCAUAUAAGCUCAUUAAUAUUUAAGAAAAUAUCACCUCAUUUCCAGCUGGCUUUGGCCGAAAAUCUUGACCAAAUUGGCAAGGAAAAGAAACAAAAAAAUGAGUGGAAAUUGGUGGUGACACUUGUUGGCUAUCUAUGGCCUUGACCAAGACCAAAUUUUCUUGCCUUCUUAUCCCCAUUUUGCUUCCAUUCUUCAUCAUUUCUGCUUGCUUUGGCCGAGAGAGAGGGAGAGAAAAACCAAGGGAGAGCUUUACCAUUUCAUCUUGAAUUUGAGCCAUCCAAGUGAGGAAACAAGAAACUAAACCGAUUAAAACCUUCUUUGAGUGUUUAGCUAGUGGUGUGUUGGUGAAAGUUUGGAAGGAAAAGCUAGGGCUGCUCUUGGUAGUAACUUUAUUAAGGUAAUAAGGAUGAUUUACCAUUUCUUACUCUUGAUCUUGUUUAAUUUAGCAUAGCACUUUAAAUUUGUGGUGGAUGAUACCUAUUAUAAUGAUUUGGAUGGAUAUAGUGUAUGUUCUUGAGUUACAUGAGUUAGGGUUUGAUGAUUUUCUGCUAUUCUUGCUGUAUGGAUAGUAUAUAUUGUAGCUAAGCUUAUAUAAGAGGUUGUGGUGGUGAUUGAGGCAAGAAAUGAUGAAAGUUUCCUUUGAAACCGUAAAUUUCAGAUUUCUGGAAAAUUGUAGUUCAGUUCUGUCCGGUUCCAUUUCGUGAUGUUAGAGGCCGAAUUAAGCUUAGCAUAAAACAUAAAAGUUGUAGAGAAUGAUAUUUUAUAGUUUCCUACAAAUUUCACCCCAAUCGCAACAACGUAUCCUGUGAAAAGACCAAAAUACCCUCACUGUCCUAGGAUGCAUCCAGUGAUCCGUUUUAGACAGUUCAUCCAGUUGACCGUAUCUAUUCACUAUGAUCCAUGCUGAUUUAGCCAUUUACCAAAACAUGAAAGUUUUAGUACUCUGUCUUAGCUUUUCAACGUCUCCAAGAACGCCUUAAACGGACUUUGGUAGCCUGAGAUAUGGCCAUUUAAAUGUAGUAUGGUUAACUAGCCGGUUAGUUGGAAGUUGGUUCUGUGAAUUGGUAAUUUGACUGGGUACACUGGAAAUUUGACUAAGUGAUCUUCAUGAAAGUUGUAGGCCUUUGUCUUAGCUUCGAAAUGGUAUAAGUUUCACCCCAAUCCGAUAAGCGUAGCCUCGGAUGUGUCCAUUCUGUAAAAACCCGUCAAAUCUGUCUUUGGUUAACCCUCAUUUCCGCACUUGUUGUUAGCUUGAUUUUUGUCCUUGUAUCAUCUUGAGCCUAUUUAACGGCUAUUGUGAUGAAUUUAUAUUGUGUAUGACUUUGGAUUUGAAUGAGGAAAAUAAUGAAGCCAAAUGGCUGGAAAAUUAGGUAAAUACAAAGGGCAAGCUGCCUAAAUUUACGCUCGAGAACUAGAAAAAUACACUUGCGACUUGGGUAAAGUUGAUAAAUGAAUAUCACUUGAACCAUCUAGGACUUUUGCUGUUUUGGUUAUCGAGGGUUAUACAUUAGAACCUAGCCGAACUUGUACCCUUAGGAAAAGCGGUAAUAAUCACUAUAAAUCCGUUUUCCUUGCACUUUCGACUCAAAAGUUAAUUCCAAGUAUACAUCUUACAAAAUUUUUUAGUCUGAAAAGUGAGCAACCGUUUCACGACUAUUCUCCAAGUGAAUUUCAAUUUCUUGAUUCUUAUUGAAUGAAACGUCUAAGUUUCGAACCUUAGUUGAUUUUCAAAGUUCUUAAAUCAAGUUUUAUUGCAGAUUUGGACUCCAACCCCGGAGUACCACCCAGACGCGAAUAUUAGAGGCACUACUUUUGGUGAGUGCUUCCAAAUUAACUUGAUAUUUGUGAUUUAUCUUUGACCAAUGUGAUUACAUGAUAUAUAAUUGAUUUGAUCGGGCAAGGGUGUACUUUAUCGCACUUGCCCUAACGAGAAUUGUUCUUGUUUAUCGAUUUCACUUGACUUGCUCUACAUGCAUAUGAAUUGUAUCUUGUCUGGAAUUCCAGAAACCCUGUGGCUAGUUAAUCGAGUCGAGCCGACAAGGGGCUGGUCGAUUAGAUAACGAACCCUGGGUAACUAGUAAUGUUGAGUGGAGUGUUAUCUCCUCGGCUAAUCGGUAUACUCAAGUAUUACCACCCAUGUUUCGUGUGGCGUGCGGGCCCGGAUAAGGGGGUUGGUCGGUGGAUGGAGACUGGCGUGAAGUGGGGUUUUCUUUUUGGACUAGUUAUUACUUGAAAGUUGACAGAGGGUCAACUACCAAUCGAUCAAGUUGGGAUGGAGUUGAGACAUAAGCCACUGUAUCCUUACAUGUGAAUAUGAUCCAUAUAUUUUUGACUACCUGAAGUAUUAUCUCUUUGAUUGGACUUGUUUGCUCGCUAUUUCACUAAUACACUGUUAUUACUUCGUUUAAUGGCCAAUUUGAUAUUUGGAACUUCACUGAGGUUUUGCUCACUCCGUUUGUUUUGUUUUCCUUACUGGGGUACGAGCGAGGCGUGAGACGUGUAAAGACUAGCGUAGUCUAGUUGUUUUUACUUUUGACUUGUACUCGCGCUAUUACUCGAAUAGAAUGUUUUGUAUCUGGAUUGUAUACACUUUGAACCAGUUUGGGUAUAUUGAGGCUUUGUAUCUUGAUUGUGCAUCAAUGCAAAUUAUAAGCUUGAAUUGCGAUGUUAUUUAUGAUCCACGGAUGUAUGCACGUGAUACGAGUGAGUGAGUCUUGGCGAGAGUUGGGCAGGCGGUCCGCCGAACCCUUUGGUACACCUUAGGGGAAGGUGGGGUCGUCACAACUCCAACUUGAUCAAGGAAAAAGAAAGAGUGGUCAGCCAUAUUACCUCAAAAACAAAGCUUGCUAGAGUUAUCCUCCACUUCUCCUUCAAAUUUUUGGUUCCCUAAGCUUCCCAAGCUUCCAAUUUACAAGUUAAUCGGUUUAGUUUUUCUUGGUUUCACACACAACUCUUGAUUUGAGGUUGGAAAUGGAAAGCUCUCUUCACUCUUUCUCCCUCUCUUGCUCUUUGCCUAACCAAGGAAAAAAUGGUGAAGAAAUGAACUAAAAUGAAGAUAAGAAGGUAAGAAAGUUGGCUUGGUCAAAGGGCCUUAAAUGGCCAACACUUGUCACACUUAGGUUGAUCCAAAAUUUUUUUCUUUUCUCUUGUUUUCUAAGUCAAACAUUUCAGCCACUUUAAGCUGAUUUAUGACUGAUAUUUAGCUCUCAUAUCAAUGGGAUUAACUUGAUAAAAAUGGUGCUCAAAUGGUGUGUUCAACUGGUAGUGAACGGUACCCGUCAGUUCGAGCCAUUUUUCCUUAAAUCGCGUAUACUACGGUUUUAACUUACAAUUCACUAACUUAUUAUUAUCACCUCUAUUCACACACUUAAUAUCAUUUAAAACUCACUCUUAAUCACCAAAUUUGAUCCACAUUCCGUACCGGAUAGUCACACCACGAAUAGGCGUAAAACUCUAAUUCGCGCUAACUUGAAUACGAAAAGGAAAAACCCUUACUUCUAUAUUCGUUUGCACUUAUUGUGGGGUGAUUGGGUAGUAAGGCUAUUAUAAAAUAAUAAUUUCCAAGUAAAAGGAAUUUUAAGAAAAUGUGCAGGAUUUUACAAUUCCAUUAAAGUAGGGUUUCGAUUAAAACAUGAGAGAUUUGAGAGAACCGAUUAGUCACCAGUAACUAGGUUUUUUUUUUUGAAAUAGAAUUUAGGGUUUUUAGUCUUUAAAACAAAACAAUGUCUUAAAAUAAAACAAAGAAAUCGUAAUAUCUUUUUUGAGACUAAACAACAAGAGUAUCCUAAAAGUUGGGGUAUCACUGACCUAUUAUACUAGUUGAUACAGUUCAUGUAUGAAUGUGUAAGUGUGAAACCCUAGAGAGUAGGUGACUAACUUAGUUUUACUUGUUUAAAUUACUUAUUCUCUUGAUAUCACUUGUACUGUAGGCAAUGGAAGGAGAUGGUGAGAGCGAAAGUUCCGAACGACCUCGUCGAGUACUUAACUAUCAGGAACAUCCAAGAGGGCCGGGAUUUCGGUGGGCUCCGGGGCGUAGGGUCAAGCACUGUGAUUGUUGGCAAACCUACUCAUAUCCCGAUAGGGUGGUCCUUACCAUAACGGACAAGAGGAGAAUAUUGGCUAGUGCCAAUUGUCGAGACCAGACAGAGAUUGAGCGCCUGAGAACGGUGCUAAUAAUGCAAGGGAAUAAAAUUCGAGAGAUUGAGGCUUCUAUUCUUGAGAAACAGAAGCAAAACAAUGCUUUUCAAAAGCAAGCACAAGAGGCUAAUGGUCACCUCGUUCGAGUGGUAAAGGAAGUAAGGGACCGAACUGAUAGCAUCUUAACUAAGUGUGGGGCUCUUAUAGAGGAAGUAGUACCGGUGAAUUUAGCCGGAGAAGGUCAAGGGAAUGUGACCCCUAAUGAAUCUGACCUAAAACCUGAGGAGAACCCUGAGGAAGAACCAGCUGCACCUAAGGAGGUGGUGGAAUCAGUUGGGUCAGUGACGAACUGAGAUAGAAAUCUAGGGUUUGAGGGUUGUGCAAGAUAGUUAGGACAUACUAUAGGGUAGUUGGGUUGACACGUCAUCUUUCUUGUUUUGCUUUUAAUAUUGACGUGUUAAGGUUGAUAUAUAUAGUGCUUGCUUUUGUUCUAUGUCCUUUGGUUUGCUAUAAGUACUUGACUUUAUUAGGUUGACAUGUACAGUAUUUUAUGACUUGGUAUUUGAGUUGUUAUGGUAUGCAUAUAAAUAGAAUGUUUUAUUCCAUUAUUUUCAUUUUAUAACUUGAAAAUGCUUUUAUUGAGUUUUAUAACUACUUUAUUUUGUUUAUACCUAUAUAGUCUAUUUUUCGAAAGAGAUAUGGAAAGUAGGCGAAAUCAAGGACAUGGUAUUGGCCGUGGAUGUAGGGAUAGACAAGUACAAGAAUCGAGAGAAGAAAGAGACGCGACGGCCGAGCAACAACCUGAACCAAAGGUCGAAGUAGGAGAUUAGGUAGUAAUGGCAAUCCAGCAAAUGACUAAUAUUUUAGUUCGAUUGGUAAGCAGCAGGGUCAAGCCCCUAUUAACCAGUCUGGAGACCUUGAAAUAGGAAAAAAUAGGACCCUAGAGCAAUUUCAAAAGUUCUCUCUGCCCAAGUUUCUUGGAGGGCCAGAUCCGGAAGUAGCGGAGAGAUGGCUGGAAACAAUGAUCAAUAUCUUCACUGCCUUGAAUUACAUGGAGGAAAGGCAUGUGAACUUUGCUGUAUUCCAAUCUGAAGGACCAGUCCGAGCUUGGUAAAAUGUGAUUAGGGCUAAGUGAGAGAGAUAGCGGAUAGCGUGGACUUGGUUGAACUUUAUACGGGAGUUUAACGAGAAAUAUUUUUCACCCAUAGUCUAGGAGAAAAUGGAGGAUGAUUUUAUUAGACUACAUCAAGAAGUCUUAAGUGUAUCUGAGUAUGAAACCCAGUUCACCAAAUUAUCCAAAUUCGCUCCUGAAUUAGUGGCAACGGAGCAAAGGAGGGUGAGGCAAUUUGUAUAAGGGUUGAAUGUAGAAAUACAAGAGGCUUUGGCGGUGGUACAAAUUAAUACUUUCACGGAGACUCUUGAGAAAGCGCAGAGGAUUAAGAUUGCAAGGGCGCAGGUAAAGGCUUUUCAUGCAAGAAAAAGAGGUGCGUCUAGUGGAGGUCAAGGGCAGGGACAAGAUGAUCGGGGUAUGCCACCCCCUAAGAUGGAUUGAGGAGUUGGUGGAAGGAGAAUUUUGAGGACACCUAGGAGAGUUACUCCGAGAGGAGUCUCAGGUGCAAGAGGACAACUGAGAGGUGCCUCACAAGGAGAUCAAACAUCAACCCCUCGUUUAUCUUGUGGGUAUUGUGGAAAGUCUAAUCAUACUGAGAAUACUUGUUGGUGAAAGGCACGGAAGUGUUUAUAAUGCUGGAGUACCGACCACCAACUCGUAACCUGCCCACUCACUAGUGAUACCCAACAGGCCGAUAGGUCGAACCCUAGACCGACCAAUAUAUGAGGGACCAAGCUAAAGAUGCCAGCCAGAGUAUAUAUCUUGGACGAAUAACAAGUGCCUGAACCGUCAAAAGUAGUGGAAGGUAUGAUCCCUGUUUUCUACUGUUUGGUCAAGAUUUUGAUAGACCCUGAUGCAACUCAUUUUUUUGUCAAUCCUACUUUUGUAUGUGGAAUUGACGUAAAGGUCGAGAGACUACCGUAUGAUUUAGAAGUGAGAACACCUAUGGGUGACCAAUCUUUACUUACUAACGAGGUGUAUAGUAACUGUGAAAUUUGGAUCUAUGAGCGAAAAUUGAUAGUAGAUAUUAUAAGUUUGGCUAUUAAGAGGUAUGACGUUAUUAUAGGAAUGGAUUGGUUAGCUCGUUAUCAUACUCGGUUAGAUUGCCGAACGAAAGUGGUUGAAUUUUGUAUAUCGGGUGAAGCAACCCAAAAACUAGAUGUGAGAGGUAUUUUAGUCUCAUCUGCCCUUAUUUCAGGAAUUUGGAUUAAAAAAUUGUUAAGUAAUGGGGCAUAGGGGAUCCACUACAAGAAAAUUGGUCAUCAGUGACAACUUUUCUCUGUGACGAAAAAAAUUUGUCACAAAAGUGGAUCCUUUAUUGACGACUUUCUAACUCGUCACAAACCUCUAAUGGGAGCCAACUCAUUUGUGACGACUUCUAGUAAAUUCCCGUCAAGAUUUACCAAGAGUGCGGGAGUGUUUAGAACACACAAUAGUGACGACAUUAAGAACAUCAUCACUAUUGCUUGGACUAUUUACAGACGACUUUUUGUUGUUGUCACUGAUUACUAAAAAAAAAUUUAUUAGUGACAACAAUUAUUAGUGAUGACAAUAAGUCGUCACAAAAGGAACUUCUUUAGUCGCGACACCUAAAGUUGUCACAAUUGCAUCAAAGCAACUAAAUGUUUAGUGACGACCCGUUAUUUUCGUCACAAACUACACCGCAAGAAAUAUGGUCAUUAGUGACAAGAUUUUUAGUGACGACUGUCGCGCCCCACUUUUUGAAAGUGUGAAAGUAGUGUGUAGGAUAAGUAUGUGAACGUGUGUGAAAGUGAAAAUAAAAGACCGUGGGAUUGUAAAAUGCGAUGGUUUGGCCACACAAAGGGUUUUAGAUAGAAAAGGAGUCGCCACUUGGUAUAGAGUUAGAGUGUACCAAGUCACCCAAAAAGUGAUUUUUUGGAAAAGAAAAGUAAACAAACCCUUUUUAAAGAAUUUUUAGGUCUACGUAACCAAAGAAAGGGAUCGGGGGUCACAUUUGAUAAGGAAGAAGGCAAAGGCAAAGUCUAAGGCACUCCCUUACCCUAACCAAAGCUAGUUGCGUGACUUAGCCCUUCUUUUCCUAAUUCUUCUACCCAAAGUAUGUGUUACAUAUUGGAUAUGACUAAUGGAUGCGAAAAAAAUGCAAUCCUAAAUCUAAAAUGUCUCUUGUGAGGCUUUUUGGUCCCAAUCACAUGAGUUGUGAUGGCCAAUAAGGAAAACUCUCAUAGAGGUCACGGGUAAUGCAAAUGAAGACCCAAAUAUGAGUGCAAGUGUGAAAAUGUAAGAAGAAUGUAAAAUAAAAUAAAAUAAAAAUACAAAUGUAAGUGCAAGUGUGUAAGUGCAAGAAAAUUGCAUGUGUGCCAAUUAAAUAAAUAAAGGUGUUUGUGUGCAAAUGGAUGAAAAUAUGGUAUAAUAGUAGUAAAUGCAUAUAAGUGCAACCGGGUGCAAUUUGUGAGGUAGAAAAUAAAUAAGUGAUAGGGAAAGAAAAAUGUACAAACAUGGCAUGUGGAUUGAGAAAAAAUAUAAGUAGUAAAAGAAUGUGGAUAAAGAAGGUGAGGAAGUGAUAUGAUAAAAAUGAGAGUGUAUGAAUCUAGAGGAAUGCAUCAAGUCGGGUACGGGAAUGACUCCUAAUUUCACGACUUUAAUUUUCCCUUUAAUUAAAAGGAAGAACUAGCAUGCUAAGGCUAUUUUGCAGCCACACUCGCUCGUUUCCCUUACCGAAAGGGGACUCUCAAGCAAAUGUACCCUAUAACUAGCAUGAAGAUGCAAAAACCUAAAAUGAAGAGAAAAAGUUUGGAGGAGCAUGCCAAAUGCUAGAAAACUAAGAAAAAUGCAUGGAAUGUAUUGAGACAUACAAAAAAUGCACUAGCGAGAGGGACGGGCCUAAUGGGUCUAGCAUUGGACUAGCCCUUCACUAAAUGCUUUAUCACAAGCGUUGGACUUGUGAGGAUCAAAAGGGAAGACCAUGACUAGCAUUGGACUAGCCAUGGUAUACGCAUUCAUCCGUCACAUUCAUCUACGAUUAUAGAAAGCAAGUAGACAUGCCAAUCACUUAUAAACACGUAGCACAUAACACUUAGCAUGCUCGACUAAAUGCAAGAGCCUAAUAAAGCAAAUUAACACGUAGCAACAAAAGCAAGCAAUCAAGCUAAUGAACCUAUUACAUUUGCUAACUAAAACAACUGGGGAAGAGGAAAAAUGAAUAAAAAUGCUCUCCAAGCCCUAUCUAUUACAAGCCAAGAGGUGUACACAUACCCCAUAAAAGAAUAACUUAAUAAAAAUAAAAGUAAAUAAAAUAAAUGAAAGGAAUUAAGGAAAGGCAAGGAAAGCAAAGUAGACAUGCAAUUCUCACUUAGCACGUUGGAUCACAUAGAGGAGAGAUAAAAAAAGAUAAAAGAAGUUAAAAUCAUAGGACUGACCCGAAUAAAACUUAAAAUCAUGGGACGCACACUAGUGGGACUGACCCAUGGCUAGUGGCAAUGUAAAGUAAAAUGUUGGUAUGUAUGAAAAACUGCAUAAGACUUGUUUGGAAAAUUUAUCCAAAGAUUUGCCCCCAGUGUGAUGCAUUGGUUAGAGGGAUUAAACCCGAGCCAGUCUUAGUUGGUGGUACAAAAUCCAAACCCAACGUGAUUUUUGUGAUGUUGGCGGCACAAAAUCCAGGCCCAACGUGAUGUUUGUGAUGUUGGCGGCACAAAAUUCAGGCCCAACGUUCAUUGGUCAGCGGGAUAAAACCCGGUCCUGACGUUCAUCGGUCAGUGGGAUAAAACCCGGUUCUGACGAGGUUGAUGGGAUGAAACCCGGUCCCAACGUUCAUUGGUCAACGAGAUAAAACCCGGUCCUGACGAGGUUGGCGGGAUGAAACCCGGUCCCAACCUUCAUUGGUCAGCGGGAUAAAACCCGGUCCUGACGAGGUUGGCUGGAUAAAAUCCGGUCCUGACGAGGUUGGCGGGAUGAAACCCAAUCCCAACAUUCAUCGGUCAGCGGGAUAAAACCCGGUCCUGACGAGAUUGGCGGGAUGAAACCCGGUCCCAACGUUCAUUGGUCAGUGGGAUAAAACUCGGUCCUGACGAGGUUGGCGGGAUGAAACCCGGUCCCAACGAGAUCUUUGUGAACAAGAAAUUGAAUUUGAUUUGUCAAGAAACAAGAAAUUAAACCUAAUUUUUUUAUUUUUGACCUUUCUGAUUUUUUAUUUUUUGAUUUGAUUUUUGAUUUUUGUUUGAGAGAAUCUCUUCAAAAAUAAUUUGCCCCAGUGUCGGGCCCUGCUUCCUCUUUCUUCUUACUUCUCUUUUUGGUAUCGGCCUUCCACAUCACUGGAUACUUCUUCAUUAUGUUCAGCCACGAAUACCUGCACAGGGGGAUCACCAAAGUACAAUAUGCACUUAAACUUCUUAUUUUGAAAAUUAAUGCAACUACUACUCAUGAAAAGAGCAGCAUGAUUGACUCAAACUUCUCAAAUGUAUUACAAAAAAUCUACCCUAGUGUGGACUUAUUUUGUGAAAUCUCACAAUAAAAAUUUGCCCCAGUGUGGGCUCAUUUUGCAAAAUCUCUCAAAUGAAAAUUCGCCCCAGUGUGGGACCAUUUAAUUGCAAAAAUUUGUUUGGAUGACUCUUCAUUAAAUUCCAAAAAUUCCAUUUAUUUGAACAAAAUAAGAAACUGUGUUUCCUAUAUAACGUGAAGAAAAUUGAACGUCUUGUUUAAACUCAUAUAGAAAAUUUCAUGAUGAAUUUUUCAAAAUAAUGCCAAAUUACAAAAGAUUUCUUUCUCACUUUAGCAUCGAUGCUUUGGGUAAUGGGUCAUCAUUUCUGGUUGGUUCAUCUUUCAGGACCAAUCCGGUGACUUUAUUUCUGAUUUUGAGGUGGCUAAGGAAAAUGAGAUGUCAGGAUUUGUCUUAUUCUUGUGCCCAAAAUUGUAUGUAAACCCUUCAAUACCACAUCUUAGUGAAAGUAAAUAGUUUGUUACCCUUAUUUCUUAAGAAAAUUUAGUCAACAUAUAAGUUUUUUAGGCUUGUAACAUAUGGACAGAAGUGAUAGCUAAACAUGUGGAAACGGGUUAUAUCCUUAUGAUCACAAAUGAUUUGAUGAAUUUCUUAUGAGCAUAAUCCUCACUUUGGGUUGUCAUGAAGGAUAAGUCAACGAUAGACUUUAUGUGCUCAUAAUGCGGCUUGAAAACGAUAGUUUAAAGCAUAAGACUUUCAAGGACAUUGCACCGUAGAUCGCCUUUUUCCAAAAAUUGCCCCUAUUUUGAACUCAAAGAUCUCAGAUUUUGUUUGCAUUUUUCUCAGCAUUCACCAAGGACUUCAGCGUCGAAUUUUUUUCUACAUUUUUCUUGCAUUUACUUUUCUUUCAUUGCUUUUGCUUUUUUUUCCUUUUUCCCUCGACCUGGUGGGUUUUUACAUGGUGAGUAGCAUCAACCCCAUACCCAAGCAAUUCAGAAAUACAGCUAAAAUUUUUCGACAUCAGAAAUUUUCUUGUCAGGGCCAUUGCAAAGAACAGAAGUCAGGACUUUCGGCUUUUGUAAUGGGAGUCUGGUGGGGUGUUUAGAAAAGUUAAGACUUGAAGGCAAAUUUCAAAAGUGGUUUAAGUAAUCUGAGAUCGCAUUGUUGCGCCAACCCUAUUUUAUGGUCAAAUCAAAGUUCGCCCCAAUUCAUUCUCCAUUGAGGCUUUUCCUUUCAUUUUGUUCUCUCUUUUUUUUUCUUUCGAUUGAUUUUCUUCUUCGGCCUUCUGCCAUUCCUUUGAACUUUUCCAAAAAUUUGUCCCAGUUUAUGCUCAAACGAGGUUCUCUUUUCUUUUUUCUUUUGAUUUUGUUUGUUUUGUCACUUUUCACUUCUUGGGACUUUUUUUUUCAACUCAAACUUGCCCUUGUGUGGGGUUUGCGAUUCUCAGGGGUUGCCAAACGAAGUAUUUUAUUCUGAAAGCUCAAAAGGGAUAAUUAGGGAUAGAAUGUUUGACUGGAAAAGAAGAGACCCUGACUUUUAUUCCGUUCCUUACAAAAACUCUGAGAGGAAACUUUCAAUGCGAAAUUUCUUGCAUGUAUCUGAAUUAACUGGCUGAGGGAAGACCCUUGUUCAUCCAUAUCCAUGAAACAUAGGCGAUCCGCGCAGACAAAACUCAUCCUUUUUUUUUUUGCCAAAAUUGAAGCCCCGAUAGUAAUGGUAGAACCAAAUCUUCCCAAUUUAAUUUUAGCAUUUAUGUUUUUUCUUCCCUUUUUCCCAAAUUCUCCAAUCUCCUUCCCCAUUUGUGGGGUGCGAUCAUAAGUGCCUUUGAAAAGAACCACAUAUUUUGGCUCAAAUGAGGAUGCAAGGGGUAAUCAGUGUUUAGGUUGUAGAAACGAUGGCCAAAGCAUCAUUCUUACGCCUCAUGACAACCCACGUAAAGAAUAGCUCAUUGAGAACCUAUUCCCUUUUGAAAAUUUUCCCAACGUAGGAUAGUGAUCAUUAAGACCCUUAUUUGAAACGAAAUUAUUCUUUUAAGGCUCAAAUGGGAGAGCAAAUGAUAAAAUCUGUAUAGGUAGAGAAACGAAUGCUCGAAAUAUCAUUCCAAAUUUUCAAAACAAACAAGAAUAAUGCACAUUUUUGCUUUCAUUUAGAUGUGAAUUGAAUAUAAUUAGCCACAGUGGACAUUUCUCAAGCAAAGAUUGCCCCAAUUUGCAAUUUAUCAAUCAAUGUGAUUGAUUUUAGUUUGGGGUUAAGUGAAGGAGAAAAGGUAGCUCGGAUCACCAAUUGAGUGUACGUAAGGAUUUUAGAAAGCAUACACUCGUGAAAUUUCAGGCUGAAGGUUGAGGAAAAUUUCAAUUUAGCUUUAUUUCUCAAAAUUCAUCAUGAAAUCUCCGAUGAGCAAAAGAAUGAAACGUACAUGAUUAUAUACAAAACAAUAAUUGUCUAAAACUUUAUUGCUGAAAAAGUUUAAAACAAAAUUUCUAGUUCAAUUAUAAUACAAACGAGAAGAGAAAAACUUCUACAGUGCUCCCCAUAUAUACUUUUUGUCUCAUUUUCUUUUGGAAAAAAAAUGUAUUAACAAAAUCAAAUAAACAGAAUUUUCCUUUGAAAAAUAAUUACAAAAUCUCUCAGAGACUUUAGCCUAGAGCCUUUAGAUGGAUCUUCCACGUUUUCAUUGUAGGAUCUGUCCAAGAAUCAAAUAAUACUUGUAGUUCUCAAAUUUUAGCAGACAUAGAAAAAUAUUUUCACCUUAUUAAAGUUUUUUUUUUUAUGAAUGCAAGGGAGGGGGAAACAAAAGAAAAAUACCCCAAGUUAGUAGGUAAGGCUACAAAAUCGGUAUGCAUGUCCUAUGGGGGAACCCUUUUAUGCCAAGGGUAGGCCUAGCAUGAAAAUGCAAUCCUCGAGAGUAGGCACUAUACCAUACCUGAUGAAUCCGAUCAACUGAUUGAGUGAAAAAAUGAUUUGAAAACUUGGCCAAUUGGAGUGAGAAGAGACAUUUGUCUUAAAAAUGAGGACAAAAUCCGAAUGGAUUGCUUGUUUUGAUUGACGCAUGAUGUGCAAAAGAGCCUGCUCUUGAAAGGGUUGCAAUGUUUCGACCAAUUUAUUCAAUGAACCUUAGACUUAAACCCUAAAAGGGAAAAAACGGGUCAAAUGGAUAGGAUGAAAUUGAUGAUUUAUUCAAAAUUGACUAGAUUACCUUAAAAAGGGUAAAAUGGUCAAAUGUAUUGAAUGAGAUUUAUUUAUUCAAAAAUCGAUCAGAUCACCCAAAAAGGGUAAAUUGGUCAGAUGAAUUGAUUGAAAUUGAUGAUUUAUUCAAAAAUCGACCAGAUCACCCAAGAAGGGUAAAUUGGUCAAAUGAAUUGAUUGAAAUAAAAAAUCGACCAAAUCACCCUAAAAAGGGUAAAUUGGUCAAAUGAAUUGAAUGAAAUUAAUAGUUUAUUCAAAAAUCGACCAAAUCACCCAAAAAGAGUACAUUGGUCAAAUGAAUUGAUUGAAAUUGAUAAUUUAUUCAAAAAUCGACCAGAUCACCCAAAAAGGGUAAAUUGGCCAAAUGAAUUGAUUGGAAUUGAUGGUUUAUUCAAAAUUGAUUGAAUUGACCUAAGAAUGGGUACAUUAAUCAAACGAAUUAAAUGAAAUUGGUGGUCUAUUUAAAAUCGACUAGAUUGCCCUAAAAAUGGACAAAUUGAUGAAAUGAACUAGAUGAAAUUGAUGAAUAAAAUAGUCCAAUGGAGGGAAUUGAAUUGACAGCUUAUUUGAAAAUCAAUCUAUCCACUGGUAGUUUCAAAAAUUUAUUGCGAUGCAUUAGUCUAUGAGUACUUCUAAAAUCAAAUUUUGGCCUCAAUUUAUCGUCUCAAUAGUGAGGAAUUACUUGUGAAUUUCUUCAAAUUAAUGUCCUUUAAGCAAGGGAUUUUUACCAAUUUUGAUAAAAUGGCCUAAAGGUGAUUAUUAGACGCUCAUAUUCCAAAGAUCGCUCUUGAAAAUGAUCGGAUCCUACCUUUCCUUGUGCACUACCCCUUUAGAUGGUAUAAAAUGUAAACGUGCAAGUCUCCUUGGAUUAAGUAUCCGAGACACGAGGUGGUUUAUUCCUAACACGGAAUCGCCUAAAUGACAUUCCCUUCUAAGGUGGAUGUAUGAUGCCAUUUAUUAAAGUGAUGUAAAUAUGUGACAAAUAUGGCCUAAAGGACAUAAAUAAUGCAUCGGGGGGGAAAGGUCUAAAAAUGAAAUGUACUUAUUGAAAAUUAAGUGUAACAACUGAAAUUUAAACAUGUGAGUUAUCUAGUGGGUAAGUCACUAAAAGAGAGCCAAAGAUGCCUCUUAUUGCUAAGCACAUGAAUGCAAGCAAAAAAAACAACGAAAUGGUUAGUGCAAUUGAUAGUACACAUAGCAUAUUGGGAGCAAUUAAGAAAAGAAAUACAAUAAAAGCAUGUAAAAGGGGUGGAACCCUUUCCCUCGUGCCUAAUGUGCUUAAAAAGGGUGAGGCUGACUCUAACCUAGGAAAACUUUAACAUGGAUGCUUGAGGCUGGGGCUCACUAAUGCAACUAGACUCGAUAAGGUUUAAAAAGGUCCCCAAGCCUUCAGACCUAAGGGAAUGGGUCAUCAAUCCCAAGACCCUCGGUCGGUGGCUCGAGCGAUCCCCUAGGUACUGCUAUGGGCAUAGAGCACACCAUUCACAUACCUAGAGAAACCAUUCCUAGUCCUACAAGGCGGUGUGGGAAAGAGCCCACGAAAAUAAAAUAAAAAAAAUGGGAUAACAGUAAAUAAACGUGCACAUAUGAAGUGUUCCCUAUUUUGAGGGAAAGGGUUGAGACCCAACGCGAGGCUCUAAAGGUGACACACCUCCCCCAAAUGCAAUGCCAAGCGCGAGAUAAACAAGUAAAACAUUCAUCCAAACGACCAAUCAUACAUACGUGAGUGAGGGAGUAGUUUGAUACGCGCGCGAGGCAAAAGGUCCUAAAAUGGAAAAUGCAACCCUAAUAUCCAAAUGCUAUGCAUAACAAGGGUAGAAAACGGAAAAGAAUGGCUAAAUCAAAUGCUUGGACCCACUUAGGAGGUCCCCAGUGGAGUCGCCAAGCUGUUGCGCCCUACUUUUUGAAAGUGUGAAAGUAGUGUGUAGGAUAAGUAUGUGAAUGUGUGUGAAAAUGAAAAUAAAAGGCCGUGGGAUUGUGAAAUGCGACGGUUUGGCCACACAAAGGGUUUUAGAUAGAAAAGGAGUCGCCACUUGGUAUAGAGUUAGGGUGUACCAAGUCACCCAAAAAGUGAUUUUUUGGAAAAGAAAAGUAAACAAACCCUUUUUAAAGAAUUUUUAGGUCUACGUAACCAAAGAAAGGGAUCGGGGGUCACAUUUGAUAAGAGAGAUGGCAAAGGCAAAGCCUAAGGCACUCCCUUACCCUAGCCAAAGCUAGUUGCGUGACUUAACCCUUCUUUUCCUAAUUCUUCUACCCAAAGUAUGUGUUGCAUAUUGGAUAUGACUAAUGGAUGCGAAAAAAAUGCAAUCCUAAAUCUAAAAUGUCUCUUAUGAGGCUUUUUGGUCCCAAUCACAUGAGUUGUGAUGGCCAAUAAGGAAAACUCUCAUAGAGGUCACGGGUAAUGCAAAUGAAGACCCAAAUAUGAGUGCAAGUGUAAAAAUGUAAGAAGAAUGCAAAAUAAAAUAAAAUAAAAAUACAAAUGUAAGUGCAAGUGUGCAAGUGUAAGAAAAUUGCAUGUGUGCCAAUUGAGCAAAUAAAGGUGUUUGUGUGCAAAUGGAUGAAAAUAUGGUAUAAUAGUAGUAAAUGUAUAUAAGUGCAACUGGGUGCGAUUUGUGAGGUAGAAAAUAAAGAGGUGAUAGGGAAAGAAAAAUGUACAAACAUGGCAUGUGGAUUGAGAAAAAAUAUAAGUAGUAAAAGAAUGUGGAUAAAGAAGGUGAGGAAGUGAUAUGAUAAAAAUGAGAGUGUAUGAACCUAGAGGAAUGCAUCAAGUCGGGUACGGGAAUGACUCCUAACUUCAUGACUUUAAUUUUCCCUUUGAUUAGAAGGAAGAACUAGCGUGCUAAGGCUAUUUUGCAGCCACACUCGCUCGUUUCCCUUACCGAAAGGGGAUUUUCAAGCAAAUGUACCCUAUAACUAGCGUGAAGAUGCAAAAACCUAAAAUGAAGGGAAAAGGUUUGGAGGAGCAUGCCAAAUGCUAGAAAACUAAGAAAAUGCAUGGAAUGUAGUGAGACAUACAAAAAAUGCACUAGCGAGAGGGACGGGCCUAAUGGGUCUAGCAUUGGACUAGCCCUUCACUAAAUGCUUUAUCACAAGCGUUGGACUUGUGAGGAUCAAAAGGGAAGACCAUGACUAGCAUUGGACUAGCCAUGGUAUACGCAUUCAUCCGUCACAUUCAUCUACGAUUAUAGAAAGCAAGUAGACAUGCCAAUCAUUUAUAAACACGUAGCACAUAACACUUAGCAUGCUCGACUAAAUGCAAGAGCCUAAUAAAGCAAAUUAACACGUAGCAACAAAAGCAAGCAAUCAAGCUAAUGAACCUAUUACAUUUGCUAACUAAAACAACUGGGGAAGAGGAAAAAUGAAUAAAAAUGCUCUCCAAACCCUAUCUAUUACAAGCCAAGAGGUGUACACAUACCCCAUAAAAGAAUAACUUAAUAAAAGCAAAAGUAAAUGAAAUAAAUGAAAGGAAUUAAGGAAAGGCAAGGAAAGCAAAGUAGACAUGCAAUUCUCACUUAGCACGUUGGAUCACAUAGAGGAGAGACAAAAAAGGAUAAAAGAAGUUAUACCUCCCCGUUUGUGAUGUUAGUAAAGUGAACAAGACUUAACUGGGGCUAGAGUCACCAAAGAAAGAGAUAACUUGGGCUAAAACCAUCAAAGUAAAGGAUUAAUGCACCAAUUUAACGGUAAAAUAUAAAUAAGACAAUUUGAAUCCACCAAAUCAUCGAAUCCUUCCUCAAUUGCAAUUUAAAAAUAAUCAAAUAACGUAUAAUUACAAAGAAGGAAAAUUACCAACCAAUCCCAAAAGUAAUCAUUGACCAAAUCUUUUCAAAUCCAAUUAAACUAUUUGGGAACUUCAAGGGUCCAAGAGUAAAGAAAAGGUCAAGUAAUGGUUCAAGUUGCAUUUUUAGGACCCAAUUGCAAAUAUUAAUCAAUCAUUCGAGUCCAAUCGAAACAUUUAAGAACUUCACAGGUCCCAAAAUAAUAAAAGGCCAAAUAACGGUUCAAAUUGCAAUCAACUUAGGACUUAAUUGCAAGGGAUUGGAAUGUAAUUGGGCCAUAGUAAGACAAUGAGAGACUUUGAGGGAUUGGAAUGCAACUUUUUGGAACAUUUUCCAUGCAAAAGCUACGGAAGCAUUGUCUGCAACAAGAUCAUUUCUAAUGACAAACGUUCUGCAACACAGCCGCAAGUCAUUUCGUGCGCCACCUUCCACCUCAAGCACAACUUUGAUCAAAAACUUUCAACCAAAACAUUAAGGCUUUAAUCUAAACAAAAAACCCACUGGAACUUAACAUCUAAACAUGCAAGAGGAAGCUCAGCUUUGCGGGCUGCUUCGAGAAAGAAAACGGUGAAGAGAAUGCAGCAGCUUUUUGUUUCUCAUACAAUUUUAGCAUACCAAGGAAAUGAUUUAAUGCAAUUCCCAAUUUGUCCAAAGCCAGAAAUGAGAGAAUAUGAGGCAAAGGAAAGGGAAAGGCACCCAACAGACACCCUCAGACACAAAACGUAUAAAGGUAACGUGAAACUGGCUGCUCAAAUAUGCAAAAAUCGAAACCAGAAAUUCCAACCCAUUUCCAAACCAACAAAAAUCAUGUUAUCUAAGCCUUUCAUUGCUAAAACCCAUCAUCAAACCACCACCUAAUCUUCUUCCAAGCAAACCAGGUGACGAAACCCACCAGGUUGUCAUGGUUGCGGAAAAAAAAAACAGCAAAACAUAAGAAUGAAGGCAGCUUUCUUUCACUUCCUGGGUUUCUUUCUUUUCCAGAUUUGCAAGUAAGAGAGAAACAGAAUACUUCCUUUUGCGUACUCCAAACAUCAAACUUUAUUCCAAUGAUCAAAACAAAGCAAAUCAAACAUCCAAACAUGCUAAAAUAUUAGAAUAGGAACCUGCAAUUCUCCUGGUGCAAAACCCAUGACAUGAAAGAUGGAAAAAACAUUCGCAUGGUUGAUUGAAAACAACUUCAGAUCAAAUUCACUUGCAGGUUUUUACUCGGAAAAUUCACAAUAUAAAACCAUAGUUCCAGUUCCUUCCCCCCCCGACAGAUUCACAAACAAGACAUCGAUGGCGGAAGGCAAACAGAAGCAGGCAUCGCAGCAAAGUUUCAACAUUUCUAACGUGAUUCUUGUAAUCUAUGUACAGAAAAAAAAAAAGAAAGGCAUUACCUUUAACCUUCUAAAAGGCAGAUGGAAGCGUGAGACGAUCGGAAGAACCAGUUCCUGCCCAGCCAACGCCGACGUUCACCUUUCUUAUCCCGCUACUAUCCUAUGUUUUGCUUGGCCUUUCUGCAACUUUCUCCCUCUCUUUUCCACUCAAUCUCUAGUUUUUCUUUUUCCUCUAAUGUUUUCUAUCUCUCCGAUCCUCUCCCUCUAAACCUCGCCGUCCUCCUCGAUUCUACUCUCAGCCGUCGACUAGUUUUCUAGUCCUUGCUCUCUCUCACAAAACCCUCGCUUUUUCCCUCUCAGCCGCCAACCUAGAUCCUCUCUUUUUCAGAUUUUUAGCCGUCAUUCCGGUGCUCCCCCCCUUACACCUAACCCCCAGUUUCUUUUUAUACCCCACGACCAACUUAAACGCUCAUCUCAAUGGUUUCUAAACCAUCCCAGCUCAACGCCUCUCCCUGGCCAUCCGAUAGCUAUUGUGUCCGGAAGGCUUUUGAUAAAAUCCGAGGGGAUGAGGUGGCCGAAUGUUUGGAAGAGAGGAAAGCUAAAUCAUCCGUGGAAAAUGAUAUCUUUCAUACAUCCGCUGCGUUGCAUGGCUUUUCCUUUUUUUUUUAAAAAAAACAUUGAAUUUAAAUCAAAACAACUAAAGCAUAAUUUCUGAAUGCUUUUGUUUCUUUUUUUCUUUUUUUUCGAGAAAUUCUAUGCUAAAAACUUAAAAAUAAAAAUAAAAAUAAAUAAAUUAAAAAACAAAAAAAAAAACUAAAAACUAAAAAGUGAAUAAAACUAACACGACAAAUAAAAACUAAAUAAUAAAUAGUAAAUGAAAUUACACUAAAAUUUUGGUAUCUACAACGACAAAAGUCGUCACAAAACGUGGUUGUUUAGUGACGACAAGGAAAGUUGUCAUAAUUGCUCAAAGCAACUAAGUCUUCAGUGACGACCUUGAAAAAGUUGUCACUAAAAUGAUCUAUAUAGUGACAACUUCUAAUAUCGUCACUAUCACUCUACCGAUUCAGAUUUAGUGACAAGAAUUAAUCGUCACUGUUUAAAGUACUUAUUUCUAAGUCACUUUCAUUAAUUCUACUGUGCCACCCUAACUUUUGCGAUUUAUCCCCAAAUGUUGUAAAAAAUUCCAUUAUGAUACCUUAACUUUUACAAUUUAGCCCCAUAUGUAGUACACCGAUUUCUUUAAUUCUAUUAUUACUCCCUAACUUUUGUAAUUUAGCCCCAUAUGUAAUUCACUAAUUUCAUUAAUUCUACUAUGGCACUCUAACUUUUGCAAUUUAACACCCAUGUGUAAUACACCAAUUUUAUUAUUUCUAUUAUGGCACCCUAGCUUUUACAAUUUAGCCCCUAUUUUUUUAUUAGGAAAUUGCGAAUGGUAUCUUGAUAAACUAUGCAUAAAUAUUUUAUAAUUUUCUCAAACUUAAGUAAUAAUUUGUUAUAAACUCUAAAGAUAUAUCUUUCAUUACAAUAGUUAUAAGGAGGCAGGUCUUUUUAUCAAUGGAAUAAGAAAUUUAUGCCAGAUUUAUCCUUUGUACUAUAUGCCAAGUAGUAUUAGCAAAGGAAUAACAAAGUACUACAAAGUAAUUAACAAAAUAGCCUUCAGGGAGUGUAGUUUAUGGGCAAAUGAGCAUUAUCUAUUCAAAGUACCAACUUUUUAUGGGCAUUUUACUCUCAAACAUAUAAUUUAUGAUAAAUUUAUAAAUGUUUGUAAGUAAAAUUCAAAAAGUGUUACACUGAUUUCUUACAAAACGAAAACUGGUAGGUUAUCUUUUCAAUGUAAUUUAUACACAUUAAAAUAUCUGUAAUUUAUACACAUUUUGCAACUACUACUUUGUGUUUUCUCUGUAAUGAAUUUUUUAACUAUUGAGAACUUAAGUUUUGUCUUGCAAAUCUAUACUAGUACAAUAGUUUUAAACAAAAUUAAACAUUAAAAUAAAUGUUUGAAAAAGAACAAAAGUACAUUUAUCACUUGCAGUAAUGUACGUAACAAAAUUUUCUCAACCAUUAUCAAUAUUUUCACAAAAGUAUUAAAAACUAGCAAUUGACAAUAUUAAAAACUAGCAAUUUAAUUAGUGAUGACUUUUCUUGUCAUUAUAAUCUUGAAUAAAUUAGUGAUAACAUUAUGUUAUCACUAAAUUUUCUUUGAUUUUGACUUAACAAUAAUGUCUUAUUAAUAGCAUUUGAUUAUUUUUAAUGAAAGUCUGUUAUAACCAUAGAAUUUGACUUUCGUUAUUUUCAAUUAAUGAUGUACUUUAGUGCUGCAAUUAUAAAAAAUUGCAGGGCUAAAAUAUUUGCAAAUUAUAAAAGUAUAUUUUCACUUAUAUGUAAUUAACAAAUUUUGCCACCUAUAUUGAUGAAAAUUUGUGCUUUUGUACUAAAAAAUAAAGAAUAAUACUAUAGCAAUAAAAUCUAUGCUUCAAACCAAAUUAAAAAUAAAAAAAACAUGAUGAUUGGUCUCAAAUGUUGGGAAAAUGAUUAUUUUUAUUGAAACUAUGUUAUAACGAUAUAAUUUGAGUUUAAUUAUUUUGAAUUACAUGAUGUUCUUUAGUGCUGCAAUUAUAAGAAAUUAGUAUAAAAUAUUAGCAAAUUAUAAAAGUACAUUUUCAAUUAUAUGAAAUUAACAAAUUUUGCCACCUAUGUUGAUGAAAAUUUUUAUUUUUUGCUAAAAAAUAAAGAAUAAUACUAUAGCAUUAAAAUCUAUGGUUCAAACCAUAUUACAAAUCCAGAAAAAAACAUGAUUUUUGGUAUCAAAUGGGGGGAAAAUGAGUGAAGUCAAAAUUUUGAUCAAAUCAUAGUGAAAGUGCCGCGCAACAAAAACAAUAUCCAAAGCAAAGCAAAGACCAAAGCAGCGGAACACAUUCUGAAAACAAAAGCAACGGAACACUUGGUCUGAGUUAAAGCAACGGAACACUUGAGCAACACAAACUUUCACCGAGCUGAAACAAACAAGCUUCUGCACUGAGCACAAAACAGAGCUUCCUAUACAUUUUCCCCAAUUUUUCCAAAUCCCUAAUAUUCUACUACAUUUUCCCCAAUUUUUCCAAAUCCCUACUACAUUUUCUUUUCAUUGUUUUGUCAUCAUCAAAAAGGGGGAGAUUGUUGAUCUUGAUCCCUAUCUUUUGAUGUUUACAAAACAAAUGGAUGUUACUAAUGUCUCUUAAAAGAUCUAUUCAGUUAUGAAGCAAAUUAGUUCCAAAGAUCAAGUACAAUUGAAAGAUGACAAAGUAUGCUGAAACUGUCGGACGCUCAAGAAGUCAGGAUCGGACGUCCGAUAAUCAUUGCGCAACUUCGGAUGCUUGCUUCGGACGUCCGAUAGGAUCCUUCGAAGUCGACGAAACUAUCAGACGCUGAAUAUGUCUCUACCGGACGUCCGAUAGAAACAAGAUAAUUUCUCAAAUCUGUUUGUUUGCUGUCGGACGCACAAAGAGCUUUCACCGGACGUCCGAAAGAAUUGAAGAAAAUCUUUGAAACUCACUGCCUGCUGUCGGACGCAUAAAACAGGGCUAUCGGACGUCCGACACUCCAACGGCUAGUUCACUCUUCAGCUACUUUCUAUCCGUUGGAAGCUUUAAUAAGGCUCUUUCUUGGUCUUAUAUAAAUAGUGAUUGGUCAGAUACUUCAAACAACUUUUGCACACUGAAGAUACAAAAGAUCUAGAGUGAUUUUAGUGAGAAAAUACUCAUCAAAGAAGAUUUGUAGUCUUAGUGGUGUGAGGUUCAUUGUAAGCUUUUCAUUUGUGAGUGAAUCUUUCAUGAGUGUAGCUCUGUGAGGGUUGUCCUGAGGGAUAGUAAAACGUCCUGGCUUGACCGAGUGGUGUUCGGGGUAAGGAGGAGGUGAACCUUCCUUUGUACGCAAGAGUGAUUGUAAUUCAUCAAUUUGAAGAAGCUUAUUUGAAUUAAUCUACAAGUUCAAGAGGAGCUGUGUAGUUAAUUGGUUUGCAAUUCUUUCCCUUUUAUUUACUUAUUGUUAUAUUACGAUCUUUUAAUUGCUUAUUGAUUGGCUUUUCGAUUGGUUGUCUUCGAUCCUUACAUUAACUAUCCACAUGCAUUUCAUACCAUUUCUCAUAUUCUUCCUCACAUAACAAUUACUUUUCAUAUGAUCAAUUUGACAACAAAAGCUGCACAUAGUCAGUGAGUUACUUGCAUGGACAGGUUUAACAAAUCUGAUUUGCCUUCUCUUAUAAAUGGUAAACUCAUUUGCACUAGAAUUCAAUAUUUUCCCAUGAAUGCCAAAAUGAGGCUUUGCGUCAUUCCUUUGAAAGAAGAUUUGUUUCUUAUGCUGAAGCAACUGAUCAAGAUCUUCCAUUCUUUUUUGCAAGCUUCCUUGUUCAUUUUUUAGCAUGUCACAGAAGUUCAUUUGCACUAGAAUUCAAUAUUUUCCCAUGAAUGCCAAAAUGAGGCUUUGCGUCAUUCCUUUGAAAGAAGAUUUGUUUCUUAUGCUGAAGCAACUGAUCAAGAUCUUCCAUUCUUUUUUGCAAGCUUCCUUGUUCAUUUUUUAGCAUGUCACAGAAGUUUAUUUUUCUGUUAAAUUCAGCACAUAACUCAUUUUUAGUCCUAUUCAAGUUUUUCAUUUUCAUUUUUCAGUUUCUUGUUUUGUUGAAACAAGUUUGCAUUGUCUUGAAUCAGAAAGUUGAUCUUUUGCUUUACCUCCUUGUUUCUAACAUAGGAUUCUUUCAAGUUAUUGUGCAUUCUUUCCAUAAAAGAAUUAACAUCAUCAUCAGAUUCAUCAUCACUACCAGUUUGAGAGUUACAGGUUGUUACCUCUUCAUCACCAAUGGCCAUGAAAGCCAUUUGGGCAGAUUCCUCUUCCUUUUCGACUUCACCUUCUAAGUUGCAGUCAUUCCAAGUAAUCUGGAGUUGUUAACCUUUGGUUUUCGUUCAAAUUUUCCUUCUUUCUUUUUCUUCAUUGGACACUCAUUCGCAUAGUAUCCAGGUUGGCCACACUCGAAACAUUUGUCAGUUUGCUUCUUGUUGAACUCUUGCUUCCCUUUGUUUCGUGAGUUGUUGAACUGAUUUGGGAAUGAAUUGCUAGGUCCUCCUUUUCUGAAUCUCCUUUUGUUGAGAAUCCUCUUGAAACUUCUUGUGAUGAGUGCAAUAUCACUAUCAUCAAUAUCACUGUCAUCAACUUCCUUAUCGUCUCCAUCCAAGGAUACUGAGUCAUCUUCCUCUUGCGAGACUUUUAGAGCAAUGCUCUUUCUCAGCUUUGCAUCUUUUUCCUCCUGUACCUCGGACUUGAAUUUCAGUUCAUAAGAGGUUAGAGAAUUUAUGAGAGAUUCAAUAGGCAUGGUAUUUAGAUCCCUAAGUUCUUUAAUGGUAGUCACCUUACUUUCCCAAUUCUGGAUAAGGCGUUCAGAAUUUUUCUGUUUUUCUCACCUAGAGAGUAUUCCUUUUCCAGCACUUCUAAGUCCUUAAUGAGGUCAUUGAAUCUGUAAUACAUCUUAUCAACAUUUUCAUGAGGUUCCAUAUUAAAGGAUUCAUACCUAGUGACCAGAAUAGAUUUCUUUUGUUCUCUCACAUUCUCACUCCCUUCAUGGAUUUCGCUAAAUUUAUUCCAAAUCUCUUUUGCAGAUCUACAGCCUUUGACUCUAAUAGACUCAUUUGAAUCUAGAGCACUGUAUAAAACAUUCAUGGUCUUGGCAUUCAAGGUGAGAUGGGUUCUAUCAUCACCAGUCAGCUCACUCCUCGUUUUCGAUCUCGGUCUGUUGGAAACUUCAUCAAUAGUAGAGGCAUCAUAUGGGCCUUCAUUGACAAUAAAUCAUAGCUCAAUGUCAAUAGAUUGUAAGAAAAUAAUCAUCAUUUCCUUCCAACUCACAUAAUUUGAUCCAUUGAACAUUGGGGGUCUACUGAUGGAUUGUCCUUCAAAGAAUAUGGCAUUGUUGGUUGUCAUUUUUACUUCAAAGCCGAUUGAGUUUAAUCUCUAGGAGACCAAGCUCUGAUACCAAUUGUAAGGAUCGAAAACAACCUAAGAGGGGGGUGAAUUAGGUGAUUUAAAAAACUUGCCAAGAUAUGAAUCACUUUUUGAGAACUUGUCCUCUUUUUCCAAACGACCACACAAUCGAGCAAUAGAAGAGAAAAAAUACAAGUGCUUGUGAUUAGAAGAGAUGAACAGAUUAUAUAUCAAAACAGUAAGUAAAAGAAGAUAGAAUAUCGAACCAAAAGUCAAACUCCUCUUGAGUUUGGAUAUCACUUUAUAGAGCAACCUUCUUCAAGUUAUCAACUUACAACCAAUCUUUUGUGGACAAGAGAAGGAUCACUUCCUCCUUGCCCCAAGCCACACUUGGUCAAGCAAGGAAGUUUUACAAUCACUCGGAUAACCCUCACAAGGCUACACUUUGAAGAAGUUGACUCACACUCGAAAAGCUUAAUGAAAUUUUCACAACUAAGAGUACAAAUUUUCUUUUUGAAAAGUAUUCACACGCUUGAAUCACUCUUGAUUGAUGUAGUCUUAAUGUGCAAAAGCUCCUUUCAAGUGGUUGACUUUGUUCUAUUUAUAUGGGACCAAAAAGUUCCUCAAUUAAUGCUUCCAACGGAUAGAAGGCAACUGAAAAGUCAACUAGCCGUUGGUAGUGUCGGACGUCCGGUAGAUCAACUUCUUGCGUCCAAACGUAGGCAGUGAGUUCAAGAAAUAUUCUUGAAUUAUAUCGGACAUUCGGUACCUUCAAUGUAUGCGUCCGAAGGUAGGAGGUGAAACUGGGAGUUCUUCUUCAAUUCUUUUCAGAUGUCCGGUCCCUCCAAGGCUUUGCGUCCGAAGUGUCGUAACACUUGUCGGACGUCUGGUGCUUUGAGGAUGUGCGUCCGAUCGAGGUCAGUGAGUUUAGAGGGAAUGACUCAAUAUCUUCGGACGUCCGAGGGUGAAGCUCUUCAUUCGUUCGAAGUUGUACAAAGGUUGUCGGACGUCCGAUCCAGUCUUCUUGCGCGUCUGACAGCAGGUUCAGCAUCCUUUGUGCUUUAAUCUUUGAACCUGUUUUGCUCCAUUUCUGAAAGAGUCUCUUUGAGAGAACAUUAGCAAUCGUCCAUUUGUUUUGUAAUCAUCAAAAGCAACGGACUGAGAUAAACACUAAUGAAAUACCCAACUGCAUAAGAUUGUCAGCUGACUUCGUUUUUGGUAAGUGACUCUUCUUCAAAAUUCUGGAGAAGGAACUUUAGGAAUAACACAUACCGCCUUGACAAUCUCUUUCCCAAGCCCCUCAAAUAGAUCCUCCAAGAUAGCAAAAGGAUUUUUAGUGAUCAUAUUGCCAUCAUCUUCCAUCUCUGGAUCAGUGAAAGUUCCUUCAUGAAUAAUGGAUUCUCAACCAAAGUUGUACCCAUCAUUGGUUGGACCUCCAAACCCAAUGAAGUGAUCUUCAGGCUUCUAAAAUCCUCAGCUAAAUGGGCUAACGAAGUCCCUACCAUUAGCGACUGGGUGCUUUGUACCUUUGAGCAUCCUUCACCCAAAUAUACCACUCAACUAGGAUUGUUUGCUACAACAGCACCAGUGACACCAAUAGGUAGUGUUGUGGAAGGGGUUGAUUGAAAAGUUUUAUCCGUAUCUUGUAAAAUUUUAGAAGGUAAAUCUAUCCUAUUGCUGAUAGGAAUCCCAGGCUCCAAAUUGUCAGAUUAAUCGACUUUGAUGUUGGUAAUGGAUCAAGAGCUGUUUCCAUCUCCAAUACCUUCUUCUUCACCUUUUCCAAUUGGGAUUUAGGAAUAAUGUGAGAACCCAGAGAGAAAAAAAAAAUUUUAUUAUUAUUUAUUUAUUAUUUUAUUCCUGUGCACCCGUUUCUUUUAUUUUCUUUAUUUUAUUACUUUUCUCAACAUUUUAUCAGUAAAUAUAGUUUUUAAAUCAUUUUUCUAGUAUAAGGUAGUUCGUGUGAAUUUUGGAACGUCUUUUGGUCGUGGGACCCGCUAGUGCAUUAGGUGAGAGAAAUUUGACCAAUUAGGUUAAAUUUUGCGUAAAGGGAUGUUGUUACUAGGUAUUAGGAGAUAAUUGGAGGUUGCCUAGAUGGAUUAGCCAUGAGGGACAAGAAGAUAACUCUAGCAAGACAAAGUGCCAAGUGUCCAAUUUUGGUUGGACCAAGCUUGCCUAACUUUUGACUAAACUUUCUUUACUUUCCUUAAAGUCCAAAUUUGACUCAAUCAUCUUCAUUCUUCACCACCUCUUGGCCGAACCUCUAGCAAGCAAAGGAGAAAAAAUUCUUCAACCUUUCAUCUACAAAUCCUUGCCAAAUCUUGAAAACUAACCGAUUAAUUUCCAAAUUAGUCCAUAAAAUCAUCUUCCUAAGAGUGUUUGAAGAACUUAGUGGUGUUGGUUUGGAAGAAAACCUCACAAGCUACAACCUUUCUUGAAGAACUAAGGUAUCUUUCUUGGAACUCAUCUUUUGAUUUUAAUUUUGGCCAAUUGGUGCCUUAUAGUAGCUAUUUACGCGAUUUUACGGAAGAUUUGGUGGAUUGGAGUGAAGUUUCCUAAUUUUCUGAUUUUUUCUGGAAUUUUUCUGUUUUCCUAUGAUGGAUAUGAUUGAGCUUGAAUUGGUGGUUCUAAAUGGUAUUAAAUAGCUCUCUUGUGCGUUAAUUGUGGUUAAUUGCGGAAAAUUUCCGCUUGUGCGGAAAAUUUCAGAUUUAGGGUUUCAAUUUGGGGGUUUUCUAUAGUUGAUUGUUGAACUUCUAAUUGGCUAUAAUUGAAGCGUAUUGUGACCCUAAUGAAGUAUAUUGAAUGGCUUAUGACUUGUUUGGGUGCUUGUGGUUGUGUUGGAUAGUUUUUUGGUUGUCUUGCAGGUUGGAAAAGCUGAAAUUUUAGGGGAAAUGCUGUCUGAGUGUCUAGGGUAUUAGAUUCUUGUGAGUUGGGUUGAGAUUGACUAGAAAUGAACGAUUUUUGGGUUUGUUUCUACUUUUAACCCUAAAUGUUAUGUAUUUUUCAUUUCCAAGUUAUAUUUGGGUCUUGCCUUAAUAGUUCCUAGAAAAAGGUAUUCGACUUGUGUUUGCGUUUUCAUUGUACUUUCUUGAUUGUUAUAGGGCGUGCCGGUGAUCCGAGGCUCACGUCGGGCGAAAACUUGUGAAAUUUCUUUGUUGAAUUUAGUGAGUGUACUACUCACAUGUUUGUUAUUCCGUGGCUUUCUUGUACUUGAAUUCUGUGAUUUGGACUAGUUGUGAUGCUUGUUUGAGCUAGGUGAGACGAGGGUGUACUUUACCACUCUCGUACUCUCUGGCCUUCUGUAACGACCCACCUCCCCCUAAGGCGAACCAGAGGGUUCGGCGGGUCGCCUGCCCAGCUCUCGCCGGGACUCAGUCGUUCACUACAAUCCUCAAUUGAAUUUCAAGGUAUAAAUAUCAAAUAUACAUCAAAGGUUCCCAAGCUUUACAUAUCAAAAGUGAAGCGUCCACGCUUCCGCAGCGCCACUCUGAUCCUUGAUCACAAUUAGUAUACAGGAGGAAGUCCAAAACUAGUCUAUUACACAUCCAAUCAAUUCUAAACGUUCUAAACGUUCAAUACAAUCCCCAAUAUGACUGAUUAUACAAAAGGAAAUCCAAGUUCAAUCCAUACAUGAGAUAAUCCAUGAAUAAACACUACAAGCCCUUCAUUCGCCUUGAGCCCUGUGGAGGGGAAUAAAACAUUUUUGGGGUGAGCUAGAAGCUCAGCGAGUAACCAGUAAAAUCAGUAAUCAAAUCUGUUUAACAAUGGUUCAUUUCAGUGAUGUCGUAAAUCAAAGGAUAAGUCUAGAAACAAUAACAACGUUUACAAAACAUUAAAUAUGGGGUAUCAAUAAUUCAAGAAACAUGUACAAUGGAAAGCGAUAGUAACAUUCGUGCAAAGGAUACAUUCGUUCUCCUGUCAUUUCAUUGCAUUUUUGGUUUCAUUCGUGCAUUCAUUCACCCCGUCCCUGGCUUUUGGCCAGGCUCCACCAACUACAAGGUAAUACUCGAGUAUACCGAAACGUUCACCCAAGUUCCUAGUCGCUCGACCGAGUCCCGCUUCUGGCUCGAGACGACCGGUAACAAGGGGCAAUGGUCAGUUCAGCCCAAAAGGCUUACAUUCAUGCGCAAGUAAGCAUUUAAUCACUAAUCAUUGAAAAUUUCAUAUUUAUUAAGGUCGAGUGCGAUAAAGUACACACUCGCCUAGAAAACUCGUUUUAACAAUCAUUGAAAGCAAAAUCAAUAAUAACAAGACACUAAUAUGCAAGCAUGCAUGAUUGUAAGAAAACAGUUCCAAAAGUAACUUUGAAAACAGUUCAAAAGUAGAUAAUGCAGGAAGCGGUUCAAAAAUAAAUUUGGAAACAGUUUGAGGUCAACUCACCUCAAUGGGCUCAGAAAUCAUCCAUCAUAUAACAUUGCCUUGCUCAAAUCAAGUCUUAGAUCACAAACUCAAUGCAACAAAUCCCUUCAAAGUUCGGACAGCACUUCCCUGAAUUUGCUAACUUUUCCAGCCAUCAUGGCUUCAUUAUUUCCUCAUUCCAACCCAAAGGUACACACAACAACAAGUUCAUCCAAUAGCCAUUCAGCAAGCUCCAAGUAGUACAAGUACAAGUAAGCUAGGGAAAAGUCCGGAAAUGAAAGUUAAGCUCAAAACCAGAAAAAACAGUUUUGACGUCAUUUUACGGUAAUGGUACAAAUUGCACUACGAUUAUGGAUUAGGGUAUAAGACCCACCAUCUCGAAGCUAAAAGACAGGGCUACAACAAUGUAGAAGGCCACUCAGUCCAAAUCCUAGCACAACUAGGUCAAAAAUGCAGAAUACCAAACCGGAACCGUAAUUGCAGGUUUACAAAUCACACUAUGUUGUAAUUAGUCCAACUCAGUCUAUACAGGUUCAAAUGAUUGAUUCCAAGGCAUACGGUAGCUAAGACAUCAAGCUACAUUUAUCAGAAGACACCAACAUCGAAAUCAAAGAAAUUCCAGUCAAACAACCCAUUUCAGACGCAGUUCAACAUCCUGAUGAACCCAGAACAGCAAUAGUAAUUCGGCUUAUCUCAUUCUACACUACUCCAAUUGACCUGAAAUUUUACAGACACCUUUAAAACAUUAAUACCGACAACUUUCAUGUUUUGAGCUAAGGCCAAUUCGGCCUAUAUCUAGGACCUAAAAUUUCGGACAGAAUGAAAGAACCAAGAACCUAAUUUUCCAGAAUUUCUUCCAAAACAGAAAUUGAUUGCAAUUGUCCACUUUUUCCACCUUCUAGCUUCCUCAACUAUCAUUUCCAAUCAUCAAAAAUAACCAAAAUCAUGAUCACAUUAAACCAGAUAAUUCAUCAAUAAAUUGAAAACUUCACACAAUUCAUCUCAAACCAAGAAUAAAUCAAUUUCAACACUUUAGCCACCACUAGGCACAAAAUUAAACAUCAUUAAGUGUAGGAGGAUAUUCAAUCACCACUUACCAAGUAAACAAGAGAGGGGAGUAGUAGAACACCUUAGCUUCCUUAAAAACUUCACAAACAACUUACUAGCACCUAAUGGAGGGAUUUUAUGGAGUAGAAACUAGUUUAGGCAAUUGGUUUUGGAAGAUUGAGCUAAAUGGAAGCUAAAAUGGUGAAGAAUUUUUCUUUUGCUCAAGAGGGAGCCGGCCAUGGAGGAGAAGAAAAGAGUGAAUUUUAUUGAUUUUUUUUUGAGAUAUUUAACUCAAUGGAAAAAAAAUUCAAAAAGGUGAAUAGUGUCCAACAAAGUCCAACCAAUGAUAUAGUGACACUUGCACUUCAUAAAUGAUUUAUAUCCUUUUGUUUCUCUACAUCAAUCACAUCUCAUCCUCAUAUAUCUCUUAACACCGAUAAGUUUCACCCAGUAUCCGGAACUUAACCUAAUUGGUCAAAUUUUUCCGAACUUUUCGCACUCGUGGGUCCACGUUCAAAAAUACGUUUUUAAUUACUCAAAAACUAACCGAUACUAGAAAAAUCAUUUUAAAACUAUCUUUGCUCAUAAACUUUAUCUGGGGAAUUUCUAAUCAAGAAAUGUAGAAAAGGCGAGCGUUUAAAAAAAUAAACCCUAGAAAAUUAGAAAAAUUUCCGGGUUCUCAAACUCAUUUUUUUCCGGGGCGUCACACUUCUGACUGGUUAUUCUAUUAAGUUACUUGACUGUUUAUGAUAUUACUUGAAUACUCUUGACUGUACUUGAUUUGGUGUCAAUUGGAUAAAUCGUUACUGUUCACUCUGAGCUUUACCUCAUUGGAAGUCAAUGGACUCGAGCCAGUAAGGACUUGGUCGGGGACAUUUGACAAGCCAUGGGACUGUAUUUGGGAAUCUUUGGUAUGAGACCCUUGAUUCUGGUUUACUCGAGUAAUACCAACUCUGUACUGUUUGGUGUUCGGGCCCGGUAAGGGGAAAGUGAGGUGGACGGAUAAUUGGAGUAAAGAGGAGUCUACGGUCAUGAUUACCUGGUAUAUUGACGGAGAGUCAAUGAGAUGAGAUCAAGCAUGGCAAAAGAGGAAAAGGGCUCUUGAGAGCCAUCCGUAUCCUUUUAUUCCUUAUACUUGGGUGUUGUUGCUUUUGCUUACUGGACGUAUGUAUUUGGAUUGAAUAUUCUUGUGUUUAUGUGAUCCUGGUCUAUUUACGUGACGGUACCUCAUUGGGCGAAAGCUCACUCCGUGAUUCCUUACAGGGAUUUACCUUUUGGACUUUUGAGUUUGAAGAUGAGUUGAGUAGAGCUAGUUGAGAGAUUUUGUAUAGCUCUCAAUAGUUGGAAACUUUAUUUGUACUUGGAUUUAAAUGUUUCCUUUUGGCUUGUAAACCACGAAUGUGGUUUGUAACAAUGUGUGUGUACUCUGUUCAAUGUAUUAUAUUUGGCUUGUAUAUAUACCUUUCGGGGAUUGUUGAAGUUACCUGUAUUUAGUUGGGCCUUGGUGGAUUGUGACGUGGCAAUGCACUAUUUGCUUUACGUUUUGGAUUUCCAAUUUUCCGUUUCUCGUUUGUUGGUUUGGUUAAGCGCGUAAUAGUUUCCCGAACGACUUGUGUUAGUGUUUGACUGUUUUAGUAGUCCUGGCGAGAGCUGGGCAGGCAGUCCGCUAACCCCUUUGGUACGCCUUAGGGGAAGGUGGGGCUGUCACAGUGGUAUCAGAGCCUAGGUUAGCAAUAACCUGGGCGAACCUGAACCUGAUUCUUAGAACUUUUGGGGAUUUGUUUAGACGCCAUUAAGUGUGAAUAUAUUGUCUAAGCUAUAAACCUUUGCUAUUUGUAGGUUAUGGCCGGUACUAGUGGAGCAGGCGGAGACGAGCCACCUCAGAGGCACCACGGGUUAUCGACUACCAGGAGAGACCAGGAGGUCCGAUCCGGCUGUGGUAUACCGCUAGCCGGACCCGCCGCUGUAGGCGUUGCCAGUUUUAUUCUUACGCGGACCACGUGGUUGUGGCAGUGCUUGCUGAGCGACGGAGGCUUAGAUGUGCCGCCGCUAGGGAGCGCACUGAGACCCUUAGGCUUAGGGGCAUCACGCGGAUGCAGGCCGAUAGGAUUGGGGAGCUCCAGGGGACGUGGCCAUGGAGCAGGAGAGGACGAACGCUCUGAGAGAGCAGUUGCAGGUGGUUAACGACCGCCUUAGUAGUCCGGGAGGUGAGAGACCGGUCCGGCGCUAUUAUCGAUGAGUGUGGGGGCUGAUCCAGGGGUGAUUGGCGCUAAUGCGCCAGGGGGAGUUCCAGGUGGCGGAGCUCCAGGUCAGGGAGGCGCCCCUAGCUCUAGCUCUGGGGGGGAGUCGGUUGGCUCCGUCGAGGACUAGAUUAGGGUUUUUGAGCCUUGUUUUGAUCCCGUGUGAGGGAUACCUAGGAAAGCUUUUGGUUAUUGCUUUUGUGCUUUUGGGACCUAGGUUGUACAGUGUAUUUUGACGACCCUCUUUUGGCUUCACGGGAGUACUUUUGUAUAUAUUUGCUUGACUGCUAUGUAUGACUGUUUGACAUAGUUAUGUGUUCUAUGUAAAUGCUCUAUGUGUAUAUAUCGUAUGUGGUGUAUUUUUUUCUUCGUUCAGGCUUGUAUGACUAUAUUUGUCUGCCUUUUAAUAUUAUUUGUGCCUCGAUUAGAGUGACUAGAGAAUGGAAGGCACUCGUAGUGGACGAGGCCGGGCCGCGUUAGGCAACCACAACUGAUGAGGGUACUAGGGAUACCACGACUGAACCAAAUCCUGAACCUAGGGUUGACCCUAAUGCCCAAAUAGCGCUGCUAUGCAGCAAAUGACGACCUGUUAGCCCACGUAGUGCAACAGCAGGGCCAACCUCCUAUCCAGCAACCUGGGAACCCUGGCCAUGUAGUAGAGAGUGAAGAUCGGGCCCUAGAGAGAUUUCAGAAGUUCUCUCCGCCAAAAUUUCUGGCGGGCCAGAUCCGGACGUGGCCGAAAAUGGUUAGAGAAAAUGAUAGAUAUUUUUGCCGCCCUACACUAUUCAGAAGAGAGACAGGUUACUUUCGCUGUAUUCCAACUGGAAGGGGCGCGCGUUCUUGGUGGAACGUGAUACGAAUGAAGUGGGACCGGGAACAAACCCCAAGAACAUGGGUAAACUUUGUGAGGGACUUCAAUGCGAAAUACUUUCCCCCUCUAGUCCAGGAAAAGAAGGAGGACGAGUUCAUUAGACUCCGUCAGGGGACUCAAUCGGUGGCUGAGUACGAGAGCCAGUUUACUCGUUUAUCUAAGUUUGCCCCUGAACUCAUUCUAACGGAGCAAAGGAGAGUUAGGCGUUUUAUUCAAGGGCUCAAUGUGGAAAUCCAAAAGGAUCUGGCGGUAGCCCAGAUCAAUAUCUUUAGUGACGCUGUGGAGAAAGCUUUGCGAGUUGAAAAUGCAGGCUCCAAGUAAGGAAUUUUCAGGUGAAAAAACGGGGGUUCUCUGCGAGUAGUUCGAACCAAGGGGAUAAAGGGACCCCUCCAAGUUUGGAAGAGGAGCCGGAGGAGGAAGGCAACGGGGAAUGACGCGAGAGACUCCGCCGAGGGGUGGUCACAAUGGACGGGGCCCGCAAGAAGCUUCACAAGGAAGUUGGCCUCAGUUGCACGUGGACCCUGUGGAUUUUGUGGGAAACCAAACCACACUGAGGACAAUUGUUGGAGGAAAGAAAGGAAAUGCUUGCGCUGCGGGAGUGCGGAGCAUCAAAUAGCUAACUGUCCGGUGUUACCUCGGAGGCUAGAGUAACCACCCAGUCGUCGAAGGCUAACUCGGGACAGUCCAAGGUAGAAGGGACAAAGCCAAAGGUGCCAGCUCGGGUUUACUCCCUUGAGCAACAACAAGUCCCUGAUUCCUCUGGGGUUGUAGAAGGUACGAUCCCUUUUUUCAUCGUCUAGCUAGGAUUUUGAUCGACCCUGGUGCUACAAUUCCUUUGUUAACCCCAAUUUUAUGUGCGGCAUUGAUAUAACCCCUGUUAGCUUGCCUUAUGACUUAGAAGUUAGUACUCUACGGGGGACCAACGUUUGAUUACUGGUUUGAUGUAUACAAAUUGCGAAAUUUGGGUAGGAGAGAGGAAGCUUUUGGGGAAUCUUAUAAGUUUAGCUAUUAAGGGGUACGACGUUAUAUUGGGUAUGGACUGGCUAGUUAAGUACGAUGCACAACUUGAUUGUAAGAGAAAAAUAGUGGAAUUUCGUAUACCGGGGGAGGCAACCCUAAGGCUCGAUAUAAGGGGUAGUUUAGCCUCAUCUGCAUUGAUUUCGGGUAUUCGGGCUAGGAAAUUUCUGUAUAAAGGGGCCCAAGGGUUCCUAGCUUUUCUUAUAAACACUCCUACUGAUAAGUUGAGGGUUGAAGAUGUGCCUGUAGUAAGUGAAUAUCCGGAUGUGUUUCCUGAUGAAUUAGUCACUUUACCUCCGGAGAGAGAAUAGAGUUUAAGAUCGACUUAUUGCCGGGGACGUCACCUAUCUCUAAGACCCCCUAUCGAAUGGCACCUGCUGAGCUCAAGGAGUUGAAAUUACAGUUGCAAGACCUGUUGGAGCGUGGGUUUAUUCAGAGAGUGGAUCUCCGUGGGGGGCUCCGGUACUAUUUGUUAAGAAGAAGGAUGGAACUUUAAGAUUGUGUAUCGAUUAUCGGGGAUUAAACAAUAUGACCAUUAAGAACAAAUACCCACUUCCCCAUAUCGAUGAACUGUUUGACCAGUUGCAAGGCGCGGUGGUCUUUUCAAAGUUAGAUCUCGACAGGGUUACUAUCAGUUGCUUAUUAAGAAAGAAGAUGUACCCAAGACUGCUUUCAAUUCUAGAUAUGGGCAUUUUGAGUUUGCGGUCAUGCCCUUUGGGUUGACCAAUGCCCCUGCCGCCUUUAUGGAUUUGAUGCAUCGGGUUUUCAAACCCUACCUGGACCGAUUUGUUGUCGUGUUUAUUGACGACAUUUGGUCUAUUCUAAAACCCGUGAGGAACAUGAGCAGCAUUUGAAGCUAGUGUUACAAACCCUGAGAGAUCAUCGGCUAUAUGCCAAAUUUAGUAAGUGUGAAUUUUGGUUGGAGAAAAUCUCUUCUUGGGACAUGUGAUUUCAAAAGAAGGUAUUACGGUGGAUCCCGCGAAAGUAGAGGCAGUGGCUGAAUGGAAGAGGCCAGAAAAUCCCACUGAGAUUCGCAGUUUCUUAGGGUUGGCUGGGUACUAUAGACGCUUUAUUAAAGACUUUUCCAAACUGGCCGGCCCUUUAACCGAUCUAACGAAGAAAAAUAGCCGUUUUGUGUGGGAUACUAGGUGUGAAACCAGUUUUCAGGAGUUGAAACGAAGGUUAACCAUGGCUCCUGUUUUGGCCUUGCCUAAUGGGAAGGACAGUUUUACCGUUUAUACCGAUGCUUCGAGGGAAGGCUUGGGGUGCGUAUUGAUGCAGAACAAGAACGUGAUUGCUUUGCCUCUAGGAAACUAAAAACCCAUGAACAAAACUACCCUACCCAUGACUUGGAGUUAGCUGCAGUGGUCUUUGCUCUGAAAAAGUGGAGACUAUCUUAUGGGGUUACCUUUGAGGUUUAUUCAGACCAUAAAGUCUUAAAUACCUUUUCUCCCAAAAAGAGUUGAAUAUGAGGCAACGCCGGUGGAUGGAACUCUUAGAAGAUUAUGACUGCACGAUCAACUACCAUCCCGGUAAGGCUAACGUAGUAGCGGACGCCUAAGUCGGAAGGCUCAAGUAGCAAGGUUGAUGGUCAAGGAGUGGGAAAUGUUAGGAGCAGCUAGUGAAUGGAACCCUAGUAUGGGAUGCAAGAAAAUAACUUUUGGAAAUAUUCGGGUAACAUCUGCUAUUCUUGAUCGAAUUAAAGAAGCCCAAGAGAAGGAUCCGAUGGUACAAAAGUGGAAGGAAAAGGUGGAAAAGGAAGCACUACCUGAUUUCAAUUUGGGUCCUGAAGGGAUUUUAAGAUAUAGGAACCGAGUAGUAGUAGCCAAUGAUGAAACCUGAAAAGAGAAAUUUUGGAGGAAGCCCAUCGAUCGAAAUACACAAUCCAUCCUGGUAGUAAUAAGAUGUACCAAGACUUGCGACGGUUGUACUGGUGGGAUAAGAUGAAGAGGGAAUUGCACAAUAUAUCCAAACCUGUCUGAUUUGCCAGCAAGUUAAGGCGGAACACCAAAAACCCUCUGGACUGUUACAACCCCUUGAGAUACCUGAAUGGAAAUGGGAAAAUAUCACGAUGGACUUUGUUUCUGGACUGCCAAGAACUCAAAAAGGACAUGAUGCCGUUUGGGUGAUCGUCGAUCGGUUGACCAAAUCGGCUCACUUCUUACCUGUGAAUGUGAAGGAUUCCAUGGAUAAGUUGGCCUCGGUUGUACCUGAAUGAAAUUGUGAGGUUGCAUGGGGUUCCCGUGAGUAUAGUUUCCGACCGAGAUCCUCGUUUUGUAUCGAGGUUUUGGCAAAAGUUUCAAGAGAACUUGGGACAAAAAUCAACCUUAGUACCACUUAUCACCCCAGACGGAUGGACAGUCGGAGCGAACAAUUCAAACCCUCGAGGAUAUGUUACGGACUUGUAUUCUGGAUUUUGGGGGUAAUUGGGGCCAACACAUGACUUUGGUAGAGUUCGCCUACAAUAAUAGUUACCAUUCGUCCAUUCAGAUGGCACCAUAUGAAGCUCUCUACGGAAGGAAGUGUCGUUCACCCAUUUACUGGGAUGAAGUAGGGGAAAAGAAGUCCUAGAUCCAACAACCAUUCCUUGGAUGGAGGAUGCACAAGAGAAGGUUAAAUUGAUCCGUCAAAGACUCCAAGCAGCUCAAAGCCGACAAAAGAGCUACGCAGAUAACCGAAGGAAAGAUUUAGAGUUCGAAGUUGGAGACCGUGUUUUCCUUAAAAUUACACCACUACGAAGCGUCACUGCGGGUAGAGGAAAGAAACUUCAACCACGGUUCUUGGGGCCUUACAAAAUCCUCCAACGAGUUGGGAAAGUAGCGUACCGACUUGAGUUGCCGCCAAGUUUAUCUCGGAUUCAUAACGUCUUCCAUGUUUCGAUGCUAAAAAAAUACUAUCCUGAUCCAACCCACGUUGUGCGACCAGAGGAGAUUGAGUUAGAUGAGGCACUCACUUACGAAGAAAGACCUGUACAAGUACUCGAUCGGAGGAUUAAGGAACUGAGGAAUAAGCAAAUUCCAUUAGUGAAGGUUAUGUGGAGAAAUCAUGGAAUAGAGGAGGCAACUUGGGAGUUGGAGGAAGAGAUGAAAAAGAAAUACCCUGAGCUAUUUAGUAACCCGGGUCAGCAAUUUCGAGGACGAAAUUCUUUAAGGGGGAGAGAGUGUGAGAAUCCAGAGAGAAAAAAAAAAUUUAUUAUUAUUUAUUUAUUAUUUUAUUCAUGUGCACGCGUUUCUUUUAUUUUUUUAUUAUAUUACUUUUCUCAACAUUUUAUCAGUAAAUAUAGUUUUUAAAUCAUUUUUCUAGUAUAAGGUAGUUCGUGUGAAUUUUGGAACGUCUUUUGGUCGUGGGACCCGCUAGUGCAUUAGGUGAGAGAAAUUUGACCAAUUAGGUUAAAUUUUGCGUAAAGGGAUGUUGUUACUAGGUAUUAGGAGAUAAUUGGAGGUUGCCUAGAUGGAUUAGCCAUGAGGGACAAGAAGAUAACUCUAGCAAGACAAAGUGCCAAGUGUCCAAUUUUGGUUGGACCAAGCUUGCCUAACUUUUGACUAAACUUUCUUUACUUUCCUUAAAGUCCAAAUUUGACUCAAUCAUCUUCAUUCUUCACCACCUCUUGGCCGAACCUCUAGCAAGCAAAGGAGAAAAAAUUCUUCAACCUUUCAUCUACAAAUCCUUGCCAAAUCUUGAAAACUAACCGAUUAAUUUCCAAAUUAGUCCAUAAAAUCAUCUUCCUAAGAGUGUUUGAAGAACUUAGUGGUGUUGGUUUGGAAGAAAACCUCACAAGCUACAACCUUUCUUGAAGAACUAAGGUAUCUUGCUUGGAACUCAUCUUUUGGUUUUAAUUUUGGCCAAUUGGUGCCUUAUAGUAGCUAUUUACGCGAUUUUACGGAAGAUUUGGUGGAUUGGAGUGAAGUUUCCUAAUUUUCUGAUUUUUUCUGGAAUUUUUCUGUUUUCCUAUGAUGGAUAUGAUUGAGCUUGAAUUGGUGGUUCUAAAUGGUAUUAAAUAGCUCUCUUGUGCGUUAAUUGUGGUUAAUUGCGGAAAAUUUCCGCUUGUGCGGAAAAUUUCAGAUUUAGGGUUUCAAUUUGGGGGUUUUCUAUAGUUGAUUGUUGAACUUCUAAUUGGCUAUAAUUGAAGGGUAUUGUGACCCUAAUGAAGUAUAUUGAAUGGCUUAUGACUUGUUUGGGUGCUUGUGGUUGUGUUGGAUAGUUUUUUGGUUGUCUUGCAGGUUGGAAAAGCUGAAAUUUUAGGGGAAAUGUUGUCUGAGUGUCUAGGGUAUUAGAUUCUUGUGAGUUGGGUUGAGAUUGACUAGAAAUGAACGAUUUUUGGGUUUGUUUCUACUUUUAACCCUAAAUGUUAUGUAUUUUUCAUUUCCAAGCUAUAUUUGGGUCUUGCCUUAAUAGUUCCUAGAAAAAGGUAUUCGACUUGUGUUUGCGUUUUCAUUGUACUUUCUUGAUUGUUAUAGGGCGUGCCGGUGAUCCGAGGCUCAUGUCGGGCGAAAACUUGUGAAAUUUCUUUGUUGAAUUUGGUGAGUGUACUACUCACAUGUUUGUUAUUCCGUGGCUUUCUUGUACUUGAAUUCUGUGAUUUGGACUAGUUGUGAUGCUUGUUUGAGCUAGGUGAGACGAGGGUGUACUUUACCACUCUCGUACUCUCUGGCCUUCUUGACUGGUUAUUCUAUUAAGCUUACUUGACUGUUUAUGAUAUUACUUGAAUACUCUUGACUGUACUUGAUUUGGUGUCAAUUGGAUACCAAUCGUUACUGUUCACUCUGAGCUUUACCUCAUUGGAAGUCAAUGGACUCGAGCCAGUAAGGACUUGGUCGGGGACAUUUGACAAGCCAUGGGACUGUAUUUGGGAAUCUUUGGGUAUGAGACCCUUGAUUCUGGUUUACUCGAGUAAUACCAACUCUGUACUGUUUGGUGUUCGGCCCGGUAAGGGGAAAGUGAGGUGGACGGAUAAUUGGAGUAAAGAGGAGUCUACGGUCAUGAUUACCUGGUAUACGUUGACGGAGAGUCAAUGAGAUGAGAUCAAGCAUGGCAAAAGAGGAAAAGGGCUCUUGAGAGCCAUCCGUAUCCUUUUAUUCCUUAUACUUGGGUGUUGUUGCUUUUGCUUACUGGACGUAUGUAUUUGGAUUGAAUAUUCUUGUGUUUAUGUGAUCCUGGUCUAUUUACGUGACGGUACCUCAUUGGGCGAAAGCUCACUCCGUGAUUCCCUUACAGGGAUUUACCUUUUGGACUUUUGAGUUUGAAGAUGAGUUGAGUAGAGCUAGUUGAGAGAUUUUGUAUAGCUCCUCAAUAGUUGGAAACUUUAUUUGUACUUGGAUUUUAAAUGUUUCCUUUUGGCUUGUAAACCCACGAAUGUGGUUUGUAAAAUGUGUGUGUACUCCUGUUCAAUGUAUUAUAUUUGGCUUGUAUAUAUACCUUUCAGGGAUUGUUGAAAGUUACCUGUAUUUAGUUGGGCCUUGGUGGAUUGUGACGUGGCAAUGCACUAUUUGCUUUACGUUUUGGAUUUCCAAUUUUUCCGUUUCUCGUUUGUUGGUUUGGUUAAGCGCGCUAAUAGUUUCCCGAACGACUUGCAUUAGUGUUUGACUGUUUUAGUAGUCCUGGCGAGAGCUGGGCAGGCAGUCCGCUAACCCCUUUGGUACGCCUUAGGGGAAGGUGGGGCUGUCACAAAUAAAAACCCAUCAUUCUUUCUGGAUAUUAGAGGGAGCAUCUUGGAACACCUUAGGAGGGUGCAGAGAAGGAUCUUUCCCAAAACAAUUAACUUCUUCGUGCCGCAAACUUCCUACAAAAGGAGCAAUAUAACGGGAAAUUCUCAAAUUCUACGUGUUGCCAAAAACAUAGUCUUCGUCUCCAAUCCAAACUCGCUUGAUCGGGAGUUGAGCAACAUCUAAUUCAAUAAAACUCUUUGCAACAAAUGGGUGAGGAAGGUCAUGUUUUAUUUUACCUAAAAAAUUGGGAAUCAUAUUUGUUUCGAUAAAAUAUUGAAGACCAAUUUGGAAUACAGACCAAACAUAGGAAUCCACAAUUGUAUUUGUCAUAUAAAUUUCAUCUUUUGACCAUCUUGAUAAGUAGAUUAAUAUACUUAUAAUUAAUUUGUGAACAUAUUUAUUGUAUUGCAUCUAAAGGUACAAUAGCUAGUAGAGAUUUAAAGAAUAUUUUAACUAAAAUUUAGUUUUCUUCAAUCAAAUGAGAUAAUAUCAUCAUUUGAUUAAACAACACCUACACUACUAAUAAACUAGAUUGUGUAUGAUUUUUUUUCAACUUAAUAAGAUCAUUAGGGUAGCAUACAUAGAAAGAAAAUUAAAAAAAAAUCUGUAUUUAUCUCUAUAUAAAGUGAACUCUAAUCCUUUUCACCUAUUGUCAUCUAUGAACUUAUAUUGAUUGGUGUAAAAGAAAAUCAAAUGUCCCAAUACAAUUAUUUAAAAACUUAAAUUGGCUCUAAUAAAUAAAACAAUUCUAUGGAUUUCACCUAAAGGUACUUAUUUACUUUAAUUCUCAAUAAUUGGAUGUAAUUUUUAUUUGCCAAUUUGACGACAUUAAGAUAAUACCUUGAAUGUUUGAUAACAUAGUUUUAGAACCAAUUCACUUUUGCAGUAGUGUUUUUAAAAGACUAGUUUCACUUUAUACAAUUGAACUUUAUACUCAAUCGCAUAUUGCACUGUCAAAUUCAUUUUAGACACUAUGCAUUCUAAAUUCUUUCAUACUUCCCAGUUUAGUUGCUUAUUUACUUUAUGCUAGCUAGUGCUUAUAAUGGUAGUUAUUGACUCUCUACUUUCUUUCAAGUGAGGACUUAGUAGAUCAAUCAUAUGAUCCAAGUUUAAGGCUUAAUUACUUUCCACAAAAAACUCAUUGUGAUAAUAUUUUGUAAGCUUUUUUUCGGUAGUGGAUCAACUAUUUGAGGUUGAGUACUUUGGCUUUCAACAUCGUAUUUAUCAAAUUUUUGAACUUUCUUGUUUCUAUUCUCACUUAUAUUUCUUUCAUCUUUCAAAUUAGCUUGUACUUCACUACAUGCCACUAGCUUUAGCUUGUCCUGAAGUAGUAGCUAGUUAUCAUGAUAGGCAAAAAAUAAUUAUCUAAACAAAUAUUUUAUGAUCCAAAAGUACAUACCUGUUUUCAUGAUAAUAAUGAAAAUUUUAUAUAGACCUAAAAUAUAGUGAACAAUUGAUGGUUGGCUUUAGAUAUCCAUCCUAUCCAUAUGCACUUAAUGUAAUGUAUUUUUGUAAUAAUAGAGUGUGCCUAAGCUCGAUGAACUUUUCAAAAUUUGUAUUUAACUAUUAAACUAUUUUUCAUGCAAAUAAAUUAUUGAACUACUUGUGACGAGAGGCGUGCGGCUGCUCCGAAAUCUUAGGAACGAGCAAGGCGUGCGGUAGGGUUUCACUAGCGGCUGCUUGGUCUGUGGCCGCCCUUUGGCUGGCUGUGGAGAGCCAGGCGGUCACUCCGACCACCAAGAAGUCUUUCUCCCAACUUUUUUCGGAGCCAGCCAACUCCCCAAUUCAUCUGCGACCAGUCACAACAUUCAAAGGAGAGGCGGAAGUUGUCUUCUCAAAGGAGGAGGCAGACAAGCUGGCUGCUCCUUUUCGUUGGGCUCUCGUGGGUAAGUUCUCACAUGGCCGUCCUUCACUAGAGGCUGUGCGGAAGUUUUUCUCGUCGUUCAAAUUGAAGGAUCACGUUUCCAUUGGCUUGUUGGAUUAUCGGCACGUUCUGUUGAGGUAUGCAGCUGAGGCGGAUUUCAACAGAAUUUGGACAAGGGGUUUGUGGCACUUAGGGAAGCAUCCAAUGAGGGUAUUCCGGUGGACAAGGGACUUUCAUGUUCACCGUGAAUCGUCGCUGGUACCGGUGUGGGUCUCGUUGCCGACGUUACUGAUACAUUAUUACGACAAACACUCGCUCUUCUCCAUCCUCUCCCUCUUUAGCACCCCUCUCUUCUUGGAUUCGGCCACUGCAUCUGGAACACGUCCCAGCGUAGCUUGUGCUUGUGUCGGGAUCGAUUUGCUGAAGCCGCUCUGCUGGCGGGUGUGGGUGGCGGUCGAAGGGGAAGGGAGAUUUUGGCAGUCCAUUGAGGUGGAGAAUUUGCCGUCAUAUUGCUCUGCAAGUUGGCGGCUCGGUCAUUCAAAUGGUGAGUGCAAUAAGGGUACCAUGCCAGCAGUGUAUCAACCUCAACAAAACAGGGGGGACGGUGGUUACCCACAGGAGGGCAGCAAAAAGGACGCCAUGGCGUGUAAUCCUCAUUCCAAUGGUGAGUGCAAGAACAUGGUAGCAGUGCACCAGUCGCAACAAAACAUGGGUGGUAGGGCUCACCUGCAGGAUUGCAGCAACAGGGACGCCAAGGAGACUGAACCUGCUCCCAAAGUUGUCACGCAUUGGAGGUCAUGUGAGCCUGUAGAGCAUGGCUCUGCUGUUGGUGCUAGCCGAGUGGGUCCUUCUCUGUCGGUGGGAGACCUCGGGUGUCAGGACCCAAAAAUUCUCUUAUUUUUAUCGUAAUUUACUAGCUUAUUUAAAUAUUUAUUCCCUCAUUUUCUCCGAAUAAUUUAUUUCAACCAUUUAAAAACCAUUUACAUGGAACUAUGACUUGCAUAUAUUUUUAAAAUAUCCCGUUAAUAAAUUUAAUUUUUGGAAGCACGUUUAGUAAGAAAUAGCGAAUACGCGUUUGAAGGCAAUAUUCGAUCUGAGAGUACAGUGACCUUGGAGAUUUGAGAACUCAUGCGUUAGUCUUAAAAUAGAUAUUUUUAUGAUUAAUUACCUUAGUAUUGGUUAGUUAUAUUAUCGUUACAAGAAUUUCUUAGAAAUUGCGCUUUAUCGCGUGCGAGUCGGAAGUUCGCGUUUUUACGCGUGCGACUAAUUGGAGGACUUUAAGAAAUUUAUUCUAGACUACUAAGACUGAAUAAUUAUAAUGUUAAAGGAAGUACAUUAGAGGUAUAGUGCACACGUGAAACAAACCUGAGAGAAAACGGACACAAAACGCGCGCGUGCGCGCACUAUUAAGAGUUGACUUUUGGCCCAACACCUAUACCUAUUAUUACAUUCUUCCACUCCAAGUUUUAGCACACAAAACCUCUCUUUUCUCUCUCAUCUUGGCCGGCCAUAACAGCAAGAAAAGAAGGAAGAAAAGCUCUCCAUCAUCUUGCAUUAUUCUUGCUCCAAAUCAUCUCCAACUUUGCAACUAAUCACAAAACCACUUGGAGAUUCACUUGAGCUUGGAAGGAAGCAUCAUCUCACAGUUUUUCUUGGGCUUUAGAAGUGCAAAAUUUGUGAUUUUACUCCAAAGUGUAGGAGAUAAUCAUCUGAUCACUUAAUCUUAACUUUAGUGGGAUUAUUUUUGCUAGGAAGCUUGUAGCUUCAUGGUUAUUGUUGUGGUUUGAGUUUAAAUGUUGGAGUGGGCUCUAUGAAAUCCCACAAUGGAUAUAUUGGACUGAUAUGGUGAUAAUGAAUGUUGUUUGAGGUAAUUAUAUGUUAAACAAGAUGAUUUUUGGGUAGGAAAGUGAAAAGGAAACCGAUGGAAGUUGAUGUUAGGUAUGAACGAAUCUGUCCUAUUUUUGCAGUGGUUUGAUUUCGAAUUUUUUAUGCUCAAUUGACCUUAAAACUGAUGUAUAUAUGUUGUGUGUGGUGUGUAUAAAGUUUCUACCAAAAAUCAUUUGGAUUGGUUGGAUAAAAAUUGAAUUUUGGCAAGAACAAAAUCUGGAAAACGUGUAACAGUGGUCCUCUGGCAGUGUUCUUUGAACAAACAUAUCUCUCUGUCCGGAUGUCGGAAUUGAGUACCGUCAGUGGCAUUCAAAACUAGACAUCCGUAUUUUUCUAACGAUGCAUCAUGGACCUUCUAAUUCGAAGUGACUCAUCUGUAGUGACUGAUCAAAGUCGGCUACCCUGUUCUGUCAGUCCAAACGAGAGGAAGUUAGAAAUUGCAACUUGUGGCUCCAUUUUCUCUUCUUUACAAACUGAAUUUCAAAAUGAUUUGUUCAGAAGAAAUGUAGCCUUUUGAAUCUAGUUUUCAACGCCAUUGUCCAUUCUCAAUUCCAAGUUUUAUUGAGUGAGAUAUGGUGCAAUUUGUAAACUGCAGCAAAUCUGGAAAACCCUCUUUUCAUGCUGACCGACUGGUUUGGUUGUUUGUGAGAGCUUUUAUUUUGAGAUUUUGAUGUCAACCAACUAAAAAUUGCUUAUGAAAUAUUUCUUGGACCUUGGUUUCACAAAUGACCCAAAAAUUGGACUGAUUUCAUGAUACAAAGUGUUUAAAAAGGGAAGAGAAGCUUGAGUUGGCAGAUUUGUUUUGAAAAUUCCACAAACUUCACUUGUCUUGUUAACUGCCUUUCCACUUGAGUUUUUUGUGCAAUUUGGUAGAGAUAUAGUUCAUAUAGGGAAGAUUUAGUGUACCAAAUUUGGUGUAUUUUCAAUGCCCAUUCGAUGGCCAAAUAAUACUUCAAAGAUAGCCUUUCAAAUCUGGAAAAUGUUCAAUUAGUCCUCAUUUUUAGCUAAAUUUGAGCUGCUAUAUAUGGAUGCUCAAAACUUCAAUUCUAGUUUCUCUUGUUGUGUUUUAAACCUUGCUUGGAAUUCUAAUUGAGUUACAAAUUUUAGAGGCUAGCUCACUUUCUGUGAAUUUUGCCGAAUUUCCAAAGUUUGCCGAAAAAUAAGACUAAAACUGUCCUGUGUGCCUAUAGUCAGCCACUUUGAGCUAAAAUUUGAAUGCCUUCCGUUUAGAAUCUUGGAAGAGUGUCUUCUAGGAACUUUUAGUACUUUGAAUCAAGUUUCCAACGGUGCCAAGUUUUCCAAUUUUGGACCUAUUGAGUGCAAAUCUGAUUUUUCUAAGUUUGACACGCAAAGCUGAAAUUUGCCGAUUUCUUAGAAAAUGAAAUUUUGAGAACUCGUUAUUCUUUCUUGAUGUUAAUUGAUCGAUUUAAACUCGAUUUCAUGAAGGAAAUCAGUUUUUCUUGUGUUAUUAAGCCAUCACUUUUGAACUUCGAUUUUCGAGAAAAAUAGAUUCUCUUUUGAGACUUUGGUUUAAUCUAAACAAGUGGAUAUUCUUUCUCGUGUGUUACGUGGUAGUGGGUUUACGUGAGUAAUGUAUGAUCACUAUUUCUUCAGGUGCUCAAGCGAGUCUUGAAGAGAAUCCCGGAGGGGACAACUAAAGACUUUACUCGCUCAAUUACUUUUGAAUUGGUGAGCGUCAAGUGCAUGACUUGUUGUGUUUACUUGAUUUAUCUGCUUAUAUACGUGAAUAUCACUUGGUGAGACGAGUGUGUACUUUAUCGCACUCACUCUCCUUUACUCAAACUUUACUUGCAUUAAACUUGAUUUUCAAAGUCGAUUGGAGUGAAUCUCGUCAGCAAAAUAUACUCAUUUACGUGUGCAUGUCGUGUUGUCGUGCGUGUCGUGUUGUCGAGUGGAGUGAACCUCCUCGACUUAUGGGGACGCCCAAAUCUCAUUGGCCAAUCUUGCGACUCGAGCCGACAUGGGCUUGGUCGAGAAACUUGAUGAACCAUAGGAUUAUUACAAAACACAACUUGAUCUUUUAAGAUCUUAUUCGGCAUACUCGUGGAGUAUCACCCUUUUCGUGCGUGUUCUUAAAAAUAAAACUUGAUCUCUUGAGAUCUUGUUCGGCAUACUCGUAUAUAUCGCCCUUUUUGUGCGUGUUUGGUUACGGAUCCGAGAUAGUGGAAUGGUGGAUGGAGGAAGUAUUAAGUGAAGUUUCUACGGACUUAAUACCUACCCGGAUGGCGGAGUGUCAUCACGAAGGGGUAUCGGAUCGAACCUUGGUGAAGCAAGUGGAAAUUAGCUCUUGAGAGCUCCUGUAUCCUUAACAAGUGUGUUAUAUUAUCAAUUGUGAAUUACUUGAACUUUCUGACUUUAAUUCCUGUACAUAUGUUAUUGUUACUUGUUACUUGAACUAUGUGUUUGCAUGUGCAUGGUUUUUUUUUCUUGGCCUCACGAGCAUUCGCUUACCCCGUUAGAUUUGUUUUCCUUAGCAGGACCAGACGGAAAGAUUUUGGAGAAAAGCAGACUAGAUUACUCUUUUGAUUAGUACCUUGGUUGUAAUUGUUUGGUCGACUUAUAACGGUUGUAUUUUGGGACUUGAUACACUGUUGAAUUUGGAAUUUUGAAUGUAUUUGUCUAGAUGACUUUUGGAGGUUGUAUAUUUUGGGAAUGAGAUGUACUUUUGGUAUCUUGUAAAAUAAGAUUGAAUAUUUAUGUAUGAAAAUGGAUUCGUACCUUUAUUCCGACUUUCAUUAUUAGUAUUAGACUUUAAGUUUGGAUUGCAAUUGUCUCGAGUCCUGGCGAGAGUUGGGCAAGCGUCCCUCGGAUACCCUUGGGUUCGCCCUUGGGAGAAGUGGGGGCGUCACAGUUGGUAUCAGAUCUUAGGCUUCAGAUCUUCAUAGUGUAUCCUACGCUUAAAAGUUUAGGAUGGGGGACUGUGGAACUGAUUUGGAAGUUAAGUGACCGCUUGUAGGGAUGAAAAUUAGAACCUAGGUUUGAAUUAGUGGAUAAUUAGAAGUCUCGAUCUUAUAAGAGAUAUGUGAAAUAGUACGAAAUGAUCGGAUCUAGUUUAUUUAGUAUACUUGGAUCCAUCUAAGCUUUUAACUUUAAUUGUAAUUUAUGAAAUGUAACGAUGGUAUUGAGACGUCUCGGGGAUGCCUUCCGGUGAUCCGUUAUCGAGAAAGGCCUAGGGGAAAUUCAUUGGAGAUAUAAUCCAACUCGUUGAACUAGGAUCCCAUGUGAUUGCCAGAGGACUUGCUCGUACCCAAAUAACAGAGUGUUAACGGUGGUCGAUGACUAGAGAUGGCUAUCCGAGGAAACAAGGUAGUUCGAGAGGAUAAUCGAGGACUGAGGGAAUGAUGACCAAGUGUGUUACCUUGGUCGAACAAGUGGUGAUGACAAGAUACUUAAUUAGGGAAAAUGAAGAAGAAAACUCCUAGUGCUGGGAAAUGAAAAUGAUCUUACGGAAGUAGCAGAGACUUCUGGUUCCGCAAUCACUAAACUAGUGAUUUAAACUAUUUUAAUAGCUUUUGCCAAGGAUAGUCGAGGUGGUGCUUGUUCAAAGGCCAUUGUAUUUGUUUAACCGUACUAUCUAACUUUUGAAGCAAUUGAACGUUACUUAUGAGAUACUUGACUUUAUUGUUUUAUGUGACAGCCCCACUUCCCCUAAGACGAACCAAAGGGUUUGGCGGACCGCCUGCCCACCUCUCACGCAGGACUCAUCAAAUACCGAAUACGCGUUUGAAGGCAAUAUUCGAUCUGAGAGUACAGUGACCUUGGAGAUUUGAGAACUCAUGCGUUAAGUCUUAAAAUAGAUAUUUUUAUGAUUAAUUACCUUAGUAUUGGUUAGUUAUAUUAUCGUUACAAGAAUUUCUUAGAAAUUGCGCUUUAUCGCGUGCGAGUCGGAAGUUCGCGUUUUUACGCGUGCGACUAAUUGGAGGACUUUAAGAAAUUUAUUCUAGACUACUAAGACUGAAUAAUUAUAAUGUUAAAGGAAGUACAUUAGAGGUAUAGUGCACACGUGAAACAAACCUGAGAGAAAACGGACACAAAACGCGCGCGUGCGCGCACUAUUAAGAGUUGACUUUUGGCCCAACACCUAUACCUAUUAUUACAUUCUUCCACUCCAAGUUUUAGCACAACAAAACCUCUUUUUCUCUCUCAUCUUGGCCGGCCAUAACAGCAAGAAAAGAAGGAAGAAAAGCUCUCCAUCAUCUUGCAUUAUUCUUGCUCCAAAUCAUCUCCAACUUUGCAACUAAUCACAAAACCACUUGGAGAUUCACUUGAGCUUGGAAGGAAGCAUCAUCUCACAGUUUUUCUUGGGCUUUAGAAGUGCAAAAUUUGUGAUUUUACUCCAAAGUGUAGGAGAUAAUCAUCUGAUCACUUAAUCUUAACUUUAGUGGGAUUAUUUUUGCUAGGAAGCUUGUAGCUUCAUGGUUAUUGUUGUGGUUUGAGUUUAAAUGUUGGAGUGGGCUCUAUGAAAUCCCACAAUGGAUAUAUUGGACUGAUAUGGUGAUAAUGAAUGUUGUUUGAGGUAAUUAUAUGUUAAACAAGAUGAUUUUUGGGUAGGAAAGUGAAAAGGAAACCGAUGGAAGUUGAUGUUAGGUAUGAACGAAUCUGUCCUAUUUUUGCAGUGGUUUGAUUUCGAAUUUUUUAUGCUCAAUUGACCUUAAAACUGAUGUAUAUAUGUUGUGUGUGGUGUGUAUAAAGUUUCUACCAAAAAUCAUUUGGAUUGGUUGGAUAAAAAUUGAAUUUUGGCAAGAACAAAAUCUGGAAAACGUGUAACAGUGGUCCUCUGGCAGUGUUCUUUGAACAAACAUAUCUCUCUGUCCGGAUGUCGGAAUUGAGUACCGUCAGUGGCAUUCAAAACUAGACAUCCGUAUUUUUCUAACGAUGCAUCAUGGACCUUCUAAUUCGAAGUGACUCAUCUGUAGUGACUGAUCAAAGUCGGCUACCCUGUUCUGUCAGUCCAAACGAGAGGAAGUUAGAAAUUGCAACUUGUGGCUCCAUUUUCUCUUCUUUAAAAACUGAAUUUCAAAAUGAUUUGUUCAGAAGAAAUGUAGCCUUUUGAAUCUAGUUUUCAACGCCAUUGUCCAUUCUCAAUUCCAAUUUUUAUUGAGUGAGAUAUGGUGGCAAUUUGUAAACUGCAGCAAAUCUGGAAAACCCUCUUUCAUGCUGACCGACUGGUUUGGUUGUUUGUGAGAGCUUUUAUUUUGAGAUUUUGAUGUCAACCAACUAAAAAUUGCUUAUGAAAUAUUUCUUGGACCUUGGUUUCACAAAUGACCCAAAAAUUGGACUGAUUUCAUGAUACAAAGUGUUUAAAAAGGGAAGAGAAGCUUGAGUUGGCAGAUUUGUUUUGAAAAUUCCACAAACUUCACUUGUCUUGUUAACUGCCUUUCCACUUGAGUUUUUGUGUGCAAUUUGGUAGAGAUAUAGUUCAUAUAGGGAAGAUUUAGUGUACCAAAUUUGGUGUAUUUUCAAUGCCCAUUCGAUGGCCAAAUAAUACUUCAAAGAUAGCCUUUCAAAUCUGGAAAAUGUUCAAUUAGUCCUCAUUUUUAGCUAAAUUUGAGCUGCUAUAUAUGGAUGCUCAAAACUUCAAUUCUAGUUUCUCUUGUUGUGUUUUAAACCUUGCUUGGAAUUCUAAUUGAGUUACAAAUUUUAGAGGCUAGCUCACUUUCUGUGAAUUUUGCCGAAUUUCCAAAGUUUGCCGAAAAAUAAGACUAAAACUGUCCUGUGUGCCUAUAGUCAGCCACUUUGAGCUAAAAUUUGAAUGCCUUCCGUUUAGAAUCUUGGAAGAGUGUCUUCUAGGAACUUUUAGUACUUUGAAUCAAGUUUCCAACGGUGCCAAGUUUUCCAAUUUUGGACCUAUUGAGUGCAAAUCUGAUUUUUCUAAGUUUGACACGCAAAGCUGAAAUUUGCCGAUUUCUUAGAAAAUGAAAUUUUGAGAACUCGUUAUUCUUUCUUGAUGUUAAUUGAUCGAUUUAAACUCGAUUUCAUGAAGGAAAUCAGUUUUUCUUGUGUUAUUAAGCCAUCACUUUUGAACUUCGAUUUUCGAGAAAAAUAGAUUUUUUGAGACUUUGGUUUAAUCUAAACAAGUGGAUAUUCUUUCUCGUGUGUUACGUGGUAGUGGGUUUACGUGAGUAAUGUAUGAUCACUAUUUCUUCAGGUGCUCAAGCGAGUCUUGAAGAGAAUCCCGGAGGGGACAACUAAAGACUUUACUCGCUCAAUUACUUUUGAAUUGGUGAGCGUCAAGUGCAUGACUUGUUGUGUUUACUUGAUUUAUCUGCUUAUAUACGUGAAUAUCACUUGGUGAGACGAGUGUGUACUUUAUCGCACUCACUCUCCUUUACUCAAACUUUACUUGCAUUAAACUUGAUUUUCAAAGUCGAUUGGAGUGAAUCUCGUCAGCAAAAUAUACUCAUUUACGUGUGCAUGUCGUGUUGUCGUGCGUGUCGUGUUGUCGAGUGGAGUGAAACCUCCUCGACUUAUGGGGACGCCCAAAUCUCAUUGGCCAAUCUUGCGACUCGAGCCGACAUGGGCUUGGUCGAGAAACUUGAUGAACCAUAGGAUUAUUACAAAACACAACUUGAUCUUUUAAGAUCUUAUUCGGCAUACUCGUGGAGUAUCACCCUUUUCGUGCGUGUUCUUAAAAAUAAAACUUGAUUCUUGAGAUCUUGUUCGGCAUACUCGUAUAUAUCGCCCUUUUUGUGCGUGUUUGGUUACGGAUCCGAGAUAGUGGAAUGGUGGAUGGAGGAAGUAUUAAGUGAAGUUUCUACGGACUUAAUACCUACCCGGAUGGCGGAGUGUCAUCACGAAGGGGUAUCGGAUCGAACCUUGGUGAAGCAAGUGGAAAUUAGCUCUUGAGAGCUCCUGUAUCCUUAACAAGUGUGUUAUAUUAUCAAUUGUGAAUUACUUGAACUUUCUGACUUUAAUUCCUGUACAUAUGUUAUUGUUACUUGUUACUUGAACUAUGUGUUUGCAUGUGCAUGGUUUUUUUUCUUGGCCUCACGAGCAUUCGCUUACCCCGUUAGAUUUGUUUUCCUUAGCAGGACCAGACGGAAAGAUUUUGGAGAAAAGCAGACUAGAUUACUCUUUUGAUUAGUACCUUGGUUGUAAUUGUUUGGUCGACUUAUAACGGUUGUAUUUUGGGACUUGAUACACUGUUGAAUUUGGAAUUUUGAAUGUAUUUGUCUAGAUGACUUUUGGAGGUUGUAUAUUUUGGGAAUGAGAUGUACUUUUGGUAUCUUGUAAAAUAAGAUUGAAUUUAUGUAUGAAAAUGGAUUCGUACCUUUAUUCCGACUUUCAUUAUUAGUAUUAGACUUUAAGUUUGGAUUGCAAUUGUCUCGAGUCCUGGCGAGAGUUGGGCAAGCGUCCCUCGGAUACCCUUGGGUUCGCCCUUGGGAGAAGUGGGGGCGUCACAGUUGGUAUCAGAUCUUAGGCUUCAGAUCUUCAUAGUGUAUCCUACGCUUAAAAGUUUAGGAUGGGGGACUGUGGAACUGAUUUGGAAGUUAAGUGACCGCUUGUAGGGAUGAAAAUUAGAACCUAGGUUUGAAUUAGUGGAUAAUUAGAAGUCUCGAUCUAUAAGAGAUAUGUGAAAUAGUACGAAAUGAUCGGAUCUAGUUUAUUUAGUAUACUUGGAUCCAUCUAAGCUUUUAACUUUAAUUGUAAUUUAUGAAAUGUAACGAUGGUAUUGAGACGUCUCGGGGAUGCCUUCCGGUGAUCCGUUAUCGAGAAAGGCCUAGGGGAAAUUCAUUGGAGAUAUAAUCCAACUCGUUGAACUAGGAUCCCAUGUGAUUGCCAGAGGACUUGCUCGUACCCAAAUAACAGAGUGUUAACGGUGGUCGAUGACUAGAGAUGGCUAUCCGAGGAAACUAAGGUAGUUCGAGAGGAUAAUCGAGGACUGAGGGAAUGAUGACCAAGUGUGUUACCUUGGUCGAACAAGUGGUGAUGACAAGAUACUUAAUUAGGGAAAAUGAAGAAGAAAACUCCUAGUGCUGGAAAUGAAAAUGAUCUUACGGAAGUAGCAGAGACUUCUGGUUCCGCCAAUCACUAAACUAGUGAUUUAAACUAUUUUAAUAGCUUUUGCCAAGGAUAGUCGAGGUGGUGCUUGUUCAAAGGCCAUUGUAUUUGUUUAACCGUACUAUCUAACUUUUGAAGCAAUUGAACGUUACUUAUGAGAUACUUGACUUUAUUGUUUUAUGUGACAGCCCCACUUCCCCCUAAGACGAACCAAAGGGUUUGGCGGACCGCCUGCCCACUCUCACCAGGACUCAGUCAAAUACCGAAUACGCGUUUGAAGGCAAUAUUCGAUCUGAGAGUACAGUGACCUUGGAGAUUUGAGAACUCAUGCGUUAGUCUUAAAAUAGAUAUUUUUAUGAUUAAUUACCUUAGUAUUGGUUAGUUAUAUUAUCGUUACAAGAAUUUCUUAGAAAUUGCGCUUUAUCGCGUGCGAGUCGGAAGUUCGCGUUUUUACGCGUGCGACUAAUUGGAGGACUUUAAGAAAUUUAUUCUAGACUACUAAGACUGAAUAAUUAUAAUGUUAAAGGAAGUACAUUAGAGGUAUAGUGCACACGUGAAACAAACCUGAGAGAAAACGGACACAAAACGCGCGCGUGCGCGCACUAUUAAGAGUUGACUUUUGGCCCAACACCUAUACCUAUUAUUACAUUCUUCCACUCCAAGUUUUAGCACACAAAACCUCUCUUUUCUCUCUCAUCUUGGCCGGCCAUAACAGCAAGAAAAGAAGGAAGAAAAGCUCUCCAUCAUCUUGCAUUAUUCUUGCUCCAAAUCAUCUCCAACUUUGCAACUAAUCACAAAACCACUUGGAGAUUCACUUGAGCUUGGAAGGAAGCAUCAUCUCACAGUUUUUCUUGGGCUUUAGAAGUGCAAAAUUUGUGAUUUUACUCCAAAGUGUAGGAGAUAAUCAUCUGAUCACUUAAUCUUAACUUUAGUGGGAUUAUUUUUGCUAGGAAGCUUGUAGCUUCAUGGUUAUUGUUGUGGUUUGAGUUUAAAUGUUGGAGUGGGCUCUAUGAAAUCCCACAAUGGAUAUAUUGGACUGAUAUGGUGAUAAUGAAUGUUGUUUGAGGUAAUUAUAUGUUAAACAAGAUGAUUUUUGGGUAGGAAAGUGAAAAGGAAACCGAUGGAAGUUGAUGUUAGGUAUGAACGAAUCUGUCCUAUUUUUGCAGUGGUUUGAUUUCGAAUUUUUUAUGCUCAAUUGACCUUAAAACUGAUGUAUAUAUGUUGUGUGUGGUGUGUAUAAAGUUUCUACCAAAAAUCAUUUGGAUUGGUUGGAUAAAAAUUGAAUUUUGGCAAGAACAAAAUCUGGAAAACGUGUAACAGUGGUCCUCUGGCAGUGUUCUUUGAACAAACAUAUCUCUCUGUCCGGAUGUCGGAAUUGAGUACCGUCAGUGGCAUUCAAAACUAGACAUCCGUAUUUUUCUAACGAUGCAUCAUGGACCUUCUAAUUCGAAGUGACUCAUCUGUAGUGACUGAUCAAAGUCGGCUACCCUGUUCUGUCAGUCCAAACGAGAGGAAGUUAGAAAUUGCAACUUGUGGCUCCAUUUUCUCUUCUUUAAAAACUGAAUUUCAAAAUGAUUUGUUCAGAAGAAAUGUAGCCUUUUGAAUCUAGUUUUCAACGCCAUUGUCCAUUCUCAAUUCCAAGUUUUAUUGAGUGAGAAUAUGGUGCAAUUUGUAAACUGCAGCAAAUCUGGAAAACCCUCUUUUCAUGCUGACCGACUGGUUUGGUUGUUUGUGAGAGCUUUAUUUUGAGAUUUUGAUGUCAACCAACUAAAAAUUGCUUAUGAAAUAUUUCUUGGACCUUGGUUUCACAAAUGACCCAAAAAUUGGACUGAUUUCAUGAUACAAAGUGUUUAAAAAGGGAAGAGAAGCUUGAGUUGGCAGAUUUGUUUUGAAAAUUCCACAAACUUCACUUGUCUUGUUAACUGCCUUUCCACUUGAGUUUUUGUGUGCAAUUUGGUAGAGAUAUAGUUCAUAUAGGGAAGAUUUAGUGUACCAAAUUUGGUGUAUUUUCAAUGCCCAUUCGAUGGCCAAAUAAUACUUCAAAGAUAGCCUUUCAAAUCUGGAAAAUGUUCAAUUAGUCCUCAUUUUUAGCUAAAUUUGAGCUGCUAUAUAUGGAUGCUCAAAACUUCAAUUCUAGUUUCUCUUGUUGUGUUUUAAACCUUGCUUGGAAUUCUAAUUGAGUUACAAAUUUUAGAGGCUAGCUCACUUUCUGUGAAUUUUGCCGAAUUUCCAAAGUUUGCCGAAAAAUAAGACUAAAACUGUCCUGUGUGCCUAUAGUCAGCCACUUUGAGCUAAAAUUUGAAUGCCUUCCGUUUAGAAUCUUGGAAGAGUGUCUUCUAGGAACUUUUAGUACUUUGAAUCAAGUUUCCAACGGUGCCAAGUUUUCCAAUUUUGGACCUAUUGAGUGCAAAUCUGAUUUUUCUAAGUUUGACACGCAAAGCUGAAAUUUGCCGAUUUCUUAGAAAAUGAAAUUUUGAGAACUCGUUAUUCUUUCUUGAUGUUAAUUGAUCGAUUUAAACUCGAUUUCAUGAAGGAAAUCAGUUUUUCUUGUGUUAUUAAGCCAUCACUUUUGAACUUCGAUUUUCGAGAAAAAUAGAUUCUCUUUUGAGACUUUGGUUUAAUCUAAACAAGUGGAUAUUCUUUCUCGUGUGUUACGUGUAGUGGGUUUACGUGAGUAAUGUAUGAUCACUAUUUCUUCAGGUGCUCAAGCGAGUCUUGAAGAGAAUCCCGGAGGGGACAACUAAAGACUUUACUCGCUCAAUUACUUUUGAAUUGGUGAGCGUCAAGUGCAUGACUUGUUGUGUUUACUUGAUUUAUCUGCUUAUAUACGUGAAUAUCACUUGGUGAGACGAGUGUGUACUUUAUCGCACUCACUCUCCUUUACUCAAACUUUACUUGCAUUAAACUUGAUUUUCAAAGUCGAUUGGAGUGAAUCUCGUCAGCAAAAUAUACUCAUUUACGUGUGCAUGUCGUGUUGUCGUGCGUGUCGUGUUGUCGAGUGGAGUGAACCUCCUCGACUUAUGGGACGCCCAAAUCUCAUUGGCCAAUCUUGCGACUCGAGCCGACAUGGGCUUGGUCGAGAAACUUGAUGAACCAUAGGAUUAUUACAAAACACAACUUGAUCUUUUAAGAUCUUAUUCGGCAUACUCGUGGAGUAUCACCCUUUUCGUGCGUGUUCUUAAAAAUAAAACUUGAUCUCUUGAGAUCUUGUUCGGCAUACUCGUAUAUAUCGCCCUUUUUGUGCGUGUUUGGUUACGGAUCCGAGAUAGUGGAAUGGUGGAUGGAGGAAGUAUUAAGUGAAGUUUCUACGGACUUAAUACCUACCCGGAUGGCGGAGUGUCAUCACGAAGGGGUAUCGGAUCGAACCUUGGUGAAGCAAGUGGAAAUUAGCUCUUGAGAGCUCCUGUAUCCUUAACAAGUGUGUUAUAUUAUCAAUUGUGAAUUACUUGAACUUUCUGACUUUAAUUCCUGUACAUAUGUUAUUGUUACUUGUUACUUGAACUAUGUGUUUGCAUGUGCAUGGUUUUUUUUUCUUGGCCUCACGAGCAUUCGCUUACCCCGUUAGAUUUGUUUUCCUUAGCAGGACCAGACGGAAAGAUUUUGGAGAAAAGCAGACUAGAUUACUCUUUUGAUUAGUACCUUGGUUGUAAUUGUUUGGUCGACUUAUAACGGUUGUAUUUUGGGACUUGAUACACUGUUGAAUUUGGAAUUUUGAAUGUAUUUGUCUAGAUGACUUUUGGAGGUUGUAUAUUUUGGAAUGAGAUGUACUUUUGGUAUCUUGUAAAAUAAGAUUGAAUAUUUAUGUAUGAAAAUGGAUUCGUACCUUUAUUCCGACUUUCAUUAUUAGUAUUAGACUUUAAGUUUGGAUUGCAAUUGUCUCGAGUCCUGGCGAGAGUUGGGCAAGCGUCCCUCGGAUACCCUUGGUUCGCCCUUGGGAGAAGUGGGGGCGUCACAGUUGGUAUCAGAUCUUAGGCUUCAGAUCUUCAUAGUGUAUCCUACGCUUAAAAGUUUAGGAUGGGGACUGUGGAACUGAUUUGGAAGUUAAGUGACCGCUUGUAGGGAUGAAAAUUAGAACCUAGGUUUGAAUUAGUGGAUAAUUAGAAGUCUCGAUCUUAUAAGAGAUAUGUGAAAUAGUACGAAAUGAUCGGAUCUAGUUUAUUUAGUAUACUUGGAUCCAUCUAAGCUUUUAACUUUAAUUGUAAUUUAUGAAAUGUAACGAUGGUAUUGAGACGUCUCGGGGAUGCCUUCCGGUGAUCCGUUAUCGAGAAAGGCCUAGGGAAAUUCAUUGGAGAUAUAAUCCAACUCGUUGAACUAGGAUCCCAUGUGAUUGCCAGAGGACUUGCUCGUACCCAAAUAACAGAGUGUUAACGGUGGUCGAUGACUAGAGAUGGCUAUCCGAGGAAACUAAGGUAGUUCGAGAGGAUAAUCGAGGACUGAGGGAAUGAUGACCAAGUGUGUUACCUUGGUCGAACAAGUGGUGAUGACAAGAUACUUAAUUAGGGAAAAUGAAGAAGAAAACUCCUAGUGCUGGAAAUGAAAAUGAUCUUACGGAAGUAGCUGAGACUUCUGGUUCCGCCAAUCACUAAACUAGUGAUUUAAACUAGAGCGAAUUGCGCGAAAUGUCACUAAACUAUUUCAAAGUGCCGGUUCUGAUCACUAAACUUUUUUAUUAGCGCGAAAUGUCACUGAACUAGUAAAUCUAUACCGUUUUGGUCACUCCGUCUAUUUGUGCCGUUAGGAGAGAUGGAAAUCAACUUUUUGAGGGGCAAAUUUGUCUACACAGCCUUUUCCUUGAAGCUUUUACAUAAUCAAUGGUUCCUUUGAGCCUGGAUUUUUCAAAUUGGCUCCGCGUUCAGCUUCCGACGAAGACCCAUUUCCACCCUCAGCACCACCACAAUGUCCAUGAUUUCCCCUUGGACGUAACUGGGUAGUCCCAGCAGCUAAGCACGAUGAGAAGUCGCAGCACACGCCUGCUAAUACUAAAGCCUAUCCGCCUGCUAAGGGGCUACACCUCCCAAGCCCGAACACAAACUCAAACCCAAAUCCAAACAUCAUCCUCCCCGUCCCUCUCAUCCCCACCACCGGCUGUGACCCAUUUCCUUUUUUUCCCCUUUUUAACGUUUGAGAAGGGGAUUGCCUUCCUCUUGUCUUUAUUUUCCCUUUUGUCAUACACCAGAACUUAUUCAACCUAAUUGCUUCUUGGGAAAUAAUUUUUAUCCCAUUAUGCAGAAAAGAAGAAAACCCUUUUUCUUAUUUAAGGGUUUAACAUGGUGGGUUUGAAGUUUAACUUUGGAAUCUGCUUCUAUGCGGAAGUACAAAAGCUCCCUAGAUGCAUUUGCUCAGAUCUUGAAGAAUGAGGCGGAUGGGACGGCGGUGGAGAGCUUGAAUGCGCUCGCUGGAUCAUCGGAGCUCAAAAUCAAAGCCGCACCGGCUCCGCCUCCCGCGGCUGUGGCCGCCAGCAACAGUUUCACUCUGGCGCGCCACACCGAUCUCGCCGCCAUUUUUUGGCCUUCAUUUUUAAUGUUUUCCCCCUUGUCCCGGCCUUUUGAUUGGCUUCGGGUUUCUAUUUAGAACUCCGAGACAAGGGGUGGACAGAAGCGAAACUUCCUCUAUUAUCCACAUAUCUUCUGACCGCCCUGCUAUUUUUAUGCAUUUUUACCUUGUGGAAAUGUGUUUCUUUUUCUUGAUCUUGGUUCAUCUUAAAAAUAACAAAAAUUGGCUAUGGAGAGACGCAUAAACGACCCUUGGAAUUAUAGCCACCGUUGCUUAUCCUGACAAUAAUCACCCUUGGAGACUCAGAGAUUCCAAAAUAGUUGGUAAACCCAUCUCAGAUUUGGGCACAAAAUCACAAGAGUCUAAUGGAAAGUUCAACUUUGAACAUGAAAUAUGCAUCUGUUAGAAUAUGGAGUACCUUCUACAGCAAUUGUGUCAAUCCUGAAUCUGUUAGGUGAAAUGCUAACUGGACUUAUUUAUUGCAUUGGUCAACACGGGAAAGACGAGAAGGAGACCUUUGUUAGUGGAAGCACAGUUUACUCGUAUGGAAGUGCCCAGGCAGUCAUUUCCAGAUUAUGCCAAGGUCCCCACCAUGAAGACUGGCUUUCCAUCUCAUCCUUUAUUUACGGUUGGGAAAGGUAAGUAAUGAUAAAGGUGUUCUUUGUUACAAAUGGUGAAAGAGGGAGGAGGAGGAAGAAGAAAGAAAAAGGGAAAGGAAGGAGAGUGGAGGUGGAGGUGAUGGCGGUGGGUGGCAAUGUAGGUGAUGGAUGGUUGUGGGUGAAGAAGAAUGAGGGCAUAAAUUUUUUAACUAUUGUGUAGACGAAAUUACCCCUCAAAAAGUUGAUUUCCGUCUCUCCUAACGGCACAAAUAGACGGAGUGACCAAAACGGUAUAGAUUUAUUAGUUUAGUGACAUUUCGCGCUAAUAAAAAAGUUUAGUGACCAGAACCGGCACUUUGAAAUAGUUUAGUGACAUUUCACGCAAUUCGCUCUUUAAACUAUUUUAAUAGCUUUUGCCAAGGAUAGUCGAGGUGGUGCUUGUUCAAAGGCCAUUGUAUUUGUUUAACCGUACUAUCUAACUUUGAAGCAAUUGAACGUUACUUAUGAGAUACUUGACUUUAUUGUUUUAUGUGACAGCCCCACUUCCCCCUAAGACGAACCAAAGGGUUUUGGCGGACCGCCUGCCCACCUCUCACCAGGACUCAGUCAAUACCGAAUACAGCGUUUGAAGGCAAUAUUCGAUCUGAGAGUACAGUGACCUUGGAGAUUUGAGAACUCAUGCGUUAGUCUUAAAAUAGAUAUUUUUAUGAUUAAUUACCUUAGUAUUGUUAGUUAUAUUAUCGUUACAAGAAUUUCUUAGAAAUUGCGCUUUAUCGCGUGCGAGUCGGAAGUUUCGCGUUUUUACGCAUGCGACUAAUUGGAGGACUUUAAGAAAUUUAUUCUAGACUACUAAGACUGAAUAAUUAUAAUGUUAAAGGAAGUACAUUAGAGGUAUAGUGCACACGGUGAAACAAACCUGAGAGAAAACGGACACAAAACCGCGCGUCGCGCGCACUAUUAAGAGUUGACUUUUGGCCCAACACCUAUACCUAUUAUUACAUUCUUCCACUCCAAGUUUUAGCACACAAAACUCUCUUUUCUCUCUCAUCUUGGCCGGCCAUAACAGCAAGAAAAGAAGGAAGAAAAGAAGGAAAAAAGCUCUCCAUCAUCUUGCAUUAUUCUUGCUCCAAAUCAUCUCCAACUUUGCAACUAAUCACAAAACCACUUGGAGAUUCACUUUGAGCUUGGAAGAAGCAUCAUCUCACAGUUUUUCUUGGGCUUUAGAAGUGCAAAAUUUGUGAUUUUACUCCAAAGUGUAGGAGAUAAUCAUCUGAUCACUUAAUCUUAACUUUAGUGGGAUUAUUUUUGCUAGGAAGCUUGUAGCUUCAUGGUUAUUGUUGUGGUUUGAGUUUAAAUGUUGGAGUGGGCUCUAUGAAAUCCCACAAUGGAUAUAUUGGACUGAUAUGGUGAUAAUGAAUGUUGUUUGAGGUAAUUAUAUGUUAAACAAGAUGAUUUUUGGGUAGGAAAGUGAAAAGGAAACCGAUGGAAGUUGAUGUUAGGUAUGAACGAAUCUGUCCUAUUUUUUGCAGUGGUUUGAUUUCGAAUUUUUUAUGCUCAAUUGACCUUAAAACUGAUGUAUAUAUGUUGUGUGUGGUGUGUAUAAAGUUUCUACCAAAAUCAUUUGGAUUGGUUGGAUAAAAAUUGAAUUUUGGCAAGAACAAAAUCUGGAAAACGUGUAACAGUGGUCCUCUGGCAGUGUUCUUUGAACAAACAUAUCUCUCUGUCCGGAUGUCGGAAUUGAGUACCGUCAGUGGCAUUCAAAACUAGACAUCCGUAUUUUUUCUAACGAUGCAUCAUGGACCUUCUAAUUCGAAGUGACUCAUCUGUAGUGACUGAUCAAAGUCGGCUACCCUGUUCUGUCAGUCCAAACGAGAGGAAGUUAGAAAUUGCAACUUGUGGCUCCAUUUUCUCUUCUUUAAAACUGAAUUUCAAAAUGAUUUGUUCAGAAGAAAUGUAGCCUUUUGAAUCUAGUUUUCAACGCCAUUGUCCAUUCUCAAUUCCAAGUUUUAUUGAGUGAGAUAUGGUGCAAUUUGUAAACUGCAGCAAAUCUGGAAAACCCUCUUUUCAUGCUGACCGACUGGUUUGGUUGUUUGUGAGAGCUUUUAUUUUGAGAUUUUGAUGUCAACCAACUAAAAAUUGCUUAUGAAAUAUUUCUUGGACCUUGGUUUCACAAAUGACCCAAAAAUUGGACUGAUUUCAUGAUACAAAGUGUUUAAAAAGGGAAGAGAAGCUUGAGUUGGCAGAUUUGUUUUGAAAAUUCCACAAACUUCACUUGUCUUGUUAACUGCCUUUCCACUUGAGUUUUUGUGUGCAAUUUGGUAGAGAUAUAGUUCAUAUAGGGAAGAUUUAGUGUACCAAAUUUGGUGUAUUUUCAAUGCCCAUUCGAUGGCCAAAUAAUACUUCAAAGAUAGCCUUUCAAAUCUGGAAAAUGUUCAAUUAGUCCUCAUUUUUAGCUAAAUUUGAGCUGCUAUAUAUGGAUGCUCAAAACUUCAAUUCUAGUUUCUCUUGUUGUGUUUUAAACCUUGCUUGGAAUUCUAAUUGAGUUACAAAUUUUAGAGGCUAGCUCACUUUCUGUGAAUUUUGCCGAAUUUCCAAAGUUUGCCGAAAAAUAAGACUAAAACUGUCCUGUGUGCCUAUAGUCAGCCACUUUGAGCUAAAAUUUGAAUGCCUUCCGUUUAGAAUCUUGGAAGAGUGUCUUCUAGGAACUUUUAGUACUUUGAAUCAAGUUUCCAACGGUGCCAAGUUUUCCAAUUUUGGACCUAUUGAGUGCAAAUCUGAUUUUUCUAAGUUUGACACGCAAAGCUGAAAUUUGCCGAUUUCUUAGAAAAUGAAAUUUUGAGAACUCGUUAUUCUUUCUUGAUGUUAAUUGAUCGAUUUAAACUCGAUUUCAUGAAGGAAAUCAGUUUUUCUUGUGUUAUUAAGCCAUCACUUUUGAACUUCGAUUUUCGAGAAAAAUAGAUUCUCUUUUGAGACUUUGGUUUAAUCUAAACAAGUGGAUAUUCUUUCUCGUGUGUUACGUGGUAGUGGGUUUACGUGAGUAAUGUAUGAUCACUAUUUCUUCAGGUGCUCAAGCGAGUCUUGAAGAGAAUCCCGGAGGGGACAACUAAAGACUUUACUCGCUCAAUUACUUUUGAAUUGGUGAGCGUCAAGUGCAUGACUUGUUGUGUUUACUUGAUUUAUCUGCUUAUAUACGUGAAUAUCACUUGGUGAGACGAGUGUGUACUUUAUCGCACUCACUCUCCUUUACUCAAACUUUACUUGCAUUAAACUUGAUUUUCAAAGUCGAUUGGAGUGAAUCUCGUCAGCAAAAUAUACUCAUUUACGUGUGCAUGUCGUGUUGUCGUGCGUGUCGUGUUGUCGAGUGGAGUGAACCUCCUCGACUUAUGGGGACGCCCAAAUCUCAUUGGCCAAUCUUGCGACUCGAGCCGACAUGGGCUUGGUCGAGAAACUUGAUGAACCAUAGGAUUAUUACAAAACACAACUUGAUCUUUUAAGAUCUUAUUCGGCAUACUCGUGGAGUAUCACCCUUUUCGUGCGUGUUCUUAAAAAUAAAACUUGAUCUCUUGAGAUCUUGUUCGGCAUACUCGUAUAUAUCGCCCUUUUUGUGCGUGUUUGGUUACGGAUCCGAGAUAGUGGAAUGGUGGAUGGAGGAAGUAUUAAGUGAAGUUUCUACGGACUUAAUACCUACCCGGAUGGCGGAGUGUCAUCACGAAGGGGUAUCGGAUCGAACCUUGGUGAAGCAAGUGGAAAUUAGCUCUUGAGAGCUCCUGUAUCCUUAACAAGUGUGUUAUAUUAUCAAUUGUGAAUUACUUGAACUUUCUGACUUUAAUUCCUGUACAUAUGUUAUUGUUACUUGUUACUUGAACUAUGUGUUUGCAUGUGCAUGUUUUUUUUUCUUGGCCUCACGAGCAUUCGCUUACCCCGUUAGAUUUGUUUUCCUUAGCAGGACCAGACGGAAAGAUUUUGGAGAAAAGCAGACUAGAUUACUCUUUUGAUUAGUACCUUGGUUGUAAUUGUUUGGUCGACUUAUAACGGUUGUAUUUUGGGACUUGAUACACUGUUGAAUUUGGAAUUUUGAAUGUAUUUGUCUAGAUGACUUUUGGAGGUUGUAUAUUUUGGGAAUGAGAUGUACUUUUGGUAUCUUGUAAAAUAAGAUUGAAUAUUUAUGUAUGAAAAUGGAUUCGUACCUUUAUUCCGACUUUCAUUAUUAGUAUUAGACUUUAAGUUUGGAUUGCAAUUGUCUCGAGUCCUGGCGAGAGUUGGGCAAGCGUCCCUCGGAUACCCUUGGGUUCGCCCUUGGGAGAAGUGGGGGCGUCACAGUUGGUAUCAGAUCUUAGGCUUCAGAUCUUCAUAGUGUAUCCUACGCUUAAAAGUUUAGGAUGGGGGACUGUGGAACUGAUUUGGAAGUUAAGUGACCGCUUGUAGGGAUGAAAAUUAGAACCUAGGUUUGAAUUAGUGGAUAAUUAGAAGUCUCGAUCUUAUAAGAGAUAUGUGAAAUAGUACGAAAUGAUCGGAUCUAGUUUAUUUAGUAUACUUGGAUCCAUCUAAGCUUUUAACUUUAAUUGUAAUUUAUGAAAUGUAACGAUGGUAUUGAGACGUCUCGGGGAUGCCUUCCGGUGAUCCGUUAUCGAGAAAGGCCUAGGGGAAAUUCAUUGGAGAUAUAAUCCAACUCGUUGAACUAGGAUCCCAUGUGAUUGCCAGAGGACUUGCUCGUACCCAAAUAACAGAGUGUUAACGGUGGUCGAUGACUAGAGAUGGCUAUCCGAGGAAACUAAGGUAGUUCGAGAGGAUAAUCGAGGACUGAGGGAAUGAUGACCAAGUGUGUUACCUUGGUCGAACAAGUGGUGAUGACAAGAUACUUAAUUAGGGAAAAUGAAGAAGAAAACUCCUAGUGCUGGAAAUGAAAAUGAUCUUACGGAAGUAGCAGAGACUUCUGGUUCCGCCAAUCACUAAACUAGUGAUUUAAACUAUUUUAAUAGCUUUUGCCAAGGAUAGUCGAGGUGGUGCUUGUUCAAAGGCCAUUGUAUUUGUUUAACCGUACUAUCUAACUUUUGAAGCAAUUGAACGUUACUUAUGAGAUACUUGACUUUAUUGUUUUAUGUGACAGCCCCACUUCCCCCUAAGACGAACCAAAGGGUUUGGCGGACCGCCUGCCCACCUCUCACCAGGACUCACUCAAAUACCGAAUACGCGUUUGAAGGCAAUAUUCGAUCUGAGAGUACAGUGACCUUGGAGAUUUGAGAACUCAUGCGUUAGUCUUAAAAUAGAUAUUUUUAUGAUUAAUUACCUUAGUAUUGGUUAGUUAUAUUAUCGUUACAAGAAUUUCUUAGAAAUUGCGCUUUAUCGCGUGCGAGUCGGAAGUUCGCGUUUUUACGCGUGCGACUAAUUGGAGGACUUUAAGAAAUUUAUUCUAGACUACUAAGACUGAAUAAUUAUAAUGUUAAAGGAAGUACAUUAGAGGUAUAGUGCACACGUGAAACAAACCUGAGAGAAAACGGACACAAAACGCGCGCGUGCGCGCACUAUUAAGAGUUGACUUUUGGCCCAACACCUAUACCUAUUAUUACAUUCUUCCACUCCAAGUUUUAGCACACAAAACCUCUCUUUUCUCUCUCAUCUUGGCCGGCCAUAACAGCAAGAAAAGAAGGAAGAAAAGAAGGAAGAAAAGCUCUCCAUCAUCUUGCAUUAUUCUUGCUCCAAAUCAUCUCCAACUUUGCAACUAAUCACAAAACCACUUGGAGAUUCACUUGAGCUUGGAAGGAAGCAUCAUCUCACAGUUUUUCUUGGGCUUUAGAAGUGCAAAAUUUGUGAUUUUACUCCAAAGUGUAGGAGAUAAUCAUCUGAUCACUUAAUCUUAACUUUAGUGGGAUUAUUUUUGCUAGGAAGCUUGUAGCUUCAUGGUUAUUGUUGUGGUUUGAGUUUAAAUGUUGGAGUGGGCUCUAUGAAAUCCCACAAUGGAUAUAUUGGACUGAUAUGGUGAUAAUGAAUGUUGUUUGAGGUAAUUAUAUGUUAAACAAGAUGAUUUUUGGGUAGGAAAGUGAAAAGGAAACCGAUGGAAGUUGAUGUUAGGUAUGAACGAAUCUGUCCUAUUUUUGCAGUGGUUUGAUUUCGAAUUUUUUAUGCUCAAUUGACCUUAAAACUGAUGUAUAUAUGUUGUGUGUGGUGUGUAUAAAGUUUCUACCAAAAAUCAUUUGGAUUGGUUGGAUAAAAAUUGAAUUUUGGCAAGAACAAAAUCUGGAAAACGUGUAACAGUGGUCCUCUGGCAGUGUUCUUUGAACAAACAUAUCUCUCUGUCCGGAUGUCGGAAUUGAGUACCGUCAGUGGCAUUCAAAACUAGACAUCCGUAUUUUUCUAACGAUGCAUCAUGGACCUUCUAAUUCGAAGUGACUCAUCUGUAGUGACUGAUCAAAGUCGGCUACCCUGUUCUGUCAGUCCAAACGAGAGGAAGUUAGAAAUUGCAACUUGUGGCUCCAUUUUCUCUUCUUUAAAAACUGAAUUUCAAAAUGAUUUGUUCAGAAGAAAUGUAGCCUUUUGAAUCUAGUUUUCAACGCCAUUGUCCAUUCUCAAUUCCAAUUUUUAUUGAGUGAGAUAUGGUGCAAUUUGUAAACUGCAGCAAAUCUGGAAAACCCUCUUUUCAUGCUGACCGACUGGUUUGGUUGUUUGUGAGAGCUUUUAUUUUGAGAUUUUGAUGUCAACCAACUAAAAAUUGCUUAUGAAAUAUUUCUUGGACCUUGGUUUCACAAAUGACCCAAAAAUUGGACUGAUUUCAUGAUACAAAGUGUUUAAAAAGGGAAGAGAAGCUUGAGUUGGCAGAUUUGUUUUGAAAAUUCCACAAACUUCACUUGUCUUGUUAACUGCCUUUCCACUUGAGUUUUUGUGUGCAAUUUGGUAGAGAUAUAGUUCAUAUAGGGAAGAUUUAGUGUACCAAAUUUGGUGUAUUUUCAAUGCCCAUUCGAUGGCCAAAUAAUACUUCAAAGAUAGCCUUUCAAAUCUGGAAAAUGUUCAAUUAGUCCUCAUUUUUAGCUAAAUUUGAGCUGCUAUAUAUGGAUGCUCAAAACUUCAAUUCUAGUUUCUCUUGUUGUGUUUUAAACCUUGCUUGGAAUUCUAAUUGAGUUACAAAUUUUAGAGGCUAGCUCACUUUCUGUGAAUUUUGCCGAAUUUCCAAAGUUUGCCGAAAAAUAAGACUAAAACUGUCCUGUGUGCCUAUAGUCAGCCACUUUGAGCUAAAAUUUGAAUGCCUUCCGUUUAGAAUCUUGGAAGAGUGUCUUCUAGGAACUUUUAGUACUUUGAAUCAAGUUUCCAACGGUGCCAAGUUUUCCAAUUUUGGACCUAUUGAGUGCAAAUCUGAUUUUUCUAAGUUUGACACGCAAAGCUGAAAUUUGCCGAUUUCUUAGAAAAUGAAAUUUUGAGAACUCGUUAUUCUUUCUUGAUGUUAAUUGAUCGAUUUAAACUCGAUUUCAUGAAGGAAAUCAGUUUUUCUUGUGUUAUUAAGCCAUCACUUUUGAACUUCGAUUUUCGAGAAAAAUAGAUUCUCUUUUGAGACUUUGGUUUAAUCUAAACAAGUGGAUAUUCUUUCUCGUGUGUUACGUGGUAGUGGGUUUACGUGAGUAAUGUAUGAUCACUAUUUCUUCAGGUGCUCAAGCGAGUCUUGAAGAGAAUCCCGGAGGGGACAACUAAAGACUUUACUCGCUCAAUUACUUUUGAAUUGGUGAGCGUCAAGUGCAUGACUUGUUGUGUUUACUUGAUUUAUCUGCUUAUAUACGUGAAUAUCACUUGGUGAGACGAGUGUGUACUUUAUCGCACUCACUCUCCUUUACUCAAACUUUACUUGCAUUAAACUUGAUUUUCAAAGUCGAUUGGAGUGAAUCUCGUCAGCAAAAUAUACUCAUUUACGUGUGCAUGUCGUGUUGUCGUGCGUGUCGUGUUGUCGAGUGGAGUGAACCUCCUCGACUUAUGGGGACGCCCAAAUCUCAUUGGCCAAUCUUGCGACUCGAGCCGACAUGGGCUUGGUCGAGAAACUUGAUGAACCAUAGGAUUAUUACAAAACACAACUUGAUCUUUUAAGAUCUUAUUCGGCAUACUCGUGGAGUAUCACCCUUUUCGUGCGUGUUCUUAAAAAUAAAACUUGAUCUCUUGAGAUCUUGUUCGGCAUACUCGUAUAUAUCGCCCUUUUUGUGCGUGUUUGGUUACGGAUCCGAGAGAGUGGAAUGGUGGAUGGAGGAAGUAUUAAGUGAAGUUUCUACGGACUUAAUACCUACCCGGAUGGCGGAGUGUCAUCACGAGGGGUAUCGCAUCGAACCUUGGCGAAGCAAGUGGAAAUUAGCUCUUGAGAGCUCCUGUAUCCUUAACAAGUGUGUUAUAUUAUCAAUUGUGAAUUACUUGAACUUUCUGACUUUAAUUCCUGUACAUAUGUUAUUGUUACUUGUUACUUGAACUAUGUGUUUGCAUGUGCAUGUUUUUUUUUCUUGGCCUCACGGCAUUCGCUUACCCCGUUAGAUUUGUUUUCCUUAGCAGGACCAGACGGAAAGAUUUUGGAGAAAAGCAGACUAGAUUACUCUUUUGAUUAGUACCUUGGUUGUAAUUGUUUGGUCGACUUAUAAUGGUUGUAUUUUGGGACUUGAUACACUGUUGAAUUUGGAAUUUUGAAUGUAUUUGUCUAGAUGACUUUUGGAGGUUGUAUAUUUUGGGAAUGAGAUGUACUUUUGGUAUCUUGUAAAAUAAGAUUGAAUAUUUAUGUAUGAAAAUGGAUUCGUACCUUUAUUCCGACUUUCAUUAUUAGUAUUAGACUUUAAGUUUGGAUUGCAAUUGUCUCGAGUCCUGGCGAGAGUUGGGCAAGCGUCCCUCGGAUACCCUUGGGUUCGCCCUUGGGAGAAGUGGGGGCGUCACAGUUGGUAUCAGAGCUUAGGCUUCAGAUCUUCGUAGUGUAUCCUACGCUUAAAAUUUAGGAUGGGGGACUGUGGAACUGAUUUGGAAGUUAAGUGACCACUUGUAGGGAUGAAAAUUAGAACCUAGGUUUGAAUUAGUGGAUAAUUAGGAGUCUCGAUCUUAUAAGAGAUAUGUGAAAUAGUACGAAAUGAUCGGAUCUAGUUUAUUUAGUAUACUUGGAUCCAUCUAAGCUUUUAACUUUAAUUGUAAUUUAUGGAAGGUAACGAUGGUAUUGAGCCGUCUUGGGGAUGCCUUCCGGUGAUCGCGUUAUCGAAAAAGGCCUAGGGGAAAUUCAUUGGAGAUAUAAUCCAACUCGUUGAACUAGGAUUCCAUGUGAUUGCCAGAGGACUUGCUCGUACCCAAAUAACAGAGUGUUAACGGUGGUCGAUGACUAGAGAUGGCUAUCCGAGGAAACUAAGGUAGUUCGAGAGGAUAAUCGAGGACUGAGGGAAUGAUGACCAAGUGUGUUACCGUGGUCGAACAAGUGGUGAUGACAAGAUACUUAAUUAGGGAAAAUGAAGAAGAAAACUCCUAGUGCUGGAAAUGAAAAUGAUCUUACGGAAGUAGCAGAGACUUCUGGUUCCGCCAAUCACUAAACUAGUGAUUUAAACUAUUUUAAUAGCUUUUGCCAAGGAUAGUCGAGGUGGUGCUUGUUCAAAGGCCAUUGUAUUUGUUUAACCGUACUAUCUAACUUUUGAAGCAAUUGAACGUUACUUAUGAGAUACUUGACUUUAUUGCUUUAUGUGACAGCCCCACUUCCCCCUAAGACGAACCAAAGGGUUGUGGCGGACCGCCUGCCCACCUCUCACCAGGACUCACUCAAACUCUUCAAAAGAAAUAAGAAAUAACUGUAAGAAUAAGAAAAGAACAAUUUCCAAACUUGAAACGCAUACUUACAUUCAUUUCUAUCUCAAAAUAAUAUACAAUCCCAAAGAAAACGAAAGUUCUCAGUUCUUAAUACAUCCAACCCUAUUCAAGCACUAGCAUGAGAAAAUCAACAAAAUGAAAUUCAAAAGCACGAGUCCAGACUAGUCUGCACAGAUCUCAAGCCCUCGCUCGUAACCCCUGUAAGGAAAACAAAGCUAACGGAAUUAGCCAAAAGCUCAGUGAGGUUCCAGACACCUAAUCAACUUAAACAAGGACAUUAAUCAUGUAAUAACAAGUAAUCCAGGAAACAUUUACAAUUUGAAACAAUGAUAACACAUUCAUUAAAAGGAUACAUGCUCACAUAGAGCCUUUCGUUCUUUCAUUCACCUUUCAUUUCCUUAUUCCUCCAAUCAUUUUAAAAUGCAUUUUGUAGGUGAAACCCUCCAUUGACAUUGUCACUCGUUCAUUCUUUUCAUUCUUCCCAUUUCUGAUAUUGGCCAGACUCCACCGACAACGGCCAGACUCACACCCGACAACGUGGUAAUACUCGAGUAUAUCAAACUUUCACCCAGGGUCACCAAAUCGCCGACCGAAUCCGCUUCUGGCUUGAGUCGACUGGCAACGAAGGGCAAGGGUCCAGUUCAGCCAAAGGCUUACAUUCAUACACAACUAACAUUUAAUCACUUAAACAUUGAAAAUUUCACAUUUCAUUUAGGUCGAGUGCGAUAAAGUACACACUUGCCUAGCAAAAUUCAUUUUUCACAAACAUUUAUCAUUUAAUCAAAUAUCCACAACAAAUCAUAUAGUUAAUGGAAACAUAACAAACAAAGAACACUCAUCUAUUUAAGUAAAAUAACGUCCAAAGUAUCCUUUCGGAUAAUACCCUCAAUCACCAAGAAACCUUAAUAAUAACCAAGGGAAAAUAUUACGGUUAAACCAUCCAAAGUUUAGAUGAACCAAAGAAAAUCGAAUAACUACUAGUACAAAGUAUAAAUAUGGUUUUGGAAGUGAAAAGAGUACAUUUAAACCAAAGGACAUGAGUAAAAUAUUUGUAAAACUUAUGCUCGCUCAUAAACCUUUGAAAUCUCCAUUUGAGUCGAAGUAGCAAAGAAAACGUAUUUCUAUUAGUCGUAAAUUUCAUUUUUCAAGGGUACAAGUUUCGGCCGAAUUCUAACUUAUAUACUCGAUAAAAGAAGACGCAAAUAUCCUAGAUGGUUCAAAUGGUAUUCGUCCUCAAAUCCUUACCUAGUCCUCGAGUGCAAAUUUGGGCAGCACGCCCUUUAUAUUUACCUAUUUUCCAGCAAUUUAUGACUUCAUUCUUUUCCUCAAUCAGUCCCAAAGUCACACACAAAGAGUCUCAUUACAAUAGCCAUUCAAUAGACUCAACGUCAUACAAUUACAAAACCAUGCUACAGAAAUGACCGGAAAUAAGGUUUAAGGCAAAAAAGUAAAAAAAUAGGUUUGACGUCUCUUAGCGUAUCAGUCACAACCGAAGCUACGAUUGGGGUCCAAUUUAUACCAUUUUGAAUCUAAGACAAAGGGAUACAACUUUGAUGAAGACCACUCAAUCCAGUUCAUAGUGUAUCCAAGUCAAAUUCAUCGUUUACAGAACCAGAAUUUCAACGUCAGGCUGGUUAACAGCACUAAGGGGUUUUUAGAGGCGUUGGAAAGCUAAAACAUAGCACUACAACUUUUAUGUUUUGGUCAAAUGCUAAUUCAAUACAGAUCAAGGUGAAAAACGCGGCCAGAAUGGUGAAAUGUCAAAACCGUCCACAGAGCUCUACCUAUGGCAGUCAAGGGUAUUUUUGUCUUUCAUAUCCUACAGUGCUCGGAUUGAGCUGAAAUUUUGUAGGCAGCUAUAAAACAUCAUUUCCUACAAACUUUCAUGUUUUGACCUAAGGCUGAUUCAGCCUCUAGCAUGGACUAAAAGACACGGUCAAAAACAGGACAAUUUCAGCAUUAAAACUGGAAAUCAAUUCUUACAAAUCACCUUUCUCGCUGACAGAAAUUUUUACAAACCCAACAAUUUUUAACCAUGAAUUCACUUCCAUAGACUAAGCAUAAGUAUUACCACAACAUGAACACUAAGAACAACCAUCCAUUCCAACAACCAAAGCUAAAAAUUGCACUAGAAGUCUGGAAUUUGCUAUAACCACAACUAAAAUCAUGAAAUCUACCUAAACAAGCUAUAACUUUCACUUGUAAACCAAUAAAGAACACAAACAUGAACUAAUACCAACCUUACCUAGCAUUGAGAAGCACAACAACCCCUAGGAAGCUUGAACCACCAAAACACUCCACUCCAAGAUAGCAAUCCACCUUCCUAAGCAAUUUCUAUGGAUUAUUUGGUGAAGCUAUCGGUUAGUUUGCAAGAUUGAGCAAGAAAUCAAGAAACCAAAGUUGAAACUUUUCCUCUUGAACCUCCCAUAGAGCUCUCGGCCCUCUCUUCUUUUUUCCUCUUAAUUUUUGGCUUUGUUCAUUUACUAACAUAGAAGAUAUUUAAGCCAAUGGUCAACUUAGACUUUUUCUCCACCAAUAAAAUUUAAGUUUAGGAAGAUCCUAGAAGCUUUGAUUUACUAAAAAUGCUUUGCUAAUACUCACACUAUGACCCCAACUUCUUUUAAUAUUUCCAAUUAACUCCAUAGAUCACUAAUUUAAUGAAAUCCACAAGCUUAAUUACACCUCAUUAAUUUACUAACCACCCAACCAUUAUAAUUACCUGUAAUAAAAUAUGCAUUGUCAUACAUAAACUCAAUUACAUAAUAACCUUUUAGUCACAAGUAAAACUAGGGUUUUCAUUUAAAUUUAAAGUGUCCAAUUAAAAUAAAUAAUGUUUUUAAAAUAAAACAAAAGAAAUAAAUCAAAAUUUUAAAAGAACGAGGGAAAAACAUUGUUCUAAAAUUCGGGGUAUCACAAUCUCCCCUCCUUAAAAGAAUUUCGUCCUCGAAAUUCAUACAUUUAUUCAUAAAUUCAUAUAUUUAUUCGUAAAUAAGUAUAAGCAAAAUAAAAUAGCUAUAAGGUUCAAUAAAAGCAUUUUCAAAUCACAAAACAAAAAUUAAUAAAACACAUUAAAAAUAACAUACUUUCUUUAUAUACAUAUCAUAGCAAUUCACACAUCCUACGGUACAUUAAUCCUAGGUAUUGCUCAGGCACUAUACUUAGUCAAAACUUGACGAAGUACAACCAAGUACGUACGCGUGAAUAAUCAGGGUCCCCAAUCUCACUAAUAUCUUCAAUAUAUCCUAAGUCCAAAUUAUUCGUAUUCCCCGUGCCUUGGUUUUCACCAUCCAAACUUAUCCUAAUAGUACUCGAGAUAUCGAUUUAUCAUAAAGGUAUCACUCUUUGGUACUCGAGUACAAGAAUCCAAAAAUGUGAUAAUUCACCACCCGAACUGGCCAGGUUCAAGAGGAAAUCAACCACUUUGAGAUUCCUGCCCAAUGUAACGCCCCCACUUCUCCUUAAGGCGAACCAAAGGGUAUCCGCGGGACGCCUGCCCAACUCUCGCCAGGACUCGCUACAAUCCACAAUUCAAAAGUUCGGAAUGUUUCAAAUAACUUCAAUACAUAAUUAAAGUACUCCAAAAUAUCUCACACUUACAAUUAGUUAGCUUUCAAGCUUAAAUACAAUCCAACAGAAUAUAUACUAUAGCCAUCAGCUAUAAUACAACUUAAAGUCUUCAAAAGAAAACAAUAUAAUACUAUUCACGAGCACUCUUGGUCUCGAACCCUGUUAAGGAAAACAAAAAUGUGGAAUGAGCUACAUAGUCCAGUGAGGUUCCAAGACACUCUAGCAGUUCUAAUAAAUCAAACAAGUUAGGCAUGAUACAUAUAUGGUUCACGAUUGUACAUUGGUACAUUAACACGAGACAGUUAUCAUUAUGCAAAAUAAACACACAUUGAAGGAUACGGUGUUCCAGUGGAACCAUUUCGGUCAACUGCACCUUACAACUUCAGAACCCCUCGGUUUGUCUGGCCAUCACCUUAUCCCUCCAGUGGCAGUACUCGAGUAUACCGAAACGGUGUCCCAGGGUUCCAAUCUACUCGACCGAGCCCAGUCCUGGCUCGAGUAGGUCAGUAACCAAGGGCAGGGCCUAGUUCAGCUUAGAGCUUACAACAUGCACAAGUAAUCAAGUAAAACGGUAAACGGUAAAUGGUAAACGGUAAUAGUUCUCGGUUAACGGUAAAAAUUUGUCAUUUUAUUAGGUCGAGUGAGAUAAAAUACACACUCGCCUUAAAAUGGUGGACAAUUUCAUAUGAGCAAUUAUCAGUAACAUUUAACACGUAAACACGUAAGUAAUAUGCAGUAAUUUCAUAUGGACAAGUAAUUUACGGUAAUCAAGUAAACAGGUAAUCAAAUAGUAAGGUAAUCAAGUAAGCAGGUAAUCACGUAGGUAGGUAAUCAAAUAGGUUGGUAAACGGUAAAUAAUUACGAUUAACGGUUAACGGUUAACGGUAAGUAAUUACGGUUAAUUGGCAGAUAUUUGCCAUUUUAAUAGGCCGCCAUUGGCCAUUUCCCACUUUUACCACUUAAGAGUCGAGGAGAUUCACUCCAGCCGACUUAUGCAGCCAUAGCAUAAUUAAUCAUUUAAACACUUCACAUAAAUAUGCAAUUCAAGUAUUUCAUGUCGAGUAAUUCAAGUAUACCUUACUUAAAUAUGCAUGAGUGUGGUAAAUACUUAACAUGUAGCACUUAACACUUAAUGAUCAUGGAAUAAGCAUGUCAUAGACUUAUUCAAAUUACGUACUCCUAUAUGGAACACUCACCUAGUCAAAACAAGUGAGUAAGUGCUCAAACAAGUGUUUAGGCGUCCGCUUCGAAUUCCUCUUGAAGGUCCCCUUGAGCGCCUGAGCAAACAAUAAUCAACUUCACUCACAAUCAUGCAUUUAUCAAGAAGGGAUGUACACUCAUCUAGACUAAAUCAAAGUCCUAAAAGAGAGCUUCAAUUCCCUUAACUUGAGGUUCACGAGUGAAGUUUUAAAGUCCAAAGAGAGAGACUAGUAUUUCCAUGAAAUCGAGUUCAAAACGUUCAGUCGAUAUCGAGAAAAGAAGUCAAGUUUCCAAAAUUUCAUUUUCUAAGAAAUUGGCAAAUUUCAGCUUUGUGUGUCAAAUUUAGAAAAAUCAUAUCUUGUACUCCGUAGGUCCAAAAUUGGAAAGCUUGUACCGUUGGAAACUAGUUCCAAUGUACUAAAAGUUCCUAGAAGACACUUUUCCAUGAUUCCAAUUGGAAGACAUUCAAAAUUUGGCUCAAAGUUGCUGUUUUGAGUCAUUAAGACAGUUUUGGGGUUGGUUUUUAGCCAAUUUUGAAAAUCCGGCAAAAUUCACAGAAUGUGAACUAGCCUCUGAAAUUUGGAACUCAAUUAGAGUUAUAAUCAAAGUUUAAAACACAAGAAAUAGAACUAAAAUCGGAGUUUUGAGCAUCAAGAUAUAGCAGCUCAAAGUUGGUUAAAAAUGAAGACCGUUGGCCAAUUUUCCAGAUUUGAAGAACAGAUUUGGGGCAUUAUUUGGUCAUUGAGUUGGCAUUGAAAAUACACCAAAUUUGGUACACUAAAUCUUCCAUAUGUGAAAUAUAUCUCUACCAAAUUUCACACAAAAAUUCACGUGGAAAGGCAGUUAAAAAAACUACUAAAGUUUGUGAAACUUUCAAAGCAAUUCUGCCAACUCAAGUUUCUUUUUCCUUUUAAAAGUUUUGUCUCACACAAAUCAACCUUAAUUAACUCAAAUGUUGAAACCAAUGUUCCAUAAACAUCCAAUAAGAAAUUUAGAGGCAAUUGACAUCAAAGUUUUUGAAACAAAACAUUCCAAACAAGUUGGACCAUUCGGCCGAGAGAAAGGAAGAGUUUUCCAGAUUUGAAUAGCAAACUUUGGCACAUCAUUUGUAUAUAGAAAUGGUCUUUGAUGGACACCAAAAUUGGUACAAUUCUACUUCCAUAUGAGGAAUACUCCUCUAUCAAAUUGCACUUUAAAAUUCACAUGGGAAGGUAGUUUACUAAACUUCCAAAAUUCAAGAAAAUCUCAAGACCAAUCUGUCUUUUGCUUUCUUCUUCUCUUUCAAACAUUUUGCUCAAUGAAAACGAUUCAAAUCUGGUCCAUUUGUGAAACAAAAGUCUGAGAAACAUCUAAUAUACAUUUGGUAAGUGAUUGACACCAAAAUUUUCAAAAUAACAAGUCCCAAACUCAGUCCAAAAUGAGGGUUUUCAAGCAAUGAUGUAGGUCUGUAAUUUGGCCAUAAUUCACUCAAUUCAACUCGGAAUUGAGCGUGGUUGGUGGAUUUGAAAACUAAAUUCAUAAGGCUACAAUUUCUUAGAAGGAAGCAUUUUAAAAUUCUGUCCAGAACUAGCUCAUAUUUGAGCAUCAAGUCGCAGCUUAAAACAGGGCUUCCAGUACAGACGAGAAAUAGAACAGUCAAAUGUACAAGGUUCGUACGGCUCGCUCAAGUGGAAUCAGGGAAUGAAUCAUGUACCAUUGGGAAACUGGAAAUGUCUAGUUUCUACUGCCGCAAACGGCACUCGAUUUCGACGUCGGAGCAAAGAGUUAUGGUCGAAACAAAAUCACUGCCAGAGUAAUACGGGACACAAUUCGAGUUUUGGUAAAAUUUCGAAAUCUCAACAUUUGCUCAUCCAAAUCACGUAAUUUUUUGUGAAAACUUCCCUCACAACCUAUAUUACACAUCUACAUCAAAAACAAGUCAAUUGGACCACAAAAAGUGCACUAAAUGGGCACGAACAAAACAGGGGCAGAACCGUCACUUUUUCUCAACUCACUUCCUUUAAGUUUUCUUUCACAACACAACUUAUUUUCACUAGAUUAAGCACUAAUCCAACAUAAAUGACACCAAAUGUCAUCAAAUCAGUCCAUCAAGCCAUUGUGGGAUUUCAUAGAGCCCACUCACAAGAUUUCCAAUAAUAUAGAGCUACCCACAUGCAUAUAUAAGCUUCUAAGUGUAAUUUAACUCUCUAGAACUAAGAUUUAAAGGUUGGAUGAUUUACUACCUUCUUAGAUGUUGAAGACCAGAAUUUCGGCCACUUAAAAGCUCCAAGAAACCGUGAGAUGAAGCCUCUUCUUCUAGCUUAAGUGGAUCUCCAAGAAAUUUUGAGGUUGGAGGUAAAAUUUGAGAUGAUUUGGAGUAGGAUUUGAGGUAGAAAUGGAAGAAGCUUUUCUUCUUCUUCCUCUUGAUGUUCCAGCCGAAAAUGAGGGAGUGAGGAGACAGAGAUGAGGGUUUGUUUGGGUAAGGAAGCUUGGAGAGAAAAAAUGAAAUAGUGGCAUAGGUGUUGGGCCAAAAAGUCAACUCUCAAAGGUGUCGCGCGCGCAUGUUUCAUGUCCGUUUCCUCUCGGGUUUGUUUCACUUGUGUACUAAACAUCUAAUGCACUUCCUUUAUCACUAUUAUUAUUCACUCUUAAUAGUUUCAAAAUAAAGGUCUAAUAUCCCUUAAAUAAUUGCGCGCGCGAAAACGCGAACUUCCAAUUUGUGCGCGAUAAAGUAAAAUUUCUAAGAAUGUCUUAUAACGAUAGCAUAAAUAACUAAUACUUGGGUACUUAAACAUAAAAAUACCUAUUUUAAGACUAAUGUAUAAGUCUUCAAUUUCCAAGCUCAUUGCACCCUCGAAUCAAUUAUUACCUCCAAACGCGAAUUCACUAUUCUCACUAAACGAGUUUUCAAAAAUUAAAUUUGUAACAAGUCAUUUUAAAAAUACAUGUAAGCCAUAAUUUUAUGUAUUUGGGUCUAAAAAGGUUGAAAUAAAAUAUUCAAAGAAAACGGGUGAGUAAAUAAUUAAUUAAGCCAAUAAACUAAAAUAAAAAUAAGAAAAAUUCUGGUCCUCACACCCAACAUACAUAUCUAAGAUCCCCAACAAUAGACAUUUGUUCCACACUUAACAAGCCAAUCCCCACAGUCCGAGAACCCUCUCAUGGCAUGAGCUCGAUAGGAGCUCUGAUACCACCUAUGACAACCCCACUUCCCCCUAAGGCGAACCAAAGGGUUCAGCGGACCGCCUACCCAACUCUCGACAGGACUCACUCAAACUCUUCAAAAGAAAUAAGAAAUAACCGCAAGGAUAAGAAAAAAACAAUUUCCAAACUUGAAACGCAUACUUACAUUCAUUUCCAUUUCAAAAUAAUAUACAAUCCCAAAGAAAACGAAAGUUCUCAGUUCUUAAUACAUCCAACCCUAUUCAAGCACUAGCGUGAGAAAAUCAACAAAAUAAAAUUGAAAAGAACUAGUCCAGACUAGUCUGCACAGAUCUCACGCCCUCGCUCGUAACCCCUGUAAGGAAAACAAAGCUAACGGAAUGAGUUAAAAGUUCAAUGUGGUUCCAGACACAUAAUCAACUUAAACAAGGACAUUAAUCAUGUAAUAACAAGUAAUCCAGGAAACAUUUACAAUAUGAAUCAAUGAUAACACAUUCAUUAAAAGGAUACAUGCUCACAUAGAGCCUUUCGUUCUUUCAUUCACCUUUCAUUUCCUUAUUCCUCCAAUCAUUUUAAAAUGCAUUUUGUAAGUGAAAAUCCCUCCAUUGACAUUGUCACUCGUUCAUUCAUUUCAUUCUUCCCCCUUCUGGACAUUGGCUAGACUCUACCCGACAACAUGGUAAUACUCGAGUAUACCAAACUUUCACCCAGGGUCACCAAAUCGCCCGACCGAGUCCGCUUCUGGCUCGAAUCGACUGGCAACGAAGGGCAAGGGCCCAGUUCAGCCAAAAGGCUUAUAUUCAUGCACAACUAACAUUUAAUCGCUUAAACAUUGAAAAUUUCACAUUUCAUUUAGGUCGAGUACGAUAAAGUACACACUCGCCUAGCAAAAUUCAUUUUUCACAAACAUUUAUCAUUUAAUCAAAUAUCCACAACAAAUCAUAUAGUUAAUGGAAACAUAACAAACAAAGAACACUCACCUAUUUAAGCAAAAUAACGUCCAAAGUAUCCUUCCGGAUAAUACCCUCAAUCACCAAGGAACCCUAAUAAUAACCAAUGAAAAAUAUUACGGUUAAACCAUCCAAAAUUUAGGUGAACCAAAGAAAAUCCGAAUAACUACUAGUACAAAGUAUAAAUAUGGUUUUGGAAGUGAAAAGAGUACAUUUAAACCAAAGGACAUGAGUAAAAUAUUUGUAAAACUUAUGUUCGCUCGUAAACCUUUGAAAUCUCCAUUUGAGUCGAAGUGACAAAGAAAACGUAUUUCUAUUAGUCGUAAAUUUCAUUUUUCCAAGGGUACAAGUUUCUGCCAAAUUCUUACUUAUAUACCUCGAUAAAGAAGACGCAAAUAUCCUAGAUGGUUCAAAUGGCAUUCGUCGCAAAUAUCCUAGAUGGUUCAAAUGGUAUUCGUCCUCAAAUCCUUACCUAGUCCUCGAGUGCAAAUUUGGGCAGCACGCCCUUUAUAUUUACCUAUUUUCCAGCCAUAUAUGGCUUCAUUCUUUUCCUUAAUCAGUCCCAAAGUCACACACAAAGAGUCUCAUUACAAUAGCCAUUCAAUAGGCUCAACAUCAUACAAUUACAAACCAUGCUACAGAAAUGACCGGAAAUAAGGUUUAAGGCAAAAAGUAAAAAAACAGGUUCGACGUCUCUUAGCGUAUCGGUCACAACCGAAGCUACGCUUAUCGGAUUGGGGUGAAAUUUAUACCAUUUUGAAUCUAAGACAAAGGGAUACAAAUUUGAUGAAGACCACUCAAUCCAGUUCAUAGUGUAUCCAAGUCAAAUUCAUCAUUUACAGAACCAGAAUUUCACCGUCAGGCUGGUUAACAGCAUUACGUUCAACUGACAAUAACUCAGGCUACAAAAGUUUGAUUGAGACGUUUUUAGAGGCGUUGGAAAGCUAAAACAUAGUACUACAACUUUUGUGUUUUGGCCAAAUGCUAAUUCAAUACAAAUCAAGGUGAAAAAUGCGGCCAGAAUGGUGAAAUGUCAAAACCGUCCACAGAGCUCUACCUAUGGCAGUCAAGGGUAUUUUGUCUUUCACAUGGUACAGUGCUUGGAUUGAGCUGAAAUUUUGUAGACAAUUAUAAAAUAUCGUUUCCUACAACUUUCAUGUUUUGACCUAAGGCUGAUUCAGCCUCUAACAUGGAGUAAAAGACACGGUUAGAAACAGGACAAUUUCAGCAUUAAAACUGGAAAUCAAUUCUUACAAAUCACCUUUCUUGCUGACCGAAAUUUUUACAAACCAACAAUUUUUAACCAUGAAUUCACUUCCAUACACUAAGCAUAAGCAUUACCACAACAUGAACACCAAGAACAACCAUCCAUUUCAACAACCAAAGCUGCAAAUUACACUAGAAGUCUGGAAUUUACUAUAACCACAACUAAAAUCAUGAAAUCUACCUAAACAAGCUAUAACUUUCACUUGUAAACCAAUAAAGAACACAAACAUGAACUAAUACCAACCUUACCUAGCAUUGGAGAAGCACAACAACCCCUAGGAAGCUUGAACCACCAAAACACUCCACUCCAAGAUAGCAAUCCACCUUCCUAAGCAAUUUCUAUGGAUUAUUUGGUGAAGCUAUCGGUUAGUUUGCAAGAUUGAGCAAGAAAUCAAGAAACCAAAGUUGAAACUUUUCCUCUUGAACCUCCCAUAGAGCUCUCGGCCCUCUCUCUUUUUUUCCUCUUAAUUUUUGGCUUUGUUUUUCAUUUACUAACAAUAGAAGAUAUUUAAGUCAAUGGUCAACUUAGACUUUUUCUCCACCAAUCAAAUUUAAGCUUAGGAAGAUCCUAGAAGCUUUGAUGUUACUAAAAAUCUUGCUUUGCUAAUACUCACACUAUGACCCCAACUUCUUUUAAUCUUUCCAAUUAACUCCAUAGAUCACUAACUUAAUGAAAUCCACAAGCUUAAUUACACCUCAUUAAUCUACUAACCACCCAACCAUUAUAAUUACCUAUAAUAAAUUAUGCAUUGUCAUACAUAAACUCAAUUACAUAAUAACCUUUUAGUCACAAGUAAAACUAGUGUUUUAAUUUAAAUUUAAAGUGUCCAAUUAAAAAAAAUAAUGUUUUUAAAAUAAAAACAAAAGAAAUAAAUAGAAAUUUUAAAAGAACGAGGGAAAAACAUUGUCCUAAAAUUCGGGGUAUCACACUUUAUGACUUCAAAUCUAUGAUUGGGUUGUACACAUUUGCGAUUAUUUCGGUGUCUUCCCUUUUCUUUUUGUUUUGCAUGAUCAAAAUGUCACUUUUCAAACUUCGUUUAUGUGCACUCAUUUUAAAUCAUGCCUUUAUAAAUGUUAAAUUUAUGAACGGCCAAAGAAGUGAAAAGGGACGAGGGCGAGGGGUUAAGCAACCCCAAGCUCAAGGGAUGUUUGGGAAACGGCAACUGGGUUGGAUCAAAACCCUAGAAAAUGAAGGAAAACAAUCACGUAGCUACUAUUGUUGACCAUAUGAUUGAUGUCUUAGCACGGUUAGUUGAGCACCAAAGCCCUAAACCAAUCAACUGACCUAGGAAUCGAGAGAGGUGUGAGGAUUGAACGAUUCUUGAAGUUCGCCCAUCUAAGCCUCAUGGAGGGCCUAACCUCAAAAUAAUAGAAUUGAUUUGAGGGAAUCAAAUAAGGCACUAGUGAGAGCAAGAGAUUAGGGUUUCUUCUCGAGUAAUAUUGUAACUGAGUAUUGGAGAGUGAAUUAGGGUUUGAAACUUUUAUGUUAAGAAAUAAGAUCUUCGUAUCUUGUUAUGUUUAUAAGUGAUGAUAGUAAUGUUGUGGAAACUCAAGAGCUCGUCCAUAUUAAGAAGACAAUAGUUAAGAACUAUAUUCUUGGGUAACCUAUAAGCAAAAGAAUGAAAGAGUAAUAUAGCCAAAAUUUUCAAUGUGAAUAGUUACUCAUUUUGAUCCUUGAUUUGCUUGCAGCAGGCUAGCAUUUGACUUAAACCAACCGUUAAGAUGACAAAUUUGGGAGAAAUGUGUAAGGAAGUGGACCUUCUUCGAAAGGAGGUAGAGUUUCAAAAGAAAUUGGCUGACUACUGGGCAAGAACGGUGGAAACAAGAAUAUGCAGAGAAAAUUGAGUUGCUACGUACGAACGUAGAACUGGAAAAGAAAUACAAAGGAAAUAUUUGAAAGAUUUAAUGAGCCUAACAAUUAAGGGACAUGAUAAAAUAUUUGGAAUAGAAGUUUGAGACUAUACAUAGACUCUCAAAUUUGAAUAAUGUGACCAUUAAGAAAAAAUACCCUUUUUCCUCAUAUGGAUGAAAAGUUGAUCAAUUGCAAGGACCGUAGUAUUAUUCAAGUUAGAUUUAAAAUAGAGUUGUUACCAAUUGAGGAUCCUAGAAACUGAUUUACUUAAGACCGCUUUCAAUUUAAGACAUGACAUUUUGAAUUCAAGUUACGCCGUUUGGGCUGACUAAUGCACUAGCAGCAAUUAUGGUCUUAACGCAUCAGGGUUUUAAGCCAUAGUUGGAUCAAUUUUUGGUGCCAUUUAUUGAUAGUAUAUUGGUAUACUCUAAGAUCCGAGGAAAUCAUGAAAGUGAGUUUUACAAAUCCUGAGAGAGCGCCAACUUUUGUUAAUUGCAAUAAAUAUGAGUUUUAGUUGAAAGAAGUACCCUUUCGAGGUUAUACAACAUCUAAGGAAGGAUUUCAAGAAUGAAAGAGUGUUUAACCGAGACACCUGUGUUAGCCUUACCGAGUAGAGGAGAUGGUUUUAAAAUUCAUACAAAUACUUCCAUGUGUGGUUUUAGAUGCAAUUAUAGGGUUACAUGGGAUACCUGUAAGUAUUGUGUUUGAUCGAGACCUCGGUUUAUUUCUCGGUUCUACCAGAAGAUGCAAGAAAUGCUAGGAACUAAAUUGAAUUUUAGCAUUUCCUACCACCACAAACUGAUGGAUAGUCAGAGAUGGCAAUUCAGAACCUUGAGGACAUGUUGGGAUCAUGUAUCUUGGAUUUUGGAGAAAGUAAUUGACAUUGGUGGAAUUUGUUUAGCUAAGGUUCUAAGUAACUAUGAUAUGACACACUCUUUUGAAAACCCUAAAUUCAUGAGUAAGAUAGACAUGAGGUCGAUUGAGUUAUCCUAUGACUUGGAAGUUAAAAUGCAUAUUGGAGAUCAAAGUUUGAUUUCUAAUUGGGUGGAAAGAAAUUAUGAGAUACGAGUUGGAAAGUGUAGAUUAUUGACUAAUCUGCUAAGCAUGACUACUAAGAGGUAUGAUAUUAUUCUAGGUGUGAAUUUCGAGAACGAAAUUCUUUUAAGGAGGGAAGGAUGUGAGGACCCGAAAAUUCUCUUAUUUUUAUCGUAAUUUACUGGCUUAUUUAAAUAUUUAUUCCCUCGUUUUCCCCGAAUAAUUUAUUUCAACCAUUUUGAAACCAUUUACAUGGAACUAUGACUUGCAUAUAUUUUUAAAAUGUCCCAUUAAUAAAUUUAGUUUUCGGAAGCUCGUAUAGUAAGAAAUAGCGAAUAUGCAUUUGGAGGCACUAUUCGAUCUGAGAGUACAGUGACCAUGGAGAUUUGAGGACUCAUGCAUUAGUUUUAAAAUAGAUAUUUUUAUGAUUAAUUACCCUAGAAUUAGUUAGUUAUAUUAUCGUUACAAGAAUUUCUUAGAAAUUGCGCUUUAUCGCCCGCGAGUCGAAAGUUCGCCUUUUCACGCGUGCGACUAAUUGGAGGUGUGAGGACUCACAAAAUUUACCUAUUUAAUUUCCUAUUUCAAGCUUAUUUAAAUAUUUAUUUGACCAAUUGCCCCGAAUAUUAUUUUCUAAUCUCUUUGGACCUAAUUACAUGAAUCUAUAACUUAAUUAUAUUUUUAAAGUGACUUGUUUCAAAAUUUAAUAUUUGGAACCUCGUUAAGUUAGAAUGGUGAAUGCGCGUUUGGAAGCAAUAACCGAUUUGAGGAUAUUAUAGGCUUGAAAAAUUGGAGACAUGUACAUUAGUCUUAAAAUAGGAAUUUUUAUGUUUAAGUGUUCAAAUGUUAGUUAGUUAUAUUAUCGUUAUAAGAAUUUCUCGGAAGGUUCACUUUAUCGCGCUUAAAUCAGAAGUACGCAUUUUUACACGCGCGAUUUAAUUGAGGGACUUUAGACCAUUAUUUUAGACUAUUAAGAUUGAAUAAUAUUAAUACGAAUACAAGUGCAUUAGAGGUUUAGUGCACUAGUGAAAUAAACUCGAGAGGAAUCGAGCACGAAACGCGCGCGAACGCGCACUGUUGAAGGGUUGACUUUUGGACAAAUUGUGGCCACACCUUUUAGCUUCUCUUGGAAGCUUCAUUUGCAUUGGACAUUCUCUCUCUCCAGCUCCAAACAGUCAUGCAUCCUCAAGAGCAAAGAACCAAACUUGCUUCAUCAAUUUCUUCUUCAUUUCUUGCACCAAUCCUUCACCAUUUCACACCAAAAUUUGACAACACUUAGCUAAUCACUUGGUGAACCACUCAAGCUACAAAAAGGGGCUGCUUUCCACGGUUUUCUUGACCAUUUUUGGACUGAAAUUUCUGCCUUGGUUCAUCUAAACAAGUAGGUGAUGAUCAACCUUGAAAAUCUUGAUUUAUGGAAGUUCUAUUGCACAUAUAAGCUCAUGCAUGCAUGUGGGUAGCUUUAUUUAUGUUGGAAAGUUGUUGUGUGGGCUCUAUGAACUCCCACUAUAGUUGGAUGGACUGAUUUGUUGUGUUUUGAAGAUAUUAAUGUUGGUUUAGUGCUUAAAUUAGUGGAAAUGAGUGAUAUUAUGGAUGAAAGUUCAAAGGGGAGUGAGGAUGAAAAUUUUCCAUUUCUGCCCCAAUGUUGUCCGUGACCUAUAGGGUGAUUUUUCGUGGUUCUAAUGACUUUUUUAUGAUGUAUAUAUGUUGUGAGGGUUGUGUAGAAUGUUUCAUCAAAAAAUAACAAGAUUUUGUUGGCCAAAUGUUGUGAUUUCGGAAGUUCGGCAAAACUGGAAAUUUUCCCCUCACUACUCUGGCAGUGUUUUUCAAACAGCCAUAACUUAUUACUCCAAUGUCAAAAUCGAGUGCUGUUAGUGGCACUGGAAAAUAGACAUUUCCAGUUUUCAACGGUAUAAAAUGUACAUCUUGAUUCCACCUGAGUACUCCACACCACCCGUUUGAAAUUGACUGACCUGUUUCGUUAGUUCACUGGAAGCUCGGUUGUGAGCAGCGAAUUGAUGCUCACAUAUGAGCUGGUUGUGGACAGAUUUUGAAAACAAUUUCUUCUAAGAAAUUGAAGCCUUAUGAAUAUAGUUUUCCACGCCACCAACCAUGCUCAAUUCCGAGUUGAAUUGAGUGAGUUGUGGCCAAAAUCCAAAACUGACUUGGUGAAUUCAAACCCUCUUUUGGUUUGUUUAAAGCUUUAAUCUUUAUUGGGACUUGUUGUUUUGAAAUUCUUGGUGUUAAUCACCUACCGAAUGUAUCUUGGACAUAUCUAAGACAUUACCUACUGAAAUGGACCAUGUUUGAAGUGUUUUGUUGGCCAAACGUUUUUAAAAAAUGGAAAACGGAACGUACAAGGCAGAUUUGCCUUGGAAAUUUGGAAACUUUAGUGAUUCGGUUAACCAUCUUUUCGUACGUAUUUUUCUAUGAAAUUUGGUAGAGGAAUAGCCCUUAUAUGGUAGUGUAUUUCUACCAAAUUUGGUGUCAUUCCGAGUCCGUUUUGAUACUCAAUCAAAGUCCCAAAACGAAUUAUUUAAACCUGGAAAACGGUCAAACGGGUUCAAAUUUUCAGCAACUUUGAGCUAUCAUAUCUUGGUGCUCAAAACUCCGAUUCUUGAUCCGCUUAUUCUUUUUUAAAUCUUGUUUGCAACACUAAUUGAUUUCCGAAUUUUAGAGGCUGGUUCACAUUGUGUGAAUUCUACCAAAUUUCCAAAUUUAGCGAAAAACCAACCGCAAAACUGUCUCGCAAGCCUAAAACAGUGAUUUUGAGCCAAUUUUUGAAUGCUCUCCGUUGGGAAUCAUGGAAAAGUGUAUUCUAGGAACUUUUAGUACUUUGGAAGUAGUUUCCAAUGGUACUAAAUUUUCCAAUUUUGGAAUUCUAGAAAGUGAGAUACGAUUUUUCAAAAUAAGUAUAACAAAUCUGAAAAAUUCAUAAUUUAAAGGAAAUGGAGUUUUUCCAAACUCUCUCUUUUCCUUUGAUAUCACUUGAUCAUUUUACACUCAAUUUCAAAGAUGGAAAUCAGAUUUCGCUUGUUUUGAAAACCCCACUUUUGAGUCUCGAUUUACGAAUAAUUAAGACUCAUUUUCGUGAAAUUUUCUUAGAUCGCACAAGUGUGCAAUCUUCCUUAAUAAUUAGGGUUUUAAGUUAUAGUUUAUUAUUAAAUGUUCAGGCACUCAAGUGGACCCUCAAGAGGAUCUCAUGGGAGACGCCUAAACCCUCAUUUGUACUUGCUAUUUGAAUCACUCGGUGAGUGUCAAGUGUGUGAAGAUGUGUUAAUGGUUUUGUUAAGUGAAUAUUUUAGAAGUGCUGGGUCAAGUGUGUACUUUAUCACACUCGUUCUCAUUUAAGUGGAUUGUACUUGAAUUUCGUAACAUGAAAUACUUGAAUUGAUUGAAGUGACUUGUUAAGUGAAUUUAAGUGAAGUGUUUAAGUGAUUUUAUGCUAUGGCUGCAUAAGUCGAUGGGAGUGAAUCUCCUCGACUCUUAAGUGUUAAGUGGGGGACGCCCAAAUCUCACUGGCUAACUCUGGACUCGAGCCGGCAUGGGAUUGGUCGGACUCCUUGGCGAACCAUGAAAAAAAAAACUUGACCUAUUAAGAGAUCUUGCUUGGCAUACUCGAGCAGUAUCGCCUUAUAAAUGUACUGCGGGCCCGGUGUGGUAUGUAAGGUGAGAAGGGGAAAGUAUAAGUGAAAUUCUACGGACUAAACCUACUCGAUUGACGGAGUGUCAACUCGCAGAAGUUCGUGAUCGUGUAAGUGAAAAAUAGCUCCUGAGAGUUCCUGUAUCCUUAUAUUGUUUCUGGUUACUUUUCUAGCUUGAAUUGUCAUUUAUUGAAAUAUUAUCGCUCUACUUGUUAAAUUGGGAGUGUUACUUGAACAACGUGCCUGCAUGUGUGUUCUUGGCUUCACGAGCGUUUUGCUCACCCUGUAGAUUUGUUUUCCUUAACAGGAAAUGAUCGGAGUGAACUUCGAAGGAACCUCUUUUGAAUGUACUUUUGUAUUAGGGUUUCGAUGUAAUUGACUAGACAACGUGGUUGUUGUAUAUUUUGGGAAAUGAUGUAUCUUUUGAGAAUCUGAUGUAAGGAUUGAAUGAUUGUUAUAUUUUGUUAAGUUCGAACAUUCCGUAUUUUCUAACCUUACGUCGCGAUAAUGGCUAGUAUUGUACUAAGCUCGAUUGGAUUUUGUACCGAGUCCUGGCGAGAGUUGGACAGGCGUCCCACGGAUACCCUUUGGUUCACCUUAGGGAGAAGUGGGACGUCACAGUUGGUAUCAGAGUGCUAGAUUAGGGAUCUAUUUGGGAGUUAUACUAGAAACCUUAUGUGACGACCCCCACCUCCCCCUAAGGCCGAACCAGAGGGUUCGGCGGGCCGCCUGCCCAGCUCUCGCCGGGACUCAGUCGUUCACUACAAUCCUCAAUUGAAUACAAGAUAAAAUCUCAAAUAUAAAUCAAAUAUUCCAACAUUUACAUAUCACAAGCGAAGCGUCCACGCUUCCACUGCGCCACUCUGAUCCUUGAUCACCAUUAUUAUACAGGAGGAAGUCCAAAUCUUGACUAUUACACAUCCAAUCAAUUCCAAACGUUCAAUACAAUCCCAAUAUGAACGAUUAUACAAAAGGAAAUCCAAAUUCAAUCCAUACAUGAGAUAAUCCAGGAUUAAACACUACAAGCCACUCCUUCGCCUUGAGCCCUGUGGAGGGGUAUAAAACAUUUUUGGGGUGAGCUAGAAGCUCAGCGAGUAACCAAUAAAAUCAGUUUCACAAUCGUUCAUUUCAAUAAUGUCAUGAUUCAGUAAUCAGUGCACUUUCAUUUCUCUCGUGAGCCAGUGAAAUCAUGGUACUUAGACGUCCAACGCUCCAAACAAUCAUUUAACAUUGAACAUUUAACAUUGAACAGUGAGAAAGAGCCCAUUGGCUCUACAGGAACAUUAACCAGUGGAGGAAACGUUGGGUCCAGCACACGAAUUCCAAGUACUCAUUUGAGCCAAAACAUGUCAAGAACUUAUAUGCCGGCACACAGGAUAUGCAAUCAAAGAAAUGAUGCAAGAAACAUUUCAAAGGUAACGUUGGAGAGAGUUUAAGGUCACUCACCGCCAUGGCUCAGUAAUCAUCCAUCAAAUAUCGUUGCCUUGCUCAAAUCCAAGUCUUAAAUCACAAACUCAAUGCAAACGAGUUCCUUCAAAGUUCGGACAGCACUUCCCCUGAAUUUGUUAACUUUUCCAGCCAUCAUGGCUUCAUUACUUCCUCAAAUCAGUCCCAAAGGUACACACACAACAACAAGUUCAUCCAAUAGCCAUUCAGCAAGCUCCAAGUAGUACUAGUACAAGUCCAGCUAGGGAAAAGUCCGGAAAUGAAAGUUAAGCUCAAAACCAGAAAAAACAGUUUUGACGUCAUUUUGCGGUAAUGGUACCAAAGGCGCUACGAUGGUCGGAUUAGGGUGUAAGACCCACCAUUUCGAAGCUAAGAACCAGGGCUAAAACAAUGUAGAAGGUCACUCAGUCCAAAUCCCAGCAUAACUAGGUCAAAUAUGCAAAAUAUCAAACCAGAACCGUAAUUGCAGGUUUACAAAUCACACAAAACUGUAAUCAGUCUAACUCAGUCUAUACAGGUCCAGAUGCAUUGAUUCCAAAGGCAUAUGAUAGAUAAGACAUCAAGCUACAUUUCAUCAGAAGACACCAACAUCCAAAUCCAAAGUAAUUCCAGUCAAAACAGACGAUUACAAUCGCAGUUCGCACAUUCUGAUCACCCAGAAUAGCAACAGUAAAAACGACAUAUCUCACUCUACACUACUCCAAAUGACCUGAAAUUUUACAGGCAUCUCAAACACAUCAAUACAUACAACUUUCAUGUUUUAAACAAAGGCCAAUUCGGCCUCUAACCAUAUGACCCAAAACCGGACAGAAAAGGGGUUAUGAAACCUUAACUUUCUCAAAUUCCUUCCAAACUCAAAAUUGGUUGCAAUUACCUAUAAUUUGCACCUACUAGAGCCAUUACCCCACAUUACCAACCAUCAUAAACAACCACAACAUCAAGAUCACUUUAAACCAGAAAAUUCCUCAAAAAAAUAAAAACUUCACCAAUUCAUCUCAAACCAAAAAAUAAAUCACAAAUUUCAACACUUUAGCCACCACUAGGCACAAAUUAAACAUCAUUAAGUGUAGGAGGAUAUUCAAUCACCACUUACCAAGUAAACAAGAGAGAGGGAGUAGUAGAACACCUUAGCUUCCUUAAAAACUUCACCAAACAACUUACUAGCACCUAAUAGAGGGAUUUUAUGGAGUAGAAACUAGUUUAGGCAAUUGUUUUGGAAGAUUGAGCUAAAUGGAAGCUAAAAUGGUGAAGAGUUUCUUUCUUCUUUGCUCAAGAGAGAGCCGGCCAUGGAGGAGAAGAAAAUAGUGAAUUUUAUUGAUUUUUUGAGAUAUUUAACUCAAUAGAAAAAACAGUCAAAAAGGUGAAUAGUUGUCAUAAGUCAUAUCCAAUAUAAUGGUGACACUUGUCACCUUCAUUAAUGCAAUCCUAUCCUUUUUUUUUCUCUCACAUCAAUCAAAUCUCACCCUCUACUUAUCUCUUAACAUCCGAUAAAUUUCCACCAGUAUCCGGAAUUUAACCUAAUUGGCCGAAUUUCUUCCGAAUUUCCACACUAGCGGGUCCCACGUCCGAUAUACGCUCUUUAUUUCUCAAAAACUAACCGAUACUAGAAAAAUCAUUUGAAAACGAUAUUUGCUCAUAAACUUUAUCUGGGGAAUUUUCUAAUCAAGAAAAUGUAGAAAAGGCGGGCGAUUAAAUAAAAUAAACCCUAGAAAAUUAGAAAAUUUCCGGGUUCUCAAACUCUUUUUUUUCGGGGCGUCACACCUUAUCUUUAGGACUUGAGAUAGAAUGACUGAGUCAUACUUCAAGGGAUACUUGGGCAAGUUAGUGACUCAGUUAGGAAUGCCGUAAGUGAUAUUCGUGCGAGUUAAUGAUUAAGUUCCUAACCCGAAAAAUGUGAUUGUUUUGCAGGGAUGGAUAAUGGAAAUGGGACUCCGAAAGCUAAUGGGAAUGGUCAUGCUAAUGGUCACGUAGAGCCUCUUAGGCCUAUUUAUGAUGAGAAUAUAAAGACCAACGCCCAUUCAAGCACAUGGGGAAUUGGAAGAUUCAAGUGAAGACUAGUUGAUUGCACGAAUGCUUGAGUUUAGUAGGAUUAUUUGAUUUUCCUCGUUGAUUUUGGUUAUUUGUCGUUUUAAAAAGUCUAGGUAAUUAAGAUAGUUUAAUUGCGGCCCAUUUGUUAGUAAGUAAGGCCCAAAUCUUUCUUAAGUAUGUAGGGUAGUUUGGUCAACCUUUGGAUUAGGGUUAAUACUUGUAAGGGCUAUAAAUAGCCCCACUUCCUCUUUGUUUGGGACCAGUUUUUGACUAUUAAAUACAAUUAGUGAGUUUUCACUUUCUCUUUGGCAAGAGAGUUGCCUUUGAAUACUUGAGAAUCUUCUCAAGUUAUUCACCCGAACUUAUCAAUCGAGUAUCUCCUUGAUUGUGGCGUUCUACUACCUCCAAUUUGGUUCAUUAAUUCGAGUAGUUACGGGUUGAGAUAAUAUCAAAAUUGUUCGUGACUUCUAGGGAUUAGUUGGGUUAAAUUUCCGCUGCCUAAGCCAUGGAGUUUUGGUUGUCUAGAUCGGGGUUUCACAUCAAUUUACUACCGGUCCCUUGGUGGAGGGGCUCGAGUGCGCUACUCGCCCUCUAGUAGCUACCCUCGAUAUUCGUGUAGGUUAACUUUUGCCUACCCGAACCACGUUGUACUGGCCUUGGACGACGUUCAUCGUCAGUUGGUGAAUGCCAACUUAGACUUACAGGUGGAGGUGGAUGAGUUGAGGCAGAUGGUUAGUGCCCAGGGAGACCGGAUUGUGGAGCUUGAUGAGGUUAUAGAGGGCGAGGUGGCUACUGAUGCAGUCACUCGUGAGAAGCUCCAGAAUACUAGGGCUCGACUCACUAGGUUAGGUGAGGAGGUCCGUGAUCGGACUUCCGUGAUCCUGGAUGAUGCUACUAGGGGUAGAUGAGGUGAUGGAUGUAGUCCAGGGCCCUGAUCAGGAGGAGGAUCCUGAGGAGGAGAUUCCGCCUGGUAGUCCUACUGUGGACUAGGUCCCUAGCGAUCAACUCUUUUGACCCUUUUGACUAGUGUAGAUAGAAUUAACUGGGGUGAUACAAGUGCUGAGGCCAUUGUAUUUUGCAUGACUGUGUGGCCUAAUUUUUAGGCACUUGCUUUUACUUUAGUUUUCUGUGACUAAAAGUACUCUUGUGGCACCUGUGUGCUAUAUUUUUGUGAUCUUCCCCAUGACUUGCUAAUUGUAUGAACUGGAAAUGUUAAUGAAUGUAAAUUAUUGUUAUUUUCAAUGUUUUCUUGAUUGGCUCUUGUUUCAAGUAUAUUUCCACUUAAUUAAUUUAUUUCUUCCACUAGGCACGCGUAGGGUCGAGACCGUGGGCGAGGGACUAGAUAGGCCCAAUCUCAGGGGGAUGACCAGGGAUCAGCAACUGGACUGACCCAGGGACAGGAAAAUGUAGAGGGAAAUCAAGUGGCUACUGCCAUUAAUUGGAUGACUGUUAUCCUAGAACGAUUAGCGGAUAGACAAGGUCCUGGACCGCUUAAUCAAGUUGGGGGACAGGAUAGAGGAGAGGAUAGAGCCUUAGAGCGGUUCUUAAAGUUUAACCCGCCUAAGUUCAUUGGUGAAUCCGACCCUGAAGUAGCGGAUAAUUGGUUGGAGAGAAUGACCAACAUCUUCACCUCUCUAGACUAUACUGAGGAUAGGCGAGUGAAUUUUGCUGUUUUUCAAUUUGAGGGAGUGGCCCGUGCUUGGUGGGAUGUAAUAAAGGGAAAGUGGGAGAGAGUCCAAACCCCUUGGACUUGGGAGAAUUUCACGAGAGAGUUUAAUGAGAAAUUCCUUCCGCCUUUGAUUCAAGAGAAAAGGGAAGAUGAGUUUAUCAAAUUGAAACAAGGGACCCUUAGUGUAGCGGAUUAUGAGGGAAAGUUCACUAAACUUUCUAAGUACGCCCCUGAAUUGGUGAUCAAUGAACGGAGGAGGAUUAGACCGUUUGUACAGGGACUUAAUGUGGAAUCCAGGAGGGAUUGGCUGCAGGCCAAAUCUCUACAUUUACUGAGGCUUUAGAGAAAGCGCAAAGGGUUGAGAGCGCGAGACUGCAAGUGAGGGACUUUCACAACAGAAAAAUGAACUUUUCUGGCCACACUUCUGGAUAGGCUAGUAAGAACGCACAGCCUUCCAAAAUGGGAAGAGGAAUGGGAGGAUUAAGGACCGCUGGAGCUUCUAGGGGAGCUUUAUCCAGAGGAGGUCGUAGUGGGCCAGUUUAGGCUAGGGGAGCGCCUUCUAAUGGUUCAGCUGUGACCCCUCAAGUUACCUGUGGAUAUUGUGGUAAAUCUAACCACUCUGAGAAUGACUGCUGGAUGAAGUUAGGGAAAUGUCUGUAUUGUGGGAGUGCAGAACACCAGCUCGCAAGUUGCCCCAAGGCACGAAAAUUGGGAGGUAACCCUUAGAGGCCCGAAAAGUCAACUUCUAGACAGACCAGUGCUGGAGAGAGCCGACCUAAGGUACCAGCUAGGGUUUAUGCACUGGAUCACCAACGGAUACCUGAUGCGACUGAGGUGGUUGAAGGCACAAUUCCUAUUUUUCACCGCUUAGCUAAGAUUUAAUUGAUUCGGGCGUGACUCAUUCUUUUGUGAACCCUAAUUUUAUGAGUGGAAUAGACUUGAAACCAAUUAAGUUACCUUACGACUUGGAGGUUAAAACGUCUACUGGGGAUCAAAGUCUAAUCGCUAACUUGGUGUAUAGAGAUUGUGAGAUCUGGGUUGGAGAGCGAAAAUUACUGGCAGACCUGAUAGGUUUAGCGAUCAAGGGAUAUGAUGUGAUCCUAGGAAUGGACUGGUUAGUCCAUUACAAUGCCCAAUUGAAUUGUAAGACGAAAAUUGUAGAAUUGUGCAUUCCGGGAGAGGCAACCUUGAAAUUGGAUGUAAGGGGUAGAUUAGCCUCGUCUGCACUUAUCUCAGGGAUCCGGGUUAGAAAAAUGUUAAGUAAAGGAGCUCAGGGCUAUUUGGCUUUUCUAAUCAAUACUCCUAGUGAUAAAGUGAAAUUGCAAGACAUGCCUAUAGUGAAGGAUUAUCCGGAUGUUUUUCCUGAAGAGUUAGAGUCUUUACCCCGGAAAGGGACAUAACUUUUAAGAUUGAUGUGACUCCGGGAGUAGCACCUAUCUCUAAGACACCAUAUAGAAUGGCUCCGGCUGAAUUGAAGGAAUUAAAACUGCAAUUGCAAGACUUGUUGGAACGGGGUUUUAUAAAGGAAAGUGAUUCGCCGUGGGGAGCCCCGGUCUUGUUUGUUAAGAAGAAAGAUGGGAGUUUAAGGUUGUGUAUAGAUUAUCGAGACUUGAAUGAAGUUACUAUUAAGAAUAUGUACCCAUUGCCCCACAUUGAUGAACUGUUUGACCAAUUGCAAGGGGCGGUAGUAUUUUCGAAGUUGGAUUUGAGACAGGGUUAUUAUCAAUUGAGGAUUUUGGAGAAGGAUAUACCCAAAACUGCUUUCAACUAGAGGUAUGGGCACUUUGAGUUUGCGGUAAUGCCAUUUGGAUUGACCAAUGCACCUGCUGCUUUCAUGGAUUUAAUGCAUAGGGUUUUUAAGCCGUAUUUGGACCAAUUCGUGGUAGUCUUUAUUGAUGAUAUUUUAGUGUACUCUAAGAAUGUGGAGGAUCAUGAGAAGCACUUGAGAAUUGUUUACAAACCUUGAGGGAACACCAAUUAUAUGCUAAGUUCAGUAAGUGUGAAUUUUGGUUGAGGGAAGUGACUUUCUUGGGACACAUAAUUUCUAAGGAUGGGAUUAAAGUGGAUCCAGUUAAAGUUGAAACUGUUUCAAAAUGGAAACAACCGAAAAACCCUACUGAGGUUCGGAGUUUUAUUGGAUUAGCAGGGUAUUAUCGGAGAUUCAUUAAAUAUUUUUCUAGAAUUGCUGGACCCAUGACUGAGUUGACCAAGAAAAGUGGAAAGUUUAUAUGGAGUUCUAAGUGUGGGGACAGUUUCCAAGAGUUAAAGAGACGUUUAACAAAAGCGCCUGUGUUAGCCCUGCCAAAUGAGAAAGAUAGUUUUGUGGUCUACACAGAUGCUUCUAAGGAAGGUUUGGGAUGUAUUUUAAUGCAAAAUGACAAAGUGAUAGCAUAUGCCUCUAGGAAAUUGAAACCGCAUGAUGAAAAUUACCCGACUCAUGACUUGGAGUUAGCGGCUGUGGUAUUUGCUUUGAAGAAAUGGAGACAUUACCUGUAUGGAGUGACAUUUGAGGUUUUUACUGACCACAAAAGUCUUAAGUAUUUGUUUUCUCAAAAAGAGCUGAAUCUGAGGCAACGUAGAUGGAUGGAAUUUUUUGGAAGAUUAUGAUUGCACGAUAAAGUACAUCCAGGGAAAGCCAACGUAGUGGCCGAUACUUUAAGUCGUCAAGUGCAAGUGGCCGGAUUGAUGAUUAAGGAAUUACACCUGUUAGAAAAAAUUAGUUAUUGGAAUCCUCGAUUAGAGCCGAGGAAAAUAAUUCUUGGAAAUAUUGAAGUAAAUUUCACUUUGUUGGAACGUAUUAAAGAAACUCGGGAAAAGGACCCUGAAAUGCAAAAGUGGGUGGAGAAAGUCAGAAAGGGAGAAAAGUUGGAUUUCAAUUUAGGAACAAAUGGUAUUUUAAAAUUUCAGAAUCGGAUAGUAGUUCCAAAGAAUGAAAGGCUUAAGAAGGAAAUCUUAGAAUAGGCACACUGAUCGAAGUUUAUGAUACACCCUGGAGGGAAUAAAAUGUACCAAGACUUGAAGGACUUGUAUUGGUAGGAGAGUAUGAAGAAGGAGAUUGCCCAAUUUGUCCAGACCUGUUUGGUUUGUCAACAGGUUAAAGCCGAACAUCAGAAACCAUCAAGACUUUUGCAACCUUUAGAAAUACCUGAGUGGAAAUGAAAAAAUAUCACUAUGGAUUUUGUAUCCGGAUUACCAAGGACACAAAGAGGCCACGAUGCUAUUUGGGUGAUAGUGGAUAGACUGACCAAAUUGGCUCAUUUUCUGCCGAUCAAUAUGAAAUACCCAUUGGAGAAGUUGGCUAAGAUGUAUCUGGAUGAGAUUAUCAGGUUACAUGGAAUACCUGUAAGUAUCGUGUCCGAUAGAGAUCCAAGAUUUAUUUCAAGGUUCUAGCAAAAGAUGUAGGAAGUGUUGGGGACUAAAUUGAAUUUUAAUACCACUUACCAUCCCCAGACCGAUGGGCAAUCUGAGAGAACGAUUCAAACUCUUGAGGACAUGUUGAGGACAUGUGUUUUGGAUUUUGGGGAGAGUUGGAGUAAAUAUUUAACCUUGGUGGAAUUUGCCUAUAACAAUAGUUUUCACUCUUCUAUUCAAAUGGCUCCGUAUAAAGCACUUUAUGGUCGGAAGUGUAGAACCCCGAUUUGUUGGGAUGAAAUAGGAGAACGAAAGAUCUUAGACCCAACUACAGUGCCUUGGAUUGAAGAAGCUAAUGAGAAAGUAAAAUUGGUACGUCAGAGGUUUAGAGUGCAAUGGAUAUUAUAUUGUCAGUCGUUCACUGAUUUUAGAUUCAUAUUUUUGGAAAAUAAAAAUUUUAAUGAUUUCCGUUUGAUUUUGCUAUCUUGAAAUUGGAUUUUGUUGCAGGUAAAGAAAAAGUUUUAAAUAUAGUCAAAAUCAGGUUUUGUUGCUAUGAUCGAUUCCUUUUUUUUUUGUUGUAAACUCUACCCAAAAAAAAAAAAGGACAAUAAUUUUGAAAAGAAUAUUCUCCCAUAAGCAAAACCCAUGGCAAAAUCCAUUUUCAUAAAUGACUUGGAUCGUAUUCUUUAUAUCGCGUCGUAGCCACGAGCUUCUUGAGGCAACCAUUUUUGUGCAAUCUUCUAAUUUGUUCAAGAAUUCUUUUUUUUUUUUUUAUAGACAGAAUAAACACACUCACAAUUAAAUUAGAAACGUUCAGAAAUCAUCGUCAAAUUGAAUCAAGACGGCAAGACGGCAAACUCAAUCGGCAAAUUGGGUUCAAGAAUUCUUGAUUUACCAAUUUUUAAUGGACAAUUCAGUCUUUUCAACCAAAAAAGGUCAAUGACAUAAUUGAACGCGCCUCACGUCCACCACAGCAGGGAAGAAGGAAACUAGGAAAGGCUUCACGUGAUUAAUACAGAGGUCGUCAUAUGUAGCUUUUCUUUAAAAAAAUUGCGAUCAUGUUUGGGUUAUAAUUUUUUGAAAUUUUUAAAAUAAAAUAUAAAAAUUUAAUAUAUAUAAAAUAAAAAAGUGACCGGCUUUUUCACCACCCAAUCUAAACCCAACUGGCCUAACCUCAAACUAUCUCCUCCCAUGACCCGUCCCUCCCCAAAAUCCCAUGAAAUAUAUGGAUACCUUUUUAUUUUUUCUUUUAUUAGAAAAGAUUAUCAUCCACGUGUCACCUUCCUGUUAGCUGUUCAACCAGAUCCUUUAUUGUAACUAACUUAUUGAUUUAUUUAAAUUUUUUUUUUUAUAUAAACUUUGAUGUUUUCCUCCUUUGCAGGACGCGUCUAAGAAGAAGAAAGAAAGGCUUUUUGACUGUUCAAACAAAUUCUUAUUCUUGAUCUGGUCGGUAGCUGGCUGGCUGGCUGGCUGGCUGCUGAUCAUAUAUAGUUUGAAGCAAAAUUUGGAUUGGUCGGGCUGUCAAUAGAUUCUUUACAUUGACAGCCCGAUUUUCUAUUUCUUGAAGGCGAUACCCCACCAAAUUCAAACAGGUAAAAAUCAGUUGUAUUCCUUCAAACAUUUUACAUCACUUUGUUUCACGUUUCUCUCGUGCAUAUUUGGCACGUUUUAAAGAAACCAAUGGUUUUCUUGUAGGUGGAAUUGUGAAAUUGAAAUUUGACUGGAGUUGUUUGCUGUGUAUUUGAACGAGACAUUGUGAAACUUGAAAGCCAUCAAUACUAUGGGUACCUUGUCUGGGAACCUUCAAAGGCCGAUAAUUGCAGCCUCUGCUGUUUGCAUAGCUUCUAUUUCAUCUGAUUUUCGUGAAAAAUUUUGGCCGAAUAAAUCAUCAGAAACAUGUUCUUCCUCAGAACAAUCGAGUUCGUCUUCGUCUUUGUUAUCUGUUUCGAUAGAUGCACAAAAAUCAUCUUGGGUGUCUAAGGUAUCAGUGUCAAAGCUUGCUAACUUGGCAUUUGCGACAAGAAUUCGUGUUCCCGUGCCUGACAUAUAUAGCCGCAUACCUGUCUCAAGUUCUUGUUCUUUUCCUGGAUGGUUAUAUUCGUCUGUAGCCUCGUCCCCUGCUUUAAUUAACUCGUAUCAAUCGGCUGAGUUGGCGAAAGCCGCCAAGCCGGCUUCUUACGUGUAUGAUGUGAAUUCCUCACCAUCAGAGGUAUUGUAUAGAUGGCAUUUGCCAGAGCCAAAGGCUGUUGAUGUAUCUGGUAGUUCUGAUUGUUCAUCAGUAAAAUCUAGGACAGUGGUGGUUUUGCUUGGGUGGUUAGGUGCAAAGCAGAAGCAUCUGAAUAGAUAUGCAGAGUGGUACACCUCGAGAGGUUUUCAUGCCAUUACGUUUACAUUCCCAAUGUCCGAGAUUCUAAGCUAUCAAGUUGGAGGAAAAGCUGAGCAAGAUAUAGAAUUGCUUGUUAACCAUUUGGCUGAUUGGUUGGAAGAGGAUGGGAAGAACUUGGUAUUUCACACUUUCAGCAAUACAGGGUGGUUGACGUAAGAAUACUUUAGCUGACCACUAGUACACUUGCCUCCCAAUCCACAACCAACCCCCCCCCCCCCCCACCCCACCAAAAAUAAAAGCGGAACCUGAUAAAAUCUGGAAGUGAACAUUUUGUGUAACUCAGUUAAAAAUUGCCUUGCAGAUAUGGUGUUGUCUUGGAGAAGCUUCAGAGAAGUGAUCCAAACUUAAUGGGAAGGAUUAAGGGCUGUAUUGUGGAUUCUGCUCCUGUUGCAGCUCCUGAUCCACAGGUAUUGUUGUCUAGGAAGUUACUAUGCCUUUUUCGGUGGAGUGAUUAUUGAGAUUUGAAAUGUUAUGUUGGUGGUGGUAAAGUAAGACUGGAUGAUCCAAAAUACGUACUUUUGACUACUUGAAACUGAUAUUCCAGUAUGCUUAGUUGGCUUUGGUGAUGAUGUCAAUCUUCAUACUUGCAGUUUGUCAGUAUCAUGAGUGGAGCUAUAAGCUAGUAAUUUCUGUAUAAAAGAGUAUUUGACUUUUAUUUUGCAGUUCCAUAUAUGAGUUUAUUUGUUAUUGUUUAGAUAUCUCGAUCCAUGUGCUAAAUUUGCCAGCAAAUGGUAAUAUUUGAAACUGGAGCAUGCAUUUUUUUGUCUUUAUUUUCUCGAGUGCAUCAUUGUUGUUUCCUCCCAUGUUGAUUUUAUUAGUUACAAAAAAAUUUUGUCAGAAAAGCUCUCAGUUAAGUUGAUUACAGAUCUUGUAUAUCCUUCCAGGGUCCCUCUUCAGAUCAUAAUAGGUUUCUAACUCCUGGGGGAUAGGAGAGGUGGAGCAAUGAAGUUCUACAUAUCAUUCUGAAACUUUAUUAUAUGUUUUGGGGUAAAGGAAGGGGGAUCAGUGUGGUUUUUGUUCUGUACAACUCUUUCUUUCGUUGUUUUUGGAUAUUGAUUUUGAUGUCAUUCUUUCGUGUUUGUAUGUCUAUUAGGUCUGGGCUUCUGGAUUCUCUGCAGCUUUUCUGAAAAAGAAUAGUGUUGCAACAAAAGGUGCAACGAGUGAGCAAAGUGCAAAUAUGUCAAAAACAAACAAAACUAUUGUGGGAGAAACCAAGCCGGAGUUGACUGAAACUGCACUCUUAGUGGUCCUCAAGAAGUUUUUUGAGGUGGUUUUGAAUCUUCCUACAGUAAAUAGGUGAGGGAUCCAUUUUCGUUAGUGUUGUUGAUGCUUAUUUUGGCAUGGUCUUGCAAGUUCCUAUCCUUAUUGAUUGAAAUAUGCAAAAUACAUUAUCGCCAAUGUUGAACAUGGUUGAAUGAGUUCCAAGUGAUUUUUGUUUAAGAAUACUGCAUUGGUUAGUUUCCUUGAUUUUACAGUAAUCUUUAUUUUCAUGUUGGUAUGAAUAACAUCUUUUGGCCUUUGUCAUACUUUACUCCUACAAUAAUCAAUAGAUAAAGGCUACUCCUGCACUUCUUACUCACGCGAUUUUCAUGUUACCAAAUUGUAGGAGGUUGUCUGAUGUUCUUAGUUUGUUGACAUCACAACAACCUAGCUGUCCACAGCUAUAUAUUUACAGCUCAGCAGAUAGAGUCAUUCCUGCCGGAUCGGUUGAAUCCUUUAUUGAUGGCCAGCGGAAGAAUGGGCGCAAGGUCAGAGCCUGCAACUUCAUUUCCACACCCCAUGUCGACCAUUUCCGGAAUGACCCAAAAUUGUAUUCUUCUCAGCUCACACAGUUUUUAGAUGAUUGUGUGCUGACUUGCUGCAGAAAUUCUUGAAUAGAUUACUAACCAGUCUAACUCAUUCUUUUCUUUGAUUUCCUUAUUCUUUUGUUUUUGUCUCCAAUUUUUCCAUACGCACAUGACUUGCUCAUUGAUGUAGAGAUUCAAUUAUUGCUCUUUUUUUUUAACCUUUCUCCCCUUUUGACCUCAAUUAUUAUCUGUACUCAACUUGGAAAGAGACAGUUAUUCAAUUGUAGAAAUUUUCGAU
rnacentral:lncRNA from 1 species